GUAGGAGCAACAAAAGCUUCAUUCCUUGGAGGGAGAAGAUUGAGAGUAAGCAAUGUACCUGUAGCCGGAUCACCGCGUGCUGCAACUACAGUGUGUGUUGCUGCCGACCCCGACAGACCCCUCUGGUUCCCUGGCAGCGUCCCUCCUCCAUGGCUUGAUGGCAGGUCAGUCAUGAUCCAGCUAGUAUAUCAUACUGUGUAUAUUUAUCAGGUGAAAGUUCACGCAAUCAAUCAAUCAAGCUAUUAAAAUUCCUCGAUCUAGCUAGUAUUAUAUAGUUUUUUUGGCAUAAUAUAUAUAGACGGACACUUAAACUUACCCUCAACCGAUAAGUAAGCACUCUAAUUUUGUGCACAUUUAGAUACCUCAACUUGAUUUUAACUAGCAACUAAACACUCCAACUUAUACUUACUGUGUCUCGUGAAUGCCCCACACUGAUGUGACUGGUACAGUGGAUACGAGCUGAGGUAUCUAGAUGUGUAUACUCAAAGUUGGAGUAGUUACUUGUCAGUUGAGGUCAAGUUUGAGUGCCUGUUUAUGUGUUAUGCCUUUUUAAAAAAAAGAAUAAUUGGAGUAGGAAAAGGGGAUUACAAGAUGGAAAAUCUAAAGCUCACCAAUAAGGUGAAAGUUCAUGUAAUCAAUCGACUGAACUACUGAGAUUUUCUAAUCUAUAUGCUGAAAUUAUUUUAUUCUUCUUCGUUUUGCAGCCUUCCCGGAGAUUUUGGUUUCGAUCCUCUUGGCCUAGGUAUAUAUCAGUCUAAUUCUGAUUUUUCAAUUUAGGAUACAUACAGAAGGGAAGCCUUGGAGUAACUGGUAAAGUUGCUGUCAUGUGACCAGAAGGUCAUGGGGUCAAGCCUUGGAAACAGCCCCUUGCAGAAAUGUAAGGUGAGGCUACGUACAAUAGAUCUUUGUGGUCGGGCACUUCCCCGGACUCUGCGCAUAGCGGGAGCUUAGUGCACCUGCCCCUUUAGUAUUGGAUAUAUAUAGAAGGGGAGCCUUGGAGUAACUGGUAAAGUUGCUGCCAUGUGACCAGGAGGUCACGGGGUCAAUCCUUGGAAACAUCCCCUUGCAGAAAUGUAAGGUGAGGCUACGUACAAUAGAUCCUUGUGGUCGGGCCCUUCCCGGGACCCUACGCAUAGCGGGAGCUUAGUACACCGGGCUACCCUUCAGUAUUGGAUAUAUAUAGAUGUCUAUAGAUAUAACUUGUGUAUAUCAUUUGAGUACAGGAUCUGACCCAGAGAGCUUGAGAUGGAACCAACAGGCAGAGAUUGUACACUGCAGAUGGGCAAUGUUGGGAGCUGCAGGAAUUUUCAUUCCAGAAUUCCUCACGAAACUCGGUAUCCUUAACACACCUUCAUGGUACACUGCUGGUGAACUAGAAUACUUCACGGACACAACGACUCUCUUCAUCAUUGAGUUGAUACUUAUCGGUUGGGCCGAGGGAAGAAGGUGGGCCGAUAUCAUCAAGCCUGGUUGUGUAAACACUGACCCUAUCUUCCCUAACAACAAGCUCACAGGGACAGACGUUGGUUAUCCAGGAGGCUUAUGGUUUGAUCCGUUGGGUUGGGGUUCGGGUUCACCUGAGAAGAUAAAGGAGUUGAGGACAAAGGAGAUCAAGAACGGUAGACUUGCUAUGUUAGCCGUUAUGGGCGCAUGGUUCCAACACAUUUACACUGGAACAGGUCCUAUUGACAACCUCUUUGCUCACCUUGCUGAUCCCGGUCACGCCACUAUUUUUGCUGUAAGUACAACCACAUUUUAAUUCAUACUCUUGGUUAUUCGAGUUACAACAACAACAUACCCAGUGUAUUCCCACCUACUAGGGUCUGGGGAGGGUAAAAUGUACGCAAUCCAUACCUGAUACCACCACCUAUCACCACCUCUGAAGAAGUAGAGAGGCUGUUUCCGAUAGACCCCUGACUCAGGACAAAAAGAUACUUAGAAAGUCUUGAUAAAACAUGAAACAAGAUGAAAUAACAUAAAUAAGACACCCACAAAGUAGUACUAUACACUAUUAACUAGAGACUCCAACUCUUGGUUAUUCAAGUUAAUGGUCAAAAACACAACUUAAAGUAUCCACAUUUUUCGAGUUUCAUAUCUAAAUUAUCAGGUGUGCGAGUCACUGAAGUUGUUUGUGAUUAUGUUUCAGGCAUUCACUCCCAAGUGAGAAGAAGAAGCAUGAGGAUAUUUUGAUGUAAUGAAUGAUGUGUAAAAGUAACAUUUGAAGUAGAUUUGUGCAAAGAGAACUAAUGUUUCUUUCCCACAUUUGGUUUGCUCAUGUCUGUCUUCUGUCGAAAAAGACUAAGCAAUGUACAAAUACAUUUCGACAACUCGUAUCAGAUCAAGAAAAUCUAUUUAUAUAUGUUCAUUCAUUUGCAUGAUAGAAGAUUUUUACUGCAAUAGUCUACAAAGAUACACAGGAACUGGAUGGUAAGAGACUUUGGUUCUAACCUUUAUUUUACCAGCUUUCGUUAUGUAAAAAGCUAAUAAGAACCGCGUUUCUCAUAGUAAAGUUAUUUCGUUAAGAAUCAGUAUGUAGAGUAGAAAGGGAGCCUUGGAGUAACUGAUAAAGUUACUGUCAUGUAACCAAGAGGUCACAAUUUCAAGUAAAGUAACAGACUUUCGCAACCUAUAUUUCACCAGUUUUCAUUAUGUAAAAGGCUAGUAAGAACUAAGUUGCUCAUAGUAAAGAUAUUGCUUCAUAGGGAUAAAGUUGUUUGAUCACGCGAUUGGUUUGGUUGUUUGUUUUAGAAUUCUGCUUCCGGUACCCUUCACGAAUCUAUUUUUGCCACUUCUGUUAAGAAUCGGUACCUAAAUUAGAAGUGGAGCCUUGGAGUAACCGGUAAUGUCGCUACCAUGUGACCAGGAGGUCACAGGUGUGGAUCAGCCUAUUGCAUAAAUGCAAGGUAAGGUUGCAUUGCAACCCUUGUGGUUCGUCCCUUCCUGGGAUCCCAUGCAUAGCAAGUGCACCGGGCUUCCCAAUCAAUAAGGAUAUUGAGUAUACGGUUGAUGUAUCAGACUCGACCUUAUCUUUGGUGGCAUGCAUUCCCAUCCAAUCCAUGUCAUAACAUUAUUUUGAACAUAUCCAAUAAUGUCCGAACUCUUUCUUCUGUAUCGAGUAUUAUCGAAAUAAACUUCAACUCCAGUUUAUUUUCCUCAUCUUAAUUUCAACUUUGGCCACGAUGAUUUUACCAUAUAAAUGUUGGACGAAAGGGUUAACUCCAAAUACUAUGAGCCACCAUAAAGCUCUACUGUAAAUUAGGGGAAAAAAACUCUAGUAACAAAUUGCUUUAUGGCACCAAAGUUCAAAAGUUACACAAAAAAGAUUAAAUCUUCAAGAGCAUGAUUAAUAAGUUAUUGGAUAUUAUAAAUGUUGUAAAAAUUCUAGUAGUGUGAUUAUGUGUGUGUUUGAAACUGAAGUACAAGAUAGGAGGACAAAAAUCGAAGUAAAAAACAUCUUCAUGUAACAGAUACAACAACAUACCUAGUGAAAUCCCACAAGUAGGGUGUGGGAGGGUUGAGUGUACGCAGACCUUACCCCUAGAUAAAGAGAUCAUUUCCGAAGGACCCUCGGCUAAAAAAAAAAAGAGUUAAAGUGAAUCAAGGCAAGCCAAGAGUAAGGGACACCUGGUCCUGUUCUAAAAGUACACAAAAAUUCAACAGUAAAACAAUUUUGAUAUAGCUUUCUAGGAGGGGCUUCGGGUUUGAACCAACAACAUCCUUCUCUUGUCUUUGCUGCUUCAUUUUUCUCUCUCAUUGCACGUGAACUUAGAAAGGCCUUGUGCAUUCCCUAUUGCUUUCGUCAAUGGUUCUAUGUGAUGAAGUUCAUACUGAUUUCAUUGUUUCUUUGGAUACUCCCUCGGUCCAAAUAUGGUGGAUCCAAUUCUCACAUUGGUGCUGCCCAUUUCUAUCUGCAGUAUUACGACAGAGAAUCAACACAACACGUACGAGCAGUUUCCAAAUGCAGCUUAUAUAUACUUUAAAUGAGCAAAAUAGAACCAGCUCAUAUUUUUCAUAAUUCCAUGCUUACUUCGGGAAUAAAACAGACUUCACAAAUAGUCCACAAAAUAUAUUAGGAAAUCCAUUGGCAGAAAGGCGAAAGAUGGCCAGCUUGAACAAUUGUAACUGAUUCAUAAACUUGUUUUGGGUUCACAAUACGAGAAAAAUAAGUUGAGGAGGAAAAUAUAUUUUUGCAUCAGCAUGCUAGAGGCGUUAAAUUAAACUUAAGGAUAACGGAGUAGUCAGCUGCCGCAAAUGAAAUUAAUAAGAAGUGAUUCUUUCAUUAGAAUUAAUUUAUUGGAUGAAAAAGAUCAGUUUUUUUAACAAGGUAAGAAAAUACCAGCUUACCGCUAACUCAAAGUCACUAGACAUGCCCAUUGAUAACUCACAUCGAGAUUCAGCCAUCCCAAGCACCUUGCAAACUUCAGUUCUACAAUUCAGUAGCGUCUAUCGCAUUACAAGAAAAAUGGAGAUCAUCAAUUUGGAGAAAUUGCGAAAUAUGGUGGAGUUAAUAUGAACAAUUUGAGUUAAUAUGAAAAAUGGAGUUAAUAUGAAGCUCCCAACAUGCAUGACUCAAAUAUAUCCAUUUGAUAACAAACUUCUCAAGGAUUCCAUAUACAGAAAUUACUUAGCACAAGAAAAGCAUCUUUCUAUAAUACAUAAGAUCUAAAGUAGGGAAAGAAAAGAAAGAAAAAUUCCCAUAACUAUGAAGAAAAUUGUUUUGGUGACUAUUACCAUUAAAAUUAACGAAAGAAAACUUCCCAUAACAAUGACGAAAAUUGUUUCGGUGACUAUUACCAUUGACGAAAAAGGUCUGCCUUCAACACUAGGUGAUUUCUUCACAUCUAUCCGGGCCUUGAUGGACAGAGCUACUCAGUUACCUCAUACCUGUGCUGGUGGGAGGUAGCAGGUACCUCAAGGAAUUAGUCGAGGUGCGCGCAAGCUUACCCGACACCACAGUUAUCAAGAAAAAAUGCCAGCUUUCAGUAGUUUAUGAUUGUUCUUCCUUUGCAUCUUUUAUUAGUAAAGAGUGGGACAUUUUCAAACAGUUGAGGGGACUUGGAAUUCUUAUAUGUCAUGUAAAACUAAAUUAUGGAUUCAUUACAGAACAUCACCUUGAAGUUCUCUGGGGUUGAAGUGUAGUCAGGCCUUCCAAUUGUCAUUAGGCCAGAGAACUCAAGGUUUGGGCAAUCCAGCUUGACAUGUCUGGCAAGCUCUAUGCAAUUUGAUGGAUCAACACCAGAUUUUGCUGCAUAUAGUUAAAUUAAUGAAUUUACGAGUUCCUUCGGAAGUAGAAAGACUGGAGUCCUUCUUUGGCCUUGAACGUCAAAAAAAAAGCAUUGUACAUUUCGAUCAAACAUGCAUUACUGGCACUGAAGGAAAAAAAAUCCAACAACUCAAUCCAAAAUUUGUGAGAUUUCAUCUGCAAGUUAACCAGUACUCUGAGGACUUGAAGCAACACAUCAGAAACCUUUCAAUAACCUAAACCAUAAAAAAGGGCAGCCCGGUGAAGAAAAGCCCACGCUAUGCGCGUGGUCCGGGGAAGGGACGGACCACAAGGGUCUAUUAUAUGCAGCCACACCUUGCAUUUCUGCCAAAGGCUGUUUCCACGGCUUGAACCCGUGACCUCCUGGUCACAUGGUUGACCAGCACUUAUACCCGUUACUCCAAGGCUCCCCUUGAAUAACCUAAACCAUAUUGCUCCGUAAACACCAACAACCUAAUAGCAUGUAGAUCUAAUUACUAGAGUUGUCGUCAAUCCUGCCUAGUUUCUCUCAGAAUCUGCAAGCAAGAAUGAGGAGAAAAGAUACUCACACUCCUCUCCGCUGGUAUUAACUUGAACCAAAACCUUCAAGGGCUGCCUGCCAAUGCUUGAAACCGCACGAUCAAGAUGAUUUGCAAGCUGCAGAUUAGAAAGAAAGUUGUAUGAUUGAUCAGCUUUGUUCAAUUCAAACAAUUAUAUGCAUUCAAAGUGACUAUAAUCUAAACAAACAAAAUUAUUAAAGCUUCAAGGUGUGGUUGAAUUUUAACAACGACCAGAUACAGAAGGAACUCAGGAGAGAAAUGAAUGAAGUAGCACAUUCCACCGCACUCAGUUUAUAAACCGACAGCGGAUCCACUUUGAUAUAGCUAUUUAUGUUAUGAUAACCAUGUGGGGCUAAUUUAUAUUGAUCUCGGUUUUUAUUAUCCUGAUGAACUGUGAAAGUAAAUUACAAAUAACCAUGCNNNNNNNNNNNNNNNNNNNNNNNNNUGCUGAACUGUGAAAGUAAAUUAAAAAUCACACUGCUGCUGGCUUAGUGGAAAUAGAAGUAGAAUAUGACAUUUUCAAGAUUAAACAAGUUGACUACUCCUUAAGUUCAUCAAGCUUUAAGAAACACAGGUAAACUCUUUACCUUCGGGUUAUCAACGCCAUGAAUCAUAGCUAGAUUGGGAACAGCAGCUGCAGUGAAGGAGGUAAACUUUAGACAAAUUUAAGAUUGAUAUACUUAUCCUAUUUACACAUAAGCAUAAAUGCUUCCUGAGAGUAAGGAGGGGGUCUGCUCUUGUCAGGAUACCCAAAAAAAAAAAAGGAACCGUUUAUACUCUAGUUAGACACUUCAACUCUCACCUUUCAGGUCCUUAGCACUAAAUAACAAAUUGUUAGUUGAAAUGGGAAAAGUGAAGUGGAAGAUCAUACGUCCAAAAGAAAAUAGCAGGCUUGUCAUUCACCAAAUUAAGCAUGGAGAGGCGAUUUUGGCCCUGAGUUGAUGGUUGAUACAAAAUAAAAAGGUUUCUGCACUCUACUCAGACACUUCAAUCUUAAUUCUUACAUUACAGCAUACAGGUCCUUAGCACAAAAUAACAAAUUUUUAGUUGGAAAAGGUUAAGAGAUAAUACAUUGAGGAAAUUAUGCAGACUUGUAUUUUACCAACAGAGCAAUUGGAAAAGAAUCAAAGUAACCAAAUAUAAGAUCCUAUGGAUCAUUGAGGAAACAAAUGCUAGCAACAAGAGGGGAAUCCAAAAUUUUGAAGUCUUUGUUGAAAACCACUGAAUCAAUGCAUACACACAACUUCCAACCUCUCGUUGGAAACCACAAAAAGUAAAGAGCGAGAAGUGAUGUCAAUUGAUGGACAAUUUAGGGAAGUUCGAUAAUAACAAAACAAAAUAUUGCACAAAAUACUUAGAUGAGCCCGUACUCAGGAGUUGCUUCACUUUAUUGCUCUGCAAAUGCCCAAUAUAAUGCCAUUCUAUGUCCUCCGGAAGCUGUAUAUGAACAAUACAUAAUCAAUAUACCACAAUGAAAAAAAUCUGCCCGCAACUAUCAACUACUCCAUUUGUCCCAAUUUACGUGGCACUUUUCACUUCUCGAGAUUCAAUUAUUCUGAACUUUGACCAACAUUUUAAAGUGUAUUUUUUCAACAUAUUAACAUGAGAAUAAUUGUGACUUAUAGUAGAUUGUAUAGUUGUUGAAUAUCCAAAUUUUACUUCUAAUCAAGUUGAUCCGAUAUCAGUCAAAUUCACUCGAGAAGGGGAUGGAUAGAGUAUCAUUUAUGUCUCAAUCCCAAAUUAACUCAGCUAUAAGAAUUCUUUUUAUAUCCAAAGUUCAUGGCCAAAAACACACCUGAAUUGUCCCAUUUUUCGCGAGUUUCCUACUUUCCUACCUGAACUAUCAUAGAGUAUUUCUCAAAACACACCUGAAUGGUCAGUUGUUCUUUUUUCCUCCGUGAACUAUCACUUGCUAAUUUUUUUUUUGAGUUCCAUACCUGAACUAUCACGUGUGUAAGUUUCCUACAUGAACUAUCACCAACUAUUUAUCAAGACAUACAUGAACUAUCGUGUUACCUUUAGUUCAUGUAAGGAAAAGGGAACAAAUGACGGUUGAAGUGUGUGUUGAUAAAUACUUUGGGUAUGAAAAGUGAAUCGGCUAGGAAACUCGCAAAAACGUGAUACUUCAGCUAUGCCCUUUAGCAAUUUCUCUUAUAUCUAUUCACCUUUAUUUAUGAACAUUUUUAAAAAGCAAAAAAAACGUUUUUCCUCUUCAACAAUUUGUCUCAAUCUAAAGCUCAAUUAACAUAACAAUAAAAUACAAUAUAAUAUGAUGCAUUAUGAAACAACAUGUAACAACCAUCCAAAUAGUGUAUAGUACUUGUUGUAUAGUUUAUUUAAAAUUCUAGAACAUUGAGUUGAUCUAGUGUUACCAUAUUGACCCGAGAAGUAGAUGGAUAGAGUAUCAUUUAUGUCUCAAUUCCAAAUUAAUUUCAUUACAGGAAUCCUUUAUCUCUAGAGUUACAAGUCAAAAACACACCUGAAGUAUCACCUUUUUUGCACGUUUCCUACCUAAACUACUACAACAACAACAACUACCUAGUGUAUUCCCACAAAGUGAGGUUUGGAGAGGGUAAGUGUACGCAAAAGAGGUUGUUUCCGAUAGACCUUCGGCUCAGGACAUCUAACAAUAUAACAAACACAAAAGCACACAGCAAGAUGAGAUAAUACACUGCUAGGUAAUAAAGAAAAUAAGACACCCACCAGAUACUACUAUAAACUAUCUAUCCAAGAUCAUAGGCACCACUGAAACACCAUGAACAAGAAACUUCAUACGCAAAUACAAACAAAGCACUCUCCCUACUAUAACGGCUUUCCUCCUACCCACUAACCCUCUACCCUAAUACGAGUCCUCCACACCUUCCUAUCAAGGGUCAUGUCCUCCGUAAGCUGUAACUGCUCUAUAUCAUGCCUAAUAACCUCUUUCCAAUACUUCUUUGGCCUACUUCUACCCCACCUAAAACCAUCCAUAGUCGAGGGUCAUGUUCGCCGUAAGCUGUAACGGCUCCAUAUCAUGCCUAAUAACCUCUCUCCAAUACUUGUUCGGCCUACCUCUACCCUACCUAAAACCAUCCAUAGUCAAGGAUCAUGUCCUCCGUAAACUAUAACUGCUCCAUAUCAUACCUAAUAACCUUUCUCCGGUACUUCUUCGACCUACCUCUACCCCACCUAAAACCAUCCAUCGUCAGCCUCUCACACCUCCAAAUAUUUAUCAAAAGACACUUGAACUAUCAAUUUUUCUUUUUUCUUAUAUGAACUAUCACCAACUAUUUAUCAAAACACACCUGAACUAUCAGUUGUUCCCUUUAAUUCAGGUAGGAAAAGGGAACAUACGACAAUGGACCUGUGUUUUGCUAAAUACUUCAGAUAUGAAACUCGCAAAAACGUGAUACUUCAGGUGCGUUUUUUAGCAUUAUAUCCUAUACAUAUUCAGCUCUAUUUACGCACAUUUUAUAGAAAAAAUAAAUCUCUUAUGUGAACAAUUUGUCACAAUCUAAAGCUCAAUUAACAUUACCAAAUGCAGAAAGGCAAAAAUAUGAGUACCUCGGGAGCCUUUUGAAUAAUCUCUUGUACAUAAUUUUCACCAAAACAUCUAUGUCCAGCUUCAUAAACUUGGUUAAUAAGAGAAAUAGGCUUCGUUUUGCUCACCGCCACCACUCUGACGUCAUCAGCACGGCGGCCGGACCUCUCCGCCGCCUGCCUUACACGGUGGAGCACUGACCGGAGCGCCGUCACGGCUAGUCCCUCGGCGGCCGGAGCAGCCAUUUCUGCUUCAGGCUAUGUUUGGGGGCGCGUUGUUCUCACGCGCUGUAUCAAUUUCGUGCCCCUUCUAUAACCACCAAAAGAAUGGCGGGUAUUUGUUUACUUAUCACACUUAUUUUACGAAGAUUAAUGAAUUAAUAUUUGAAAAUUGAGAUUAAAUUAACUUAGGUUAUUAAAUAUUUAAAAUUAUACGAAAAAGUAGUAUUAUAUCUUUUUAAUACUAAUAUGAUGAAAAUAUAUAUUUUCAACGUACAUAUUGAACGUAUGAGUGUCUUCCCGGGCCUACGACCUUCCUAUGGCCCAAUAUAUAUAAGAUCGACUUCAAACUUCUAACACAAAGUUAUGCGGUGCAUAGGCUAUGUCCCUUGCAACUUUGGGUUCAAACGAGUGUUAUAUCUUCCUCACCGCAGCUCAAGUCGACUCUUUUUCGUCGAGUCUAAAGGAUUAAGACGUACGUCGAAAUACGUUCACCCUAAUUUUUAUAUGUAAUACUUUGGUCAUCAGAGAGUAUCUUUACAAGAAGCCCCAGAGGACGACUAAAAUGGGAACAUUGGCCCAACACCUGACCCACUUGCCUAAUCCAAGAAGCCCAAAACCACUACAACAAAAACACACCCUCAGACGACGCGCAUUUUCCUAGCUUUGAUGUAUAAAGUUAUCUGAUAUUUAUUACCGGUGAGAGGUGGCAGGUAUCCCGUGAAUAUAGUCGAAGUGUGCAAAAGUUAGCCCGGACACCACGUUUAUAAAAACAAAAGGGCAAUUUUCAUAAAUUCUAACAGUUUAGUACAAAAUUACAUAAAAUUCUGACUAUUUUUAUAUUCACGUAAAAUCUCAUUUUCUUUUUCAUUAUUAUUAUACAUAGCUAAGACUCGUGAUACAUCACUAUCUGAUACAUAAGUAUCGAUAAAUAACUGUUAAGUAUUGAUAUCACAAGAUUUAUUUAAAUAGUUAUGUCUUAUACAUCAGUAGCACAAAAAUGUUCUGAUACAUGAUUUUUGUAAAUUUUCAACCAAACACGUCUUUACUGUGUAUCUGUAGCUUAAUAUUCAGUAAGAUACAUAACUUUUGGAUAUUUGGUGGAGGAUCUUGUGAUUUAUCUUCUUGUCCUUUUCUACUGGAUACAUUAUUCUUAUGUAUCUCCGAACUCUUUUAACACAUAUAUCAUUCUUAUAUAUCUUUAUUAACAUCAUCAUCUUCAACACAUACAUCAUUCUUAUGUAUCUUUAUUAAUAUCAUCUUCUUCAACCUCUAUUGACGAAUCUCCAAACUUUAGAAUUCCUCGUGGCUUGAACUACCAUGUACGUCGCCGUGGAUUUGAGAUGUGAUGGUGUAGUACAUCAUGGAUUUGAGAUCUGAUGGUGAAAAUUUGAGAUCUAUAUAUGAAUUCUUUCUGAAUCAUUCGAGAUCUGUAUAUUCAUUCGUCGUGGACGAGCUUGCCAUUGUGUUGGUUGGUGUGAGCUCAUUGAAGCUCGGGUGAUUUCAUCGUUGUUGUGUCGUGGUUCGCUCUGAUUUCAUCAAAGUUGGAGCUCCUCGCCAGAGCUAUGUCUUAAAUGGACGGGAGUGAUAGACAGAGCUGCAAGUAGUAGUUAGGUAGAUAAGUUAAGCAAUGGUUUUUGGGUUGUGUUGAUCACCGAUGAGGAGAAGGGAGAAAGAGGGUCGACUAUGUUGAGCAAAGAGAUAUUUUUUCUUUGUGAUAUUUUAGGAUUUGGAAUCUGGGGUAAUGCAUCUGCCCCGUUUAGACAGAGAAAGAGAAAUCAGAGAUUUUUGUAAUAAUUUUAAGCGAUCGAAAUUUUAAGCAAUAAUGAUAAGUUAAGGUGGACAUUGGGCCAACACCUGACCUCACUUGCCUAAGUCAACAAGCCCAAAUCCACUGCUCCAAAAACAUACUCUCAAUCCCCCAAACAUGGACUCAACAACACAAGCUUAUUUGCUCCAAUAAUUCCCAAUUCUCUAGGGUUUCUUUCUUUCUCACUCCGGCGAUGGAUCUAGAGGUCAGCGACCGCCAUGCCCUCCUCUUUGCCGAUGACUCCACGUCGGCGUUCUUCAACUGCUACGAUGCACAUUUGUCCCAGCCUUGAUGUACAAAGUCAUUUUAUAUCUGUUGCUGGUGAGAGAUGGUAGGUUUCCUAUGAAUUUAGUCGAAGUGCGCAAAAGCAGGCCCGAACGCCACGUUUAUCAAAGUAUAAAAAUUGCCUUAGGUAGAAAUUGGGCCCAACACCCGAGCCAACUUGCCUAAUUCAACAGGCCCAAAUCCACUAUAACAAAAACACACUCUCCAAUCUUAUUGCUCCAAAAAUUCCGAAAAUUCCCAAUUCCCUAGGGUUUCUAUCUUUCUCAUUCCGGCGAUGGAUCUAGAGGUCGUCGGCCGCCAUGCUCUCCUCUUCGACGAUGACUCCACGGCGGCGUUCGUCAACUCCGGCGAAGCUCUUGUUGAUUGGAACUCUCUUCAGAUUGAUCGUUACGAUGUUCGACACCUUCUCUCCGGUCCUCCACCGUCACGACGGCGGUCUCAGUCUUCUUCUUCUUUGGUUAACUCCGUUGAUGCUUCGAUUCAGCUCGAGCUUGAUCAUGAACGGUACCUUGAUCUUCCUUCGCCUUCAGAUGAACCAGGUUAACUUUGCUCUCGCUUCCUCGUCUUUGUUUGAAUGUAUCGUGGUUAUAUUUCGUGUAUAUUGUGUUGAUUUUAGGCGAAAAUGUUUAGAAGUUAAAACUGAUCGAAUAAUCGAUGAUGACUUGCUAGCUGAUGUUAAUAUUUGUUGUGUAUAUAUAUUAUGUUGAUUUUAACUGAAAAUGUUUAGAAAAACUGAUCGAAUAAUGAUAAUGACUGGAUAUCUGAUGUUAAUAUUCGUUGUAUUUAUUGUCGAUUUUCUCGAGCUGAGGGUCAAUUCAGCUCGAGCUUGAUCAUGUACGUUACCUUGAUCUUCCUCUGCCUUCAAAUGAACCAGGUAAAUUUAACUCUUGUGCUUCCUUAAUUUUUUUUUAUAUUGAAUGUAUUGAGGUGAUUUUUCGUGUAUAAAUUGUUUGUUUUAGCAUAAAAAUGUUUAGAAGUUCACUAUUGGAUAGUCGAUAAUGACUGGCUAGCUGAUGUCAAUAUUUGCUGUAUAUAUUGUCGAUUUUGAGCUCGAGCUGAGGGUCGAUUCAGCUCGAGCUUGAUCAUGUAUUUACCUUGAGAGUAAUUGAUAAUGACUGGGUAGCUGAUGUUAAUAUUAGUUGUAUGUAUUGUCGAUUUUGAGCUCGAGCUGAGGGUCGGUUCAGCUCGAGCGUGAUCAUGUACGUUACCUUGAUCUUCCUUUGCCUUCAAAUGAACCAGGUAAACUUAACUCUCGUGCUUAAUUUUUUUUUUGAAUGUAUCAAGGUGUUUUUUCGUGUAUAUGUUGUUGAUUUUAGCAUAAAAAUGUUUAGAAGUUAACGAUUUGGAUAGUCGAUAAUGAGUGGCUAGCUGAUGUUAAUAAUUGUUGUAUAUAUUGUCGAUUGUGAGCUCGAGCUGAGGGUCAAUUCAUCUUGAACUUGAUCAUGUACGUUACCUUGAUCUUCCUCUGACUUCUGAUGAACUAGUUUAACUCAACUCUUGCUUGCUUCCUAUGUUUUUUUGUUCACACGUUGCAGCGGAUUCUUUUUGUGUAUAUAUUUUUGUUGAUUUUAGCAUGAAAUGUUUUGAAGCUAACAAUCUGAUAAACAAUAAUGAGUGACUAGCUGAUGUUAAUAUUAUGUUGAUUUAGCAUAAAAUGUUUAGAAGUUAACAGUUUGAUAAACAAUAAGGAGUGGCUUGCUGAUGUUAGUAUUUGUUCUAUAUGUUUGUUGCUUUUAGCAUAAAAUGUUUUGAAGGUAAUGAUCCGGUAAACAAUAAUGAGUGGCUAGAUGAUGUUAAUAUCUGUUAAGUGGUUCUUUCUACUAUCCGUGUAUAUAUUGUUAAUUGUAGCGUAGACCGUUUAGAAGUUAAUAAUCUGAUAAACGAUAAUAAGUGGCUAGCUGAUGUUAAUAUCUGUUUAAGUUUUUUUUUUUCUGCUAGUUGUGUAUAUAUUGUUGUUUUUUUGCAUAAAAUGUUUAUAAGUUAACAGUUUGAAAAACGAUAAUGAGUAUUCCUGAUGUUAAUAUUUGUUGUGCAUUUAAUUGAUUUUAGCGUAAAUUGAUUAGAAGUUAACAAUUUGAUAAACGAUAAUGAGUGGCUAGCUGAUGUUAACAUUUGUAGUAUAUAUUGUUAUUUUAGCGUAAAAUGGUUAGAAGCUAACAAUCCAGUAAGGAAUAAUGAGUUGCUUGCCGAUGUUAAUUUCUGUUAAGUGGUUCUCAGGUGAAAUACAUAUAUAUAUAAUGGAACUGCUUCAAAUUAGAUAUAUUUAUGCUGACUUUGCAGACUUAAUGUUAGGGAUAAUCGUAUCUAGUUUGUAAUUAUCUGUAUUUAGUUUGUAGGUAUCUGUUAAAUUACACUAUUUAUUUUGAACGCAUAUAUAAGUACAUGUAAUGCAUGGCAGAGUUCAUAGGCUUGAAAAAAUCAUUUGGGUGUCAUUUUACCCAAACUCAACACUUCAAGUGCUGGAUUUGUAUCUGCAACAAUUUGUUGCCUGAGCUAUUUACAGUGCUCACUAAUGGGAUUUCCUAGCGUGGACAACCCAACCCAACCCAACCCAAAUAAAAUAAAAUAAAUAAAUAAAAAGGAUCUGCUAUCCAUCGAGUGCAUUUGCUGCAGUGAACAGACUUAAUUGACAUUAGAAAAUGUAAAUAAAUAUAUAGAACUAUCUUGGGGCAUAGUUGAGGGUCCAUUCUGCACCUGUCUUUGGUAUUCUUUUUCAUUGUGAAAACUUCCUCCGAUGGUAUCAUUUUCUGUUUAAGUUAUUUUGUUGUAUAUUCCCCUAUAUGUUCUUCAGCUUCACAAUGCUGAGGACCUCACCUAGAUGGUUAUUAGAAGUGUAUUUCUUAUUCAUCUUCCGAGGGGGCAACUGAGAAUAAUGUUUUGUUGUUAUGAAAAUGGCGUUGAUAGCAAAUGUUUAUAUAGGCAGGCAGUGCGCAGGCAGUGCCUUCCUAUAAUGUAGGCUGUGGAAAUGUAGCAUGCUUGCUGCCUAGAUAGCGACUGUAGAUUUCUCUUAGCUUCACAAUAGGACCUCUUAUACACAUUUCCAUAUCCCACAACUAGUAAGAUCGUUGUUGCAUAUCAAUGCAAGUAUCAUUAUUUUAACCUCAUCUCAUUCUGUCUCGAGUUCUUUUUCCUAUUGCUUCUGUGUAUGUGACACUGCUCUUGGAUAGUACAUAAAUAUGUUUCUAUAAUUUCUUCCCUCAGAAGUAGAAGAAGGUGAAGAGCCGGCAGAUGCUGGUGCUUAUCGUGCUGUUGGUUUCUCAUAUGGAAACACUGAUGAUUUUGCUGACAGAAAGAGUUCUGAGGCCCAGGAAAGCUCCGACUUCCGUCCCUCCUUUCCAGUGCCGGAAAGCCUUCUUCAGUGCUUGGUAAGCUUGUGCUCUGUGAUUUGUUUUUCUUGUCUGCUUUCGUAAAGCUUGGAUAUUGGUGUUUUCAUGCUUACGAGGUUUUCCCAUGUGGCCAAUGCUACUAGUUGUCUAAACCAUAUGUUAUUCUAAGGCUCACUGUGUCUAAGUUUUCAGAUGCUCGGAGCAGGGAUGGAGUUCCUUUGUCUAAGGUUGCCACUGACAGGCACCUUGUUCCCUUUUGAUGCAUGAGCAAGGGGCAGUGCAGGUGGGAUUAGGAAUGUAAAAAGUUUUCUUUGUAAGGACAAUUUGUUGCUAGUUGAGAGGGAUCUUCCCUUAAUUCACUUGAUAUUGCUCUUUUAUUCAUACUUGUGGAUUGGUAUGUUUGAAGCUUCAGAUUAUAUGUAAGGUUCUAGCUUAUUUUUAUCCAGAAUUGUGAAUUCUACAUUUUAAUGAAGUCUUUUGUUUCUUUUGGUUUUCAAUCUUUUUGCAGCCACCAACAGAAAAGUUACAUCAGAUAAUUGCCAGGACUGCUCUGUUUGUGAGCAAACAUGGUGGGCAGUCAGAGAUUGUUCUCAGAGUGAAGCAGGGAGACAAUCCAACAUUUGGGUUCUUAAUGCCUGAUCACGCUCUUCAUGCAUACUUUAGGUUUCUUGUUGAUCAUCCCGAACUUUUACAGUCUGAUAGUGAUUUGAACACUCAAGGUGAAGGGAAAAAUACUUCUAAUGAGCACAAGGAACAUGAUGGUGUUGGAGGUGCUUUAUCUAUGCUUGGUUCUGUAUAUGGGUUUGGGGAGGAUGAGGAGCCUGCAAAUGGGGAUGAUCCUGGAUCCAGAGUUUCCAGUGCACCGGUUGAUGUCUCUGAUAUCUCUAACAUUUCCCGUCCGCUUGAAAGGGCUGAAUCUAGUUCUAAGGCAUUUGAAAAUGGUGUGAGAGAAAAAGAUGAGAAAGUUUCAACUCAUUCUCUUCGUUCUGGUAAAGAUAAAGAAAAGACUCCUGCAAUGAAAACGAAUAAUUUGAUUAGUGCUUCCAAGAGCGGAAGUAGAAGGAGCACGCGGAAGGAAGAUAACUCUAGUUCGUUGGCUGCAUCAAAAAAGACAAAGUUAGAUAUUUCUGGUUUAGGAGCUAUGACUAAGCCUGGACCUUUGGUGGAGCCUCCAUCUGAAUUGAAGAAAUUGAUUGAUAAGAUUGUAGAGUUCAUUCUGAAGAAUGGAAAGCAGUUUGAGUCUACUCUUAUGGAACAGGACAGCAAACACGGGCGAUUCCCGUUUCUUCUUCCGUCCAACCAGUAUCAUCCUUACUAUCUAAAAGUACUCCAGAGAGCUCAAGAGGUGAAAGUUCUCUCUCUGUCUGGGAAAUGUCAUAUGGGUUCUUCUUCAUUCAAAUGGCUAGUCUUUUUAAAGUUUUUUUAAUGAACUUAAAUUUGAGCAUAUUUUCUUAGUUUCUUGAACUUAGCAUUUGUUUCUUUGACCAAUUAGCAGUAUUUUCUCUUUGGUUCUCGAUUAUUGGUGUAGCUAAUGCAUGUGAGCCUGGUUAUACUACUUUCCUUUUGGAGAGAAGUGUGUGGAAUUACUUUUAACAUUGCGUCUUUGUCUCCACUUUGUUGUGCAGUCAAAAGUCCAUGGAUCAGAAAAGAGAUCUUCUUUGAAGGGAAGUGAUUCUACCUCUUUAGGAUCUGCAGAGAAUGAUCUGCCAUAUGUAUAUGAUAAGAAAGAGAAGUUUAAGAUGGUGAUUGGCAAAUCCAAGAAGGAAACACAAGACUCUUCGGCUAGAGCUUCACAGCAAGAGGUUGAGGUCGGUGUGGACGCUGCUGCUGCUGCUGCUAUCCUUCAGGCUGCCACUAGAGGUAUUAAGAAACCCAAUUUGAGUAUCAUCUCAGGCUCAUCUAAGAACGGCGAUAGUCAGGGUCACAGCAGUGAUGGUGCCCAAGCCUCAAGCUUCUCCAAUGUACCUCCGCGUGGGCCCAGUAUAGUUGGUCAGAAGUCGGACAAGAGGAUGGAACAUAGUGUUUCGAUUCCAAAGGUGAAGGAAAUUGCAAAGUCUGCUGCCGCUGAAGCUGCAGGUGAAGCAGAUUCCUCUGAAGCACACUUGAGCAAAGAGCAGAAGCUAAAAGCGGAGAGGCUGAGAAGGGCGAAGAUGUUUGUUGCCCUUUUAAAAGGUGGAGCAGCUCCUGCCAAAAGAGAUUCACUUGGAGGGUCAGUGGAACUACAAGAAUCUGCCAUAUCAGGCUCUGUUGCAGAGACUAAAGUUGUUACUAAAGAAAGAGAGGGCAGUGCAGCUCCGGCAGAACUGACUGCUAGGGAGAGGGAAGGCAGUACAGCUCCAUUAAAUAACAAUAUGUCGAAUGAAAAUGAGAUAUCUGAAAUGAAAAAUACUGUUGAAGAGCACGAGCGGCGAGCUAGAAGGAAAUACAGGUCAAGAUCUGGUAUGCACAAAGAUGAGGAUGAAGAGGAAGAGAGACAGGAAGAAGAGGAGGAAGAGGAACAGCGCUCUAGGAAGAAGCGCCGCUCUUCAAGAAAAGAUGACGAGGAAGAAAGUGGUGAGGCAAGGGAUGAUAAGCGAUCCAGAAAAAAGAGGCGAUCACGCCGUCAGAGACACAGAGAUAGUGAAAAUGCUGAUGGGGAUGAGGAUGAUGAAGAUACUAGGCGAUCAAGAAAGAAGCAUCGCAGGCGACAUUCAUCCCCCGAAGAUGAUGACGAGCAAAGAGAUGCAGAGAGACAUCAUAAGCAUGGAAGGAAAAAACAUUCAAGUCAUCGGUCUUCACGUGAAAAUAGGAAAGAUGAUUAUGAGGGGGAUCAUAAGCAUUCCAAGAAGAAACGUAAAUCUCACAGAAGCUCCCACCGCAGCAGAGACAGACAUGAACACAGGACGAAGGAUUCUAGUGAUGAUGAGUCCGAUAGAUCCCGUAGAACCUCCCAUCACAGUAAAGAUAGACACAAACUCAGAACAAAAGAUUCUAGCGACGAUGAACCUGAACACAACCAUAAGCAUGCAAGCUCUGCCGACGAUGAAGAGCAGCGGUAUGACAGGGCUGAUAAGAAUGAUAAAGGUACAAAAGAAAGAGAAGAACUGGAAGAAGGUGAGAUCCUUGCCAAAGUGUCGGAUCAAUCAAGAGGAAGUUUGGGAGGUUCCGUCAGCAGAGAAGCUUCAGUGGAUGUAUCUAGUUCCCAGCAAAGAGCCUCGUCUCAGCCGUCUGAAUCUACUGAGAUAUCAGAUGAUCUUAGGGCCAAAAUCCGCGCAAUGUUAAUGGCGACUAGGACGUAGUUAAGGAAUCGCCAAUCUCGGUACAUUACCUAGAGAAUCCUUUGCAUUGUAAAAACUCCUUGUUGAAUCUUGAUUUACUAUUUGAUAAUUCUGAUUUUCAUCCUCCUUUCUCUCUGCUAUUCAAGUUUUCUGCCCCUUCAGUGUAAAAGGGCAUUCGACUGUUUCGUUGUUAAUCUAUUAAAGGUGUAUGUAUAAUAUAAUUAUACUUGGGGGUCGUUUGGUAGAGUGUACAAGAAUAAUGUCGUGUAAGGUGUAUUAGUAACUACAUUUUGACAAUUAGUUUUAUUUUAAUUUGAGAAAUGAUUUUAAAUCUUUUUGGGGAAGACUUGAAUUUGCUAAUAUGAAACUCUGAUGAAAUUAGCUACUAUAAGUAGAAUGAUCAAUGUGAUAUUGAUGAAUGAGAAGUAUAAUGAGUUGAGCCAUCUUUGACAAUAAAUCAACAAUUUGCGUUUAAACCAACGUUUAUAUAUUAGACGUAGGAGGAUCUUUGAUAUCUCUUCGUCUGCAAAUAAUUCUCAAUGUGAACAAAAAGCCAAGAUAACGCCCAUCUUUAAAAAAGUUAUAUAUAACAUCCAUCUUUAAAAAAGUUAUUUGAGUACACCAACAACAUACUAGUGUAAUUCAAUAAAAGUGGGGCUUGAGAGGGUAGAGCAUAUGUAGUUCGUACCACUAGCUCAAAGGUGAGGUAAAGAAACUGUAUCCGACAGAUCCUUGACUCAAAAUAAAAAUAGUACAGAAAAAGACGUAAUGUAAGACCCAGAAACAAUAGGUAGUACCAAGACAACAAAUAAUCACACAUAUCAAAAAAAGUUAUUGAGUUUAUUUAUAUAAUUUUUUCUUGAGCUUAGUCGGAAUUAUCUACCUCACACCAGGUGCGAGUAAGGUCUGUGUAUACUUUAACCUCUCCAAACUCCAUCCGUAAUCUCACAUUGGGUACGUUAUACAUAUACAAAAUUAAAUUUAAACCAUUUUAGCAAAAUUUCUAAUUUAGUAACUAAAUUGUAACAUUUUGAGAACCAUUUUAGCAAAAUUUCUAAUUUAGUAACUAAAUUGUAACAUUUUGAGAAACAUUGCUCUUUAUAUAGUAAAUAAAUAAUUAUAUUUCCGUUACAUAUAACAGCUUAUAUUUAUAUUUAUAUUUAUAUUAUAAGAAUAUAUUCCAAAAAGAUUCAACAGAAGAAAAAAAAAGCAUAUUACUGUGCAAAAUUUAUAAUGUUAUUAUAUACUGAGUUGCAGUAUGUAAUUAGUAUGGUAACAAGUAAUGAUAUAUAGACAAAAAAAAAAGGGUUAUUUCUUUUUAUUUAUCUUAAUUUUUGUAUAGUGAGAGAUAAUUGGUAUCUAAUAAAAUAGUCGAAGAAGCAUCAUAUCACCAUAGUCCUAGAAUUCAGAACCAUAAAAUUCUAAUUUCUAAUAUCGCUUGCGAUAUGUUCAGCCUUGUGCACAAGCUGAUCCAAACAUCACCGCCCAUCGUAUUUAUUAUGACUUAUACAAAGACAGAGGCAGAGUCAACAUUUGGCAAGAGGUUCAUCCCUAGAAUUCAGAACCAUAAAAUAGUCAAAGAAGCAUAAUAUCACCUUCGUCCUCGAAUUCAGAAUCAUAAAAUUCUAAUACUGCCUCAAUAUGUUCAUCUCUGUGCACAAGCCGACCCAAAUUAAACAUCACCAUCCAUCGUAUUUAUCAUGACUUAUACAAAGACAACGACGGAGCCAGCCUUUGGCAAGUGGUUCAUCUAAACCCACUUCAAUGAAAAAUUGUACUAUUUAUUUUUUUUUUUUUUUUUUUUUUUUAUGUAACCCUUUCGGUUAGUUUUUCUUCGAACUUUGAACCCCAUCAGUUGUAAUCCUGACUCCGCCUUUAAAGCUUCUUUUAGACUUAUUCUUUUUGGGAUCUUGUAAAACACAAACAUCACCAUUGCACACCAAUUUGUUUGAGCUUGAGGACUUAGAGAAACAACUAAAAAAUUUGAACAAAGCCAUAUGUAAGAACAUAUAAAAUUUACCUAUAUAUAUUGCUACAAAAUUGGGUACUUUUUGGUGAAUGAUAAAAUGAGCAAUAUAUAUAUGUAUAUAUAUAUAUAUAUAGAUGUAACAACAUAUGAACAAAUUCCACCUUGCUAUUUGCUUAUUAUAGUCAAUUUAUAGGUGGAAAUGACCUACCAAAUAAUAAUAAAACAACUAUACAAGACAUAAAAGGGCAUCCCGGCACUAAAGCUCUUGCUAUGUGUGGGGUCCAAAACAGAGGCGGAGCUAGCCUCCUUUAGGGAGUUCGGCCGAACCCUCUUCGACGGAAAAAUAUACUAUUUAUGCAUGAUUAAAAUUAUUUUUUAUGUGGUUAUAGUAGGUGUUGAACCCCUUUCGACUAAGUUUUCUUUGAAUAUUGAACCCCCUCAGUUGAAAUCCUGGCUCCGCCUCUAGUUUGAAAGGACCAGACUGUCCGAGUCUAUUGUAUAUAAUCCUAUUUUGUGUGUAUGCAAGAGAAUGUUUUCAUGAUUUGAAUCCGUGACCUCCGAUCAUGUUAAAAAUAUGAUCGAUUAUAUGAGACAGGGAAAUAGUUACUCCCUUCGUCCAUGUUUACUUAUCCAUAUUUGACUUGGUACACCCUUUAAGAAACAAUACAUAAAAUAAUAAAUUUACUAUAGUACUCUUAUUAAUAAAAAGUUUGGUAGAUUUUGGUGAAUGAUAAAUUAAGCACUAUAUAUAUUUAUAGAUGUAACAAUAAAUGAACAAAUUCCAGAUUGCUAUAUGCUUAUAGUCAAUUUAUAGGUGCAAUGACCUACCAAAUAAGUAUAAUACAAGACAUAAAAGGGCAUCCCGGUACUAAAGCUAUCGCUAUGUGUGGGGUCCGAAAAAGACCAGACCGCAAGGGUCCAUUAUAUACAACCUUAUUUUGCAUUUAUGCAAUAGGAUAUUUCCACGACUUGAACCAAUGACCUCCUGAUCAAGUUAAAAGUACGAUAGAUAAUUUGAGACGGAGAAAUAAUUACUCCAUUCGUCCAUAUUUACUUGUAUGUGUUUGACUCGAUACACCGUUUAAGAAACAACAAUUAAAAUGAUAAUUUUACUAUAUUACUCUUAUUAAUAAAAAAUUGGUACAUUUUGGUGAAUGAUAUAUUAAGCAUUACAUAUGUAUAGAUGCAACAUUGGUGAUGCAGUGGAUGGACUCCCUUAAUCAGAGGUCUCGGGUUCGAGCCCUGGGUAUGGAAAAAUUCUUGGCAGGGAGCGCUACCCCCCGAAUGGGGUCCUACUCAGCGUGAAUUCAAAUUAGUCGAGCUCCAAUACAGGUACCAGAGACCGAAUAGAAAACCAAAAUAAAAAUAGAUGCAACAUUGAAAAACAUGGAAACAUGUGGCAAUUAUAUAGUCAAUUUAUUAUAGGUGGCAUGGCCUACCAAAUAAGUAUACUUUCUUAGUAAUUGUUGUUAAUAUUUGAGACUAAUAAAUGAAUACAAGGCAUGUCUAUUAAUUUUUUUUUUCUUUUUUUUUUUACGAACGUAUAGAAAAGAAAUACGACACAUAAUUUAAGAAAAUGUCCCAAUAUAAGUGAUUUGCGGUAAGAAUUUUUGACUUUUUAUCCAAUUUUAUUUAUUUUUCUUUUCUUUCCGUGUCUGAGUAAGAUGAAUUUAAUAUUUUUACUUGAUGUUUUCAAUUAAAAAUAAUUGUUUUUUUUUUUUCAUAAGGGAGAGGUAGGAUUGCACACGCACCAUCAUUCUUUACACCUCACUUAUAGAAUUACAUUUGAUAUAUUAUUGUUGUCGUAAAAGAUAUUAAAUCCAAUUAAGUUUGAUAUGUUAUUGUUGUCAUAGAAGAUAUUGAAUCCAAUUACGUUCGAUAUAUUAUUGUUGUUGUAGAAGAUAUUGAAUCCAAUUUAACAUGCCAUUUGUCCAAGUACAACUUUUAAAGAGCCCUAAUGCAAUAUUUGUUGGUUUCAUUGUCCAUUGAUUAUUACAUUCAAAUACAUUUUUUUGGGGCUUAAUACAUAAAAAUGUCUUUUAAUUUGGCUUCAAAUUACACCUAUGAUAUUUAAUUUUAGGUGUGCAUAAGUAGACAAUUAAAUUUGUAUAAAGUUGAAGAACUAGACACACAUAUCUUAUGUGGCAUAAUACACGUAGGACGACAUCUAGGACGAGAAUUGGCCACAUUGAAAAACUAAUUUUAUAAUAUAAAAAUAAUAUAAUUUUCGAAACCCCUCAAUAAAAAUUCUGACUCCACCAUUGCGCCACAACCAUGUCAUACUCCAUUGUUCUAAUUAAUAGAUACAAUAGACACAACACACACAAUUUAACAAAGAUCUAAAUUCAUACAAAAUCCUACUUCCCUUAUUAGUCCAACUCAAAAAGAGAUAAAACAUCCAGUAUUCCCGAACUAUGAUCAAAAUUGCUACGACAUACUCCAACUUCACAAGAGUCCUACUACCUGAUGAACUCGAUUUUAACAUAUUUUUAUUACCUUUUUGUUCUGACGUGACAUUUUUAUUACAUAAAAUGGGGUUCACGUCAAAAGUGCCACAUCAGCUAAAAAGGUUGACAAAAGGUGUCACGUUAGCUAAAAAGAUUGACAAAAAUACGCUAAAAUUUAGUUCAAGGGGGUAAUAGAACCCCCGUAAAGUUGGAGUGUAUCGUAGCAAAUUUGGUCAUAGUUCGGGGGCUACUAGAUGCUUUGCUCACUCAAAAAUAAUGUUUUUCUUCUUGACAUUUUUUUAAUUCUAACUUUAUACGUGAUAUAUUUAAGACCACGAUAUUAAAAGAAUAGGUAUUUCAUUAAAUGAAGUAAAAUAAAGUAAUAGUAAUUGAUAGGUGGUGGGUGCUAAAUAAUUAUUUAAUAUAGAUUAAUCUGAAAUCUGAUUCAAUUGUAAUAUAGUAUUAUUAUCACAAAUUUUAUUUCUUAUAUAAUUGUGUUGCUUUUUGUCAAUUAGCAAAAAGAUACAUAGUACAACUUAUAUAAUUAACAUCUUAAUUAAGAUUAGUUACAAAGUCAAAUAAAUAAAAUUAUGCCAUUUGCUAAAAUCCUAGAACGUGCUAAUCACGUCUUUAUCUUUUAGCAUAAUAUAUUAAAUACACCAAUUAUUAAAUAUCUUUAAAAAAAAAAUUAUGAAAAUUUUGUCUAUAUAGAUAAGUUAAUUAGGGUGAUUAGAAUAUUUUGGCCAAGUAAAUUAAUUAAAAGUAGUUAUUAUCAAAGCUUCAUCAAAGUCACCUUGAAAUUUUGGAUUUUUUUAUUUGUAAUUUAUUCAACAAAUAAGAUACAAUAGGUAAUUAUUAAAAAAUAAAUAGAGUUUUAGACGUAAAGAAAUCAAUUUUGGGUCUGUCUACCUCUGAGAACAAAGUCACCUUCGUUAGAAAGUAUUUUACCCCUAACAUAAAACUUUCCGACUCGAAUAAAAAUUUAAACGCACAAUUUGUUAUCUAAUAUUGAGUCAGAUAAUUUAGAGUUUAAUUACUGAAAAUCCUGAUUUUGGGUUUGUCUACCUCUGAGAAUAAAUUAUUGAAAAUUUCGAUUUUGGGUCUGUCUAUCUCUGAGAACAAAGUCACCUUCAUUAGAAAGCACUUUACUCCUACUGUUGAAAUUUUCCGACGCAAAUUAAAAUUUAAUCGAACAAUUUGAUACCGAACAUCGAGGGAAAAAACAAAAGAAACUCUCCAUUAUUACAUGCUUAUCAACCUUCCCCUAUCACAUCAUCAAACUUUUAUUAUAAGAUAAAAAAAUGAAUAAAAUACAAAUAAAGUCUAUUAUUUAAUAUCACAUCAUCAAACUUUUAUUAUAAGAUAAAAAAAUGAAUAAAAUACAAAUAAAGUCUAUUAUUUAAUAUCACAUCAUCAAACUUUUAUUAUAAGAUAAAAAAAUGAAUAAAAUACAAAUAAAGUCUAUUAUUUAAUAUCACAUCAUCAAACUUUUAUUAUAAGAUCAAAAAAUGAAUAAAAUACAAAUAAAGUCUAUUAUUUAAGACAUCUGUAGGACAAUUUUUUUGUUCUCUUUCCCCUUAAUUACUCACACUUUUUUUUUUCUCUAUGUAAAGAGUUCUUCAUAAUUUAAAGUAAGAUAAUUUUUUUUCUUCAUGUUGUUAAUAUUUUUAUAGAAGAAAAUAAUAUUUUCAUCUCUUUUUAGUUCUUUUUUUUUUUCUCUUUAAUUCCUUUUCUAUGAGCUAAAAUAUUUAUUUAUCCCAUAUAUGCAGAUAUUAAAUCUUUGUGGCAAGUUUCAUUUGAAGGAAUUAAAAGGUACAUUUUGGUAAGUAUUCUUUGCUUAAUUUUUGUGUAUGGUUUUCUAUGUGAUGUUAUUUUAUGUUGUUCGGAUUUUUCAAAAAUAUUAUAGUAUUCAUAUUGAGUUCUUUAAAAAUGCACUGUUUUAGGUUAUGUCGUUCGGACUUUUCAAAAAUAUUGUAGUAUUCGUAAUGGAUUCUUGAAAAAUACACUAUUUUAGAAGAUUCAACGCGUACCUAUCGACAUUUUUAAGAGUCAGAACAACAUAAUAAUUGUCUGGUGUCUUGUUGCUCGAACUUUUCAAAUAUGUUACAGUACUCGUUUCGGAUUCUCCAACAAUGCACUAUUUUAAACGAUUCGAUGUUCACUCAUCGAUAUUAUAUUUUUAAAAAGUCCGAGCAAUAUAAUUGUCUGAUAUGCGCAUUGGAGCGUCCGAUUAUCUGAUUUCACAUAGUGUAAGUUCCAUUUAAGGGAAAAACACAUCAUACCAUUGUAGUACUCGCGUUGAAUUCUUCAAAAGUACAUUAUUUUUCGACUCAUAUCCAUCGAUAUUUUUAAAACUCCGAUCAACAUAAGUGUAGUGUCCGGCUAUGUUGCUUGAACUUUUCAAAAAUGUUAUAGUACUCGUAUUGAAUUUUUCAAAAAAUGCACAAUAUUUGAAAGAUUUAAUGUGCACUUAUCGAUAUUUUUGAAGAGUCUGAUAACAUAAUUAUAUUUUCCCUUCUCUAUAUUGUUGAAAGACAAAAAAUGACUCAUUAUUUACUUAGUUGACUUGAUUGAAAUUUUGUGUUUUUUUUUUUUUUUUAGAAAAUGUCAUCAAUCAACAAUGAAGAAUUUCAAGAAGAAGAUAUUUGGGGUUAUACUAAUAACAAUAACAAUAAUAUUGUUAAUGAAAAAAAUCAAAUUAAUUCCAAGUUUAUGCCAAGAAGGUUAAUUAUUCCCACUUCAUCCAAGAUGAUUCCAAAGUCAAAAAACAAGAAGUCAAAUCAGGAAUUCGCAAUUGUCCAGCAUUCUGCUCCAGUAAAAAUACCUGAUUGGUCAAAAGUGUAUGGUACAAGUUCCAAAAAUGAUAUUGGUAAUUUUGUGACAAAUAAUAAAUGUGAUUUUGGAAUUGAUGAUGAUGAAGAAAUUGAAGAAAAUGUAAUGCCACCACAUGAAUGGCUAGCUAAAAGGCUUGGUAGAAGACAAUUUUCUUCAUUUUCAGUGUGUGAAGGUGUUGGAAGGACAUUAAAAGGAAGAGAUUUAAGUAGGGUAAGAAAUGCUGUUUUAACAAAAACUGGAUUUCUUGAAUAAAUUUGAAAAUAAUCAUCAAUGAUCAUUUGGAGGGGUGGGGUGGGGUGAGGGAGGUUGAGAAUUGGGGUCCCGAAUGAAUCUUGGUGGUGAAACUUUUUACUUUUGUUAUUUAAUGUUUAAGUUUAAAGUAAGGUGAUUUCUUUUCAUCUGGAAAUGAAUUUUGAAAGUUUGUAAAUAUGUGAUGCUGUAUAUGUACUUUGAUUCUUGGAAGUUCGUCGAUAUUUGUGCUGAAGAAAGAUAGCAAGUCCUUAGUGAAAUAAUUCAGGUCUGCCAGUGAAAAUUGGGUUCCCAUAUGAAUAUUGGUGGUGGAAAUUUUUGCUUUUGUAUUUUGAUGUUCAAGUUUAAAGUUAGGUAUUUUUUUUAUCUGUACGUGAAUCUUGAAAGUUUGUAAAUACAUGAUGUUGCCAUACAUACUUCGAGUCUUGAAAGUUCGUCGAUACUUGUGCUGAUGAAAGAGAGCAAGUGCUCAGUGAAAUAAUUCAGAUUGUACCAGUUGACCCCAAGUGGUCUUGGAAGUAAAAAGUCACGCGGUUUCUUUCGUCUCCUUCCGGUCUCGAUUUUUAUUGAUUAGCUUCCUCUUUCAUGUAAGUAGUUGGUUCAUUUAUGGCGUUGAAUUUUUUGAUCUUUCGCUUAACUCACCUGAUUGUUCGCUUCCACACUCCGAAGAAAUUUCCUCUUUCAUUUUCCUUUCUCAUAUAUGAUCAUGAAUUUUUGAAUUUAAAUACUUAUGUUGGUGAAAGAUAAUAAAUAUAAGUCUAUGCAUAUCAACCAAAAAAUAAAAAUAACUCGAAAUCAUUGCUGUUGUUAUAAAAAGACUUGACUGUAUAUAUAAUAUCUGUGUGUUUUAUUAUAAUUUUAAAACUUGUAUUUAUAUAAUUAUUUUAGUUCGGGGGUUUUCUGUUAUUUCUGCUUAAAAUCAAAACCAAACUAAUAUUAAUCAAUUUUUAAAAUUAAACCCAUAACCAAAUCAAAUUAAAAAAAAUAUCAAUUUUUUCUUUCAAUUUAAAAAGAAUGUCAUUUUUUCCCUUUCAAUUUGAUAUUUCGAUUUCUCGUGAACAUUCCUACAAUUUCACAUAUAUUUCUGACAAGAAAAAAUGAUUAAUAUUUUUAUAUAAUCGUUCGAUAUUAGAUUUAGUGAUUUACUUCUUCGAAUAAUUAAAAUUCGUAUCAUAUAAAAUCCAUAAAAAAAAUAUUAAUAUAUUUUUUCCUUGUCAAACAAGAAUUAUAUUUCUUCCUUGUCAAACAAGAAUUAGAAUUCUUUUUUUUUAUUAGGACAAAAAAGUUAAAUCCAUAUUUUAUUAGGAAAAUAAAACCGCCAUAAUUCUUCCUAUAUAUACCCUACAAAAAUAAUCGAAACCUUAUUAUUAAUCCUCCAUCUAAGAUCUAGAUUAUUUUAUUGGUGUUUUAAGGGAGUCUGAGCCAAAAGGGUUUUUUUUUUUUAUCAAAAAUUCUAAAAGGAACAUUUACUUUCGGAAAAAAUCAAAACGGACAAAACGCUGCGGGCUCUGCGACUUACAAGUUGCCCGAGGCCCAGCGACUUGCAAGUGUUCACUGUUCACCUCCUUCUUUUUCUUUUUUUUUUUCCUAUCCUUAACAUAAUCAUUUUUACUCCUUUCUUUUCACUUUCAUUUUGACCGAGAACAAUAAUACUCACCCACUCAAAGAUUUCACACUACAUAGACCAUUCACAUAUGGGAGCAACAGAAAAGAAUAGAGAACAUUGCAUCAUCUUUCUUUUUCUCCAACGACUGGAAAACAUAAACACAAAUAAUUCUUCAUUUUCAUCAUUUCACAAUUCCACUCUAUUAGCACACAAUGUAUUUAAAUAAUUUAAGUUGUUAAUUAUUGUAAUUUAUUAUAUUUUUUAUGUAAUUUUUAUAUUAAUAUACGUUACUUUUCUUAUCCAAAUUUUUGUGGCAUUGAUAGUCAAUUAUAUUUUAAAAAUAAUUUAAGUUUUUAAUUAUUGUGAUUUAUAAUACUUUCUUCUAUUAUUUACAGUACUUUUUAUUUAAUUUUCAAAUAAUAUAUGUUGCUUUAUAUCUUCUUCUGUCCCGUCCCAAUUUAUAUGGCACUAAUAUAAUUUUGAUAGUCAAUCAAAUAUUUUAUUGAUAUGUCAUUUUGUUAUUCUUAUUUUUCUAAUACAUAAUGACUUAUAAUAAGGAGUGAUAUAGUAAAAUCAUCGUUCGAAAGACGAAAAUUUAAUUUAAAACAUUAAGAUUUAAUUUCACAUUUUAUGUCUAUUUUAUUUUUUAUAAAAUAUUAUUUAUUUUCUUAAUAAUUAGAUGACUCAUAAUAAUUAAUUAAGAGCGAUUGAUUAUGUUAUUACUAUAAAAAUUAAUAUAAUUUUAAGAGUGAUUGAUUAUGUUAUUACUAUAAAAAUUAAUAUAAUUUUAUCAUAUCCAAUAGUAAUCAUCAAUAAUUCACCGGAAUAGUAUAUUAAUUAAAUACGUGAUGCUAUAUUUACAUAUGCAAAAUAUGAUAUUAUUAAACAUUAUUGGAUAGUGCAUUAUAUUUAUCUUUCACAAUAAUAAAAUUUUACUAUAUAUUUUUCUUUAUUUCUUUUUAACUUGAUACAUAUUGACCCACCACAAAUUCUAAGAAAAUAUUCAUUAGAAAUUUAUUUUAUUAAAUUAAAUUUAUUAAUUUUGUAAUUUAAAAAUUUAAAGUCAANNNNNNNNNNNNNNNNNNNNNNNNNNNNNNNNNNNNNNNNNNNNNNNNNNNNNNNNNNNNNNNNNNNNNNNNNNNNNNNNNNNNNNNNNNNNNNNNNNNNNNNNNNNNNNNNNNNNNNNNNNNNNNNNNNNNNNNNNNNNNNNNNNNNNNNNNNNNNNNNNNNNNNNNNNNNNNNNNNNNNNNNNNNNNNNNNNNNNNNNNNNNNNNNNNNNNNNNNNNNNNNNNNNNNNNNNNNNNNNNNNNNNNNNNNNNNNNNNNNNNNNNNNNNNNNNNNNNNNNNNNNNNNNNNNNNNNNNNNNNNNNNNNNNNNNNNNNNNNNNNNNNNNNNNNNNNNNNNNNNNNNNNNNNNNNNNNNNNNNNNNNNNNNNNNNNNNNNNNNNNNNNNNNNNNNNNNNNNNNNNNNNNNNNACUAAAAUUUUAUAUAUCUCUUAAGUAUUUUAAAUUGUUAAUUAUUAUGAUUUGCAGUACUUUUUCUUUUAUCUCAAUUUAUGUGGCAUUACUAAAAUAAUGAGAGUCAAUAAAAUUUUUAUAUGUCUUUUAAAUAUUUUAAGUUAUUAAUUAUUGUGAUUUGUGAUAGCAAAUUAGUUUUGAACAUGAUAGCAAAUUAAAUAAAAAAAAACUACUUUCAAUAAGUAGUUAUAGUUAAUUAAUAUAAACUAAUAGAAUAUAUUAAAUAUUUAAAUCAAUAUGCUGGAACAAUGGAAUUAUUAUAUAUUGAGGCAUGAUAUGUAAUUAAGUGAGAGUAAAGGGUUUUUUUUGGUAAGAGUCAAUAAAUUUCUAUAUGUCUUUUAAAUACUUUAAGUUAUUAAUUAUUGUGAUUUAUGGUAACAAAUUAGUUUUGAACAUGAUAGAAAAUUAAAUUAAAAAAAAAUUACUUCCAAUAUGUAGUUAUAGUUAAUUAAUAUAAAUUAAUUGAAUAUAUUAAAUAUUUAAAUUAUAAUGAUGAAAAAAUGAAAUUAUUAUAUAUUGGGUGAAUAUUAUUGUUCUCGAUCAAAAUGAAAGAGAAAAGAAAGGAGUAAAAAUGAUGAUGUUAAGGAUGAGGACAAAAAAAAAAAGGAGGAGGUGAACAGUGAACACUUGCAAGUCGCUGGGCCCCAGGCGACUUACAAGCCGCUGGGCCUCGGGCGACUUGUAAGUCGCAGGGCCCACAGCGUUUUUUCCAUUUUUGUUUUUUUUUUUCGAAAGUAAGUGUCCCUUUUGGAAUUUUUGAUAAUAAAAAAAGAGCCCUUUUGGCUCCGGACUCGUUUUAAGGUAAGUUCUUUUUAUUAGUUCACGAAAAAUUUGGUUCUGAAUAAAUUAUUUAUACAUUUUAUAAACAAUAUUUACACAAUGUAGGUCACGUAGAAUAGCACUGAGUUUGUUGUUAUUAUCGUUGUAGGUCACUUAAGAACUUCGAAAGAUCUAUGUUUGCAAUUCGUAUUUUUAAAUUUCAGAUUUGUAGGUCACGCAAAAUAUAUGGACUAUACUAGGGUUUUUGUUAUUAGGUUUGUUGUUAUUGUCGUUGUAGGUCACUCAAGAACUUCGAAAGAUCUAUGUACGCAAUUUGUAUUUUUGAUUUUCAGAUUUGUAGGUCACGAAGAAUAUAUGGACUAUACUAGGUUUUGGUUAUAGGUUUGUUGUUAUUGUCGUUGUAGGUCACUUAAGAACUUUGAAAGAUCUAUUUUUGCAAUUUGAAUAUUUGAUUUUCAGAUUUGUAGGUCACGUAGAAUAUAUGGACUAUACUAGGGUUUUUGUUAUUAGGUUUGUUGUUAUUGUCGUUGUAGGUCACUUAAGGACUUCGAAAGAUCUAUGUUUGCAAUUUGUAUGUUUGAUUUUCAGAUUUGUAGGUCACGUAGAAUAUAUGGACUAUACUAGGGUUUUUGUUAUUAGGUUUGUUGUUAUUGUCGUUGUAGGUCACUCAAAAACUUCAAAAGAUCUAUUUUUGCAAUUUGUAUUUUUGGAUUUCAGAUUUUUAGGUCACGUAGAAUAUAUGGACUAUACUAGGGUUUUUGUUAUUAGGUUUGUUGUUAUUGUCGUUGUAGGUCACUCAAGAACUUCGAAAGAUCUAUUUUUUCAAUUUGUAUUUUUGGAUUUCAGAUUUCUAGGUCACGAAGAAUAUAUGGACUAUAUUAGGUUUGUUGUUAUUGUCGUUGUAGGUCACUUAAGAACUUCGAAAGAUCAAUUUUUACAAUUUAUAUUUUUGAUUUUUGAUUUAAAGAUUGAAUAAUUUUGUUUGUAUAGCAACUUUAUUAUUUGACUAAUUUUUUUUUCUUUUCAGAUUUUUAUUUGUUGAGUUAUCAACUUCAAUUUCAAAUUGGAUUCAAGUUCUCAUAUAACAACAACUUACAUCUUUGAUAUAAAAGUUGAAAUCCCAACUUCUUUUGAUCCAUUCGAGAUGGAGGACAAGGACUCAGGCUCCUCGCGUGCCCCUGGUGCCAAGGACAAGGGCCCCCGCUCGCAUGCCCCUGAUACCAAGGACAAGGGCUCCCACUCGCGUGCCUCUGAUACCAAGUACAAGGAUGAUGAUCAAAUCCCAAUGACUUUUGAUGAUCCAUUCGAGGAGGAUAAGGACUCAGGUUCCACUAGCCCUAAGGGGUCACGUGCCCCUAAUGCCAAGGUCAAGGGCUCCCACUCGCGUGCCUCUGAUACCAAGUUAAGGAUGAUGUUCGAAUCCCAAUGAAUUUUGAUGAUCCAUUCGAGGAGGACAAGGACUCAGGCUCCCCUAAUUCCAGGGUCAAGGGCUCCCAUUUGCGUGCCUCUGAUACCAAGUACAAGGAUGAUUGUCACGCCCCAAAAUUCCAUCGGGCCGGACUGGCACCUGAAGCCGAGAAGGCCCGGGAGAACCCGUUCAAAUACCUGUACUUUCACUUACAUGUCACCAAAAAUUGGACAGCACUUCGUUGCAUAUAGAAGGAUCUAAUUACCUGUAUCAGCACAACACGCACAAAUAUAUAUAUAUAUAAUACUUGGCCGUCGGGGCCACCACAUAUACAGAUAUAACAUCACUAUAUAAACUUCCAUGACUUUACCCUUCCUUAUGUCUACAAAGCCUCUAGGAUAUACAUGACAUAACUAGGGUCGGGACAAACCCCCGCCCACACAUGACUCAUGUACAAUAACAAAACAUAAGGAACCGACUCGGAAAGCUCCGAAGCAAACUGGAGCUCACCAACAAUAGCUGUAUGACCUGGCUCCUACUUGUGCGGUGUAUGAGCUGAGGUACCUGUGCCUGCAGCAUGAAAUGCAGGUCCCCCGUGAGGGACGUCAGUACGAAAUAUGUACUGAGUAUGUAAAGCUGUAAAUAAUCACAUAUGAUAUAGGAGCUCAAUAGAAAUCAGAAACAAGUGAAUAAGUCGUAAUAGGAGUGGACCACACUUACUAGAACUUGUGACAACCUGUACAUUGUAUUUAUUCAAUCACUUUACCUUCGUUCUUAUCGUCUUUGUAAUCAUUACUGUACUGUACUGUGACCAUUAGGCUGCCUCCAGUACAUAUCAACUGGGAUCGACCCAUGCUAGGCUUAUGCCCCUGGGAUACCACCCAUAAACACAUAAAUAGGGAUCGACCCAUGCUAGGCUUAUGCCCCUGGGAUACCACCCGAUAAGAGAGAACUUCCAUCACUUAGUUCAAUUAAUCUUUGAGAUUGUUAUUUCGGUCGCCACCACAUUUUUGAUACUUUGAAACAAUGAUACAUCAAUAGGAACCAAGUAAUAGACCUUCUAUACAAUAACGAUGUAAUAAAGACUCAUUGGUACAUCAACAAUGUGUUUCAGAAUCAUCAAUAUCACAACAAUGAAAUAAGAGCCUUUUGGUAUAUCAAUGAAACAUUUUGACACUUUAUAGAAUGGAAACAACUUCGUUGGUAACGUAGAAUUAGUAGAGCCCUUUGCAGAACCAGAAGUGAUUUUUCAUCAGAGACGAAGAGCUCAAUACUACACUCAGCAGGGAUCGAUGGCAGAAAUACGCGAUCCUAUAGUUGCUUAUCCAAAUGUUGGAAAUGUUCCAGCUCCAGCUGUUCCUGUUCAACCAGUCGCAAAACCUGUUCGAGAAGUGGCAAUCCCACUUCCGCUCUUGGUGACUAACAGUAUUCAGAAGCCUGAACAAGGAGGUCGAUAGGAAUUAAAAAAAAAUAUGGUGCAAUUGUUGAGAUAUGCGAGAGAAUUUCAGGGAUUUUCACACGAGGAACCACAACAGCACUUACAACCCUUCCUGGAGAUAAGCGACAGAUAUAUUCCUGAAUAUGUGAAUGCUGAUUAUGAAAAAACUUUCCCUUUUCUCUACUGGGGGAAACAAAGAGAUGGCUACUUGCUGAACCACACCAAUCCAUCACUACAUGGGGAAAAUGUGCUAGAAGGUUUCGAAUUUGAUUUUUUCUAUCUCAGAAAAUUGCUCGAUUGAGGAGUGAGAUAUUGAGUUUCAGACAGAAAGAAGGAGAAAAUCUCUACCAAGCUUGGGAGAGAUUCAAGGGCAUGCUAAGAAGUUAUCCUCAUCACCAUCAAUCAAAUGAUGUUUUGGUGUAUACAUUUAUAGAAGACCUUGAGUUUAAUACAAAGAUUCUCUUGGAUUUAGCAGCAGGGGGUCAAGCUUUGGAGAAAAAAUAUGAAGAAUUGUAUACCUUGCUGAAUCGAAUUGCAUAAGGAAAUCCUGAUUGGCAUGCAGACUCAAGGAAUGCUCCCAAGAAAGUUGUAGGGGUUUUGGAGGUUGAUCAGUUCACUGCCUUACAAGCACAAAUUGCAGCAAUGCAGAACCAUAUGAUUACUCAACUUAACAACUUAAAGUCGGGUACAACACAACCAGCAGCCACAACAAAUAUAGUUCAACAAGUAUAUGCAUGGUGUGAAGUUUGUAGAAGCAGUGAGCAUAAAACAGAUGCAUGUUCUGUUAAUCCAGAUUCAGUCAACUACGUGGGGAAUGCAAAUCAUCAUGGUUAACAGAAUUUUGGCAAUACGUAUAAUAUAAAUUGGAGGAACCACUUUAAUUUCUCAUGGGGUGGGAAUCAGGCACAGAAUACAAAUUAGUAUAAGGGACCAGUGCAACCAAAUCCACAGCCGGUUCAGAAUAAUCAGGCGAAUGCCUCGAAUAGUAAUAUGGAGGAAAUGCUUAAGCAGUUGAUGGCUCAACAAGCACAGUUUACAGUGGACAUGAAGGCUCAACAGGCACAGUUUGCAGCUGAAUUGAAGAGUCAACAANNNNNNNNNNNNNNNNNNNNNNNNNNNNNNNNNNNNNNNNNNNNNNNNNNNNNNNNNNNNNNNNNNNNNNNNNNNNNNNNNNNNNNNNNNNNNNNNNNNNNNNNNNNNNNNNNNNNNNNNNNNNNNNNNNNNNNNNNNNNNNNNNNNNNNNNNNNNNNNNNNNNNNNNNNNNNNNNNNNNNNNNNNNNNNNNNNNNNNNNNNNNNNNNNNNNNNNNNNNNNNNNNNNNNNNNNNNNNNNNNNNNNNNNNNNNNNNNNNNNNNNNNNNNNNNNNNNNNNNNNNNNNNNNNNNNNNNNNNNNNNNNNNNNNNNNNNNNNNNNNNNNNNNNNNNNNNNNNNNNNNNNNNNNNNNNNNNNNNNNNNNNNNNNNNNNNNNNNNNNNNNNNNNNNNNNNNNNNNNNNNNNNNNNNNNNNNNNNNNNNNNNNNNNNNNNNNNNNNNNNNNNNNNNNNNNNNNNNNNNNNNNNNNNNNNNNNNNNNNNNNNNNNNNNNNNNNNNNNNNNNNNNNNNNNNNNNNNNNNNNNNNNNNNNNNNNNNNNNNNNNNNNNNNNNNNNNNNNNNNNNNNNNNNNNNNNNNNNNNNNNNNNNNNNNNNNNNNNNNNNNNNNNNNNNNNNNNNNNNNNNNNNNNNNNNNNNNNNNNNNNNNNNNNNNNNNNNNNNNNNNNNNNNNNNNNNNNNNNNNNNNNNNNNNNNNNNNNNNNNNNNNNNNNNNNNNNNNNNNNNNNNNNNNNNNNNNNNNNNNNNNNNNNNNNNNNNNNNNNNNNNNNNNNNNNNNNNNNNNNNNNNNNNNNNNNNNNNNNNNNNNNNNNNNNNNNNNNNNNNNNNNNNNNNNNNNNNNNNNNNNNNNNNNNNNNNNNNNNNNNNNNNNNNNNNNNNNNNNNNNNNNNNNNNNNNNNNNNNNNNNNNNNNNNNNNNNNNNNNNNNNNNNNNNNNNNNNNNNNNNNNNNNNNNNNNNNNNNNNNNNNNNNNNNNNNNNNNNNNNNNNNNNAGCUUUGAUGGAUUAUGAUCUGCAUGGGGAUUCGGAAGCAUUGGAAUUGGUCCAGAUUAUGAAUUUGGCUGUAAUAGAGACAAAUAAAACGUUGAUCGAGUCUUUUAAUAGACCAAUUGGUCCACCACCCAGGCCUUCAGUUGAAGAAGCUCCUAACUUGGAGCUUAACAUUCUUCCUCCUCACUUACAAUAUGUUUUUCUUGGUAAUCAAGAUACCUUGCCUGUUAUUUUGUCUGCAGGAUUAUCCGAUGUUGUCACGACCCGAUUUCUCAAGUCAUGAUGGCACCUACCUUAUCCCACCAGUAAGCAAGCCAAACCAUAGUCCGGAAUGAUAGGUAAUAGGCCAAUAGGCAGAGAUAAAAUAAAAGAUCGCGUAUGAUAAUAACAACUACAAUAAUAAGUGAAAACUAAGAAGAGAGCAUAUGUAUUAUAUCAAAACGAGAGGAGGAAAAAGGACCAAUUAUACAAAGGAAUCCCUCCCAAGACCUGAUAAGGUCAGUACUAGAGCCAUUACUAACAGGUACCCAGAGUAUUAGACAAAAAUAUAAAAUGGACACAAGUAGUCUCGAGGGAAAAAGACUAACUAGAGUAGAUGGAGGAGGAUCAGCCUCGGAAGAUAGUAAGCUCACCCUGCUCUAAACCAACACUGAAAGGUAGGAACCACGUCAACGGCGACUGCUAGUGCCCGAAUCUGCAUCAGAAAAAGAUGGAAAAGUGUAGUAUGAGUACCAAAAACCACGGGUACUUAGUAGGCAUCAUCGGUCGACUGAGCUCAAUACAGAAAAGGUAUAACUACAAUGCAAGGACGUAAUCUAAGUUAUUAAUAAAUAAAGAUGGAAAGGUAAACAACUACCAAGCUAUGCAACUGAUGUAAAGGAAUAAACUUGUGCGAUACAGAAAAAUAAUAAUGCAGUAAUAACAAUUAAAUCAAACAUAACCUAACAGAGCCCCCAUAAGCCUGCGAGGCACACUGAAGAAGACAAUAAACCCAACCGUACCCCCAUAAGCCGGUGGAACACACAAGUGAUGAAAGUAAACAUAAAUAAUCAGAUGCCGGACUCGAACCGGAACUCAGAGUAACCCCAACUAUAAUCAGAUGCCGGACUCGAACCGAAGCUCAUAGUAACAAUAAUAGUCAAAUGCCGGACUCGAACCGGAACUCAUAAUAAUAAUAAUAGUCAAUUGUUGGACUCGAACCGGUACUCAUAGUAAUCAUAAUAAUCAAUUGUCGGACUCGAACCGAAACUUAUAAUAACCAUAACCCACCAAUAAUAUUAAAAUCCAUUCCUUAUUAUAACAAUGUCAACGUCUAAAUAAUCAUCCACCAAUUUUAAUUAAAAAAGGGCUAAAUUAAAGAUUUUGCAAUUAAAUUUUAUUUCCCAAAGUGAUAGGUGUUAUAUUAUAUCGAAAGGUAAAAUACCAAAAUCUACUACAACGGGGUCCUAAUCCGAAUAAAUAAGACAGUUUAUACAUAUCAAAUAAUACGUAUCUACAAGCACUUAUCCAAAGCUAACAUAAUAGUUAACAUUUUCGGUAAGUAAGCUCAAUCUAAAAAUAGGNNNNNNNNNNNNNNNNNNNNNNNNNNNNNNNNNNNNNNNNNNNNNNNNNNNNNNNNNNNNNNNNNNNNNNNNNNNNNNNNNNNNNNNNNNNNNNNNNNNNNNNNNNNNNNNNNNNNNNNNNNNNNNNNNNNNNNNNNNNNNNNNNNNNNNNNNNNNNNNNNNNNNNNNNNNNNNNNNNNNNNNNNNNNNNNNNNNNNNNNNNNNNNNNNNNNNNNNNNNNNNNNNNNNNNNNNNNNNNNNNNNNNNNNNNNNNNNNNNNNNNNNNNNNAAAGGUACCAUAUAUAUAAAAGAGUAAGUUAGGCUAUGGUUGAGACAAGUGGCAGCACGUGGUCCAUUUUUCUAUUUAAGCAAAUUGCACCACAUAUAUAGAUAGAUAUAUUUAUUAAAUUAAUCCUAUUUCGCAUAUAUUCGGGUAUUGCAUAAAUUCAUGGUAAAAUAAUUAUAAUAUUUUGAAUAUAUCAUAAUUAAUAGAAAAUUAUUUCUACCAAAACCUCUAUUAUGUAAUAAUAAUAUAUUAACAUUUCUAAAUUUAUCAUCUCCGCUUAAAAUAUUAAUAAAUCAUAAAAUUCUAUUAUAAAUUAAUAUAAAUAUAUCAUCACUUAAAGAAUUUUAUAAAUAUCAAAAAUAUUCUAGAAGGGUACUAAAUUAUAUUUCUGUUAAAUACCAAAUUAAAUUAAAUAAUCCACGAUAUAUUUAAUUAGUACUAAAAUUAUAUGAAAAUACAGUAAAAUGACCGUACAGGUCAUUACAGCAUCCACUACUAAAAGGACUUUCGUCCGCAAAAGUAAAAGAUAAGGUCAUACCUGAGGGCUCAAACAGGUAGGGAUAUUGGGCGCGCAUAUCACGCUCGACCUCCCAGGUAGCCUCCUCAACUGGACGGUGACACCACGAACCUUAACUACCGGAAUAUCCCUGAAGCGCAACCGUCUGACAUCCCUCGCCAAAAUAGACGUUGGCUCCUCUACAAAUGCCAAUCCCAUGUCCAAUUGAACCGAGUCCCACUGAAGUACCUGUGACUCAUCUGGAAUAUACUGCCGCAACAUAGAUACAUGAAACAUCGGGUGAAUGGCUGAGAAAGCAGGUGGUAAUGCCAACACAUAAGCUACCUCUCCAACUCUUUGUAGGAUCUUAAAAGGUCCAAUAUAUCUAGGGCUAAGCUUGCCCCUCCUCCCGAACCUCAUCACACCCUUCAUGGGCGAUACUCGAGGAAGACCCUAUCAGCAACUCUGAAACUUAAUGGACAACGUCUGCGAUCGGCAUAACUCCUCUGUCUGCUCUGAGCUGCUCGUAGCCUGUCCUAAAUCACUCAAACCCGAUCCAACGAAUCACGAAGCAAAUCUGUGCCACGAGGCCUCACCUUAGUAGUCUCAAACCAACCAACAGGAGAUCGACACCUCCUACCAUAUAAUGCCUUAAAUAGGGCCAUCUGAAUACUCGAGUAAAAGUUGUUAUUAUAUGCAAAAUCUGCCAAAGGUAGAAACUGGUCCCACUGACCUCCAAAAUCCAACACACAAGCACGGAGCAAAUCCUCUAGAACCUGGAUAGUCCGCUCUGACUGUCUAUCAGUCUGGGGAUGAAAGGCUGUGCUAAGGUCAACCUAGGUCCCUAACUCCUUGUGAAAUGCCCUCCAAAAGCUAGAAGUGAACUGAGAGCCUCGAUCAGAAAUAAUGGACACAGGAACCCCAUGUAGGCAAACCACCUCCUAAAUGUAAACACGAGCUAACCUCUCGACACUGUAGGAAGCUCAAAUGGGGAUAAAAUGUGUAGACUUAGUCAAUUGAUCCACGAUGAACUAAAUGCUAUCAAAACCAUACGAUGUACGAGGAAAUCCACCUAUGAAAUCCAUAGUAACUCGCUCUUAUUUCCACUCGGGAAUGGGUAGCUGCUGAAGCAAUCCACCAGGUCUCUGAUGCUCAGCCUUUACCUGCUGACAACAAAGACAUCAAGCCACAAACCCUGCUAUAUCUCUUCGCAUACCACUCCACCAAUAAUGCUGCCUCAAAUCCCUAUAUAUCUUAGUUAUCCCGGGGUGAAUAGAGUAUCUGGAGCUAUAAGCCUCACGAAGAAUCAUCUAAUGCCACUAAAAGUUGGAUGUGUGGGCUGACUAGAGGGGACAGGAUUAUGAAUGAGAUUAUACGGGAGAAGAUGGGAGUGGCUUCGGUGGAGGACAAAGUGCGGGAAAGAAGGCUGAGAUGGUUUGGACAUGUGAUGAGAAGGGACGCGAAUGCCCCAGUGCGUAGGUGUGAGAGACUAGCAUUGGAUGGCUUCAGGAAGAGUAGAGGUAGGCCGAAGAAAUACUGGAAGGAGAUUAUCAGACAUGACAUGGAGCAGCUGCAGCUUACUGAGGACAGGGCCCUAGAUAGGAAGGUGUGGAGGUCGCGGAUAAGGGUAGAAGGCUAGCGGGAGGGUGUGGGUUGUAGAAAGCCACCAGGAGAGAUCUUGUGUAGCUGGGUUAGUAACCUUAGGUCUGUGUCUAUAUGUAUUUAUGGCAGGGAGUGUGUUACUUAUACGUGGGUGUCCCAUUCUUAUUUUCUCAGUUGCUAUCUGCUUAUUUCGUGUUGUCGUAUCUUUCGUAUUCUCGUAUUGCUCUGAUUUACUUUUUAUUAUUCCUUACGUUUUUUCUGUUAUGUAUUCCAUCUCUUUGUCGCCUAUUCUUUAUCUUGAGCCGGGGGUCUAUCGGAAACAGCCUUUCUACUUCUUCGGAGGUAGCGGUAUGGACUGUGUACAUCUUACCCUCCCCAAACCUCCAAACUUGAUCAUUCUUUUUUAAAUAAAACGCGCUUAUUUUAUUACUUGAACUAUUACUUCCUACGUUUUAAUUUACUCCACCCAUCUCAAUUUAUAUGAAGUAGUUUGACUUAACACGAUAUUUCAGUGAGAAAGAAAGCAAGAUUUUUAAAACUUGUGAAGUAAAAUGAGUCUUAGAUGUUUGUAUGACUAUAAAUCAUUUUAUUAAGACAUUUUAAAGUUAAAUGAUUAGGAGUAUUAAAUAUAAAAUGUGUCAUUCUUGUUUAGAAAGAUUAGUUGUUGUUGUUAUUUUAAUACAUCUGACAUAACUUUAAUUUACAACAACAACAAACCCAGUGUAUUCCCACGAAGUAAGGUCUGGGGAGGGUAAGAUGUACGCAGUCCAUACCUCUACCUCUAAAGAAGUAGAUAACUUUAAUUUAUGACCACAAAAUAAAAAAAAAACAUUAUUUCUCUUAAAUUUCAUAUCAAGUCAAACUUGAUCAUUCUUUUUUAAAUAAAACGCGCUUAUUUUAUUACUUGAACUAUUACUUCCUACGUUUUAAUUUACUCCACCCAUCUCAAUUUAUAGUAUUAUCUAUGAAUAAAAGUACACUUAGUUGAUUAGAUGGUGUUAGUUUAGAUAGAAAACUGAUAGUUAACCUAAUUAGCUUUAAAGUAUGUCUAACACAGAUCAUGGUAAUUCUAGUAUAAAAUAAAAAUGGUUGAUAAUUAGGUGUAAAACUCAUGAAAAAAAGUAAUAAUUUAAUUUGUUUUUGACCAUCAAUUUGUUGCUUCUGAAUAUAACAAUGGGUAUAUGUGAAAUUUGGAGUCAUUUUGAGUUAAUUUGGAAUCAUUUUGAUCAUUUAUGCACUUAUUGUGAUCGCCAUGAUUUGAUCAAAGAUUCUGACGGUCAUCAUAACUUGUUGAGGCAGUAGAUACAAAUUUUUUCUAAAUUCUAGUGAAAAUAUUUUAUUUGCACUUCUAAAAAACCUAUUUGUACAAAUCACUCAUUUUUAUAUGCCGAUGAAACUAUGUGGUAAAAUUAUACACCAUAUUAUUAUAAUGCAUAAUACAUUAAAUUUAAUAAAAUUUUAAAAAUAAUACAACAAAAACAUGCUCGGAGUAUUCCAAGUGGGGGAUCUAGAGAAGGUAAGAUGUAUGCAAACCAUACCAAUAUCUUUUCGGGGUAGAAAAAUUGUUUCAGAUAGACCGUCGGCAAGAUUUUUAAAAUAAUAAAUCCAUUAAUAUUUAGGCCUUCUAUAUGAUCUUUCUAACAACGUAAGACACAUUCUUGGUGAAUGGAUUGUGUUUCAAGCAAUAUAAACUUAACUGAAUACUCAUAAAUGAAUGAAUAUAUACAUAUAUAUAUAUACACUUGAAAGAAUACAAUAAUGAGAACUAAUUUGUAGUAUAAAAAGCAAAGCAAUACCCUCUCUUCUUCACUCAGGAAUUCAAGGCUUCUUGAACAAAUNNNNNNNNNNNNNNNNNNNNNNNNNNNNNNNNNNNNNNNNNNNNNNNNNNNNNNNNNNNNNNNNNNNNNNNNNNNNNNNNNNNNNNNNNNNNNNNNNNNNNNNNNNNNNNNNNNNNNNNNNNNNNNNNNNNNNNNNNNNNNNNNNNNNNNNNNNNNNNNNNNNNNNNNNNNNNNNNNNNNNNNNNNNNNNNNNNNNNNNNNNNNNNNNNNNNNNNNNNNNNNNNNNNNNNNNNNNNNNNNNNNNNNNNNNNNNNNNNNNNNNNNNNNNNNNNNNNNNNNNNNNNNNNNNNNNNNNNNNNNNNNNNNNNNNNNNNNNNNNNNNNNNNNNNNNNNNNNNNNNNNNNNNNNNNNNNNNNNNNNNNNNNNNNNNNNNNNNNNNNNNNNNNNNNNNNNNNNNNNNNNNNNNNNNNNNNNNNNNNNNNNNNNNNNNNNNNNNNNNNNNNNNNNNNNNNNNNNNNNNNNNNNNNNNNNNNNNNNNNNNNNNNNNNNNNNNNNNNNNNNNNNNNNNNNNNNNNNNNNNNNNNNNNNNNNNNNNNNNNNNNNNNNNNNNNNNNNNNNNNNNNNNNNNNNNNNNNNNNNNNNNNNNNNNNNNNNNNNNNNNNNNNNNNNNNNNNNNNNNNNNNNNNNNNNNNNNNNNNNNNNNNNNNNNNNNNNNNNNNNNNNNNNNNNNNNNNNNNNNNNNNNNNNNNNNNNNNNNNNNNNNNNNNNNNNNNNNNNNNNNNNNNNNNNNNNNNNNNNNNNNNNNNNNNNNNNNNNNNNNNNNNNNNNNNNNNNNNNNNNNNNNNNNNNNNNNNNNNNNNNNNNNNNNNNNNNNNNNNNNNNNNNNNNNNNNNNNNNNNNNNNNNNNNNNNNNNNNNNNNNNNNNNNNNNNNNNNNNNNNNNNNNNNNNNNNNNNNNNNNNNNNNNNNNNNNNNNNNNNNNNNNNNNNNNNNNNNNNNNNNNNNNNNNNNNNNNNNNNNNNNNNNNNNNNNNNNNNNNNNNNNNNNNNNNNNNNNNNNNNUACCAUACCUACCUAACUACUCUUACAAAUACUUAUCAUGAUAAACUAUCAUAGAAUUUCUUAAUAAAAAUAUGCAAAAACUACUAAGGCUAAAACAAACAACUACAAAAUAUUAUAAUAAAACCAAUUUUAAAAGAUAGAUUAUCUAGAAUAUUUUAAAGUUUUAAUCUUAUAUAUACUUAAAAACAUAGAAAUUAUAGAUAUAAAAAAAAUAAUAUUAGAAAAAGUAAUAGACUAUGAAAUUGAAACCAUAAAUUGGCUAGAACAGUUAUACGAAGAAAUUUACCCAGAAGGAUAUUAUACAGAUUAAGAGAUGUUAGAAUAUAUUAGAAAAACUAGAGAAAAUCAAGAAAAUCUAAAUAAUGAAAUUAAUUAUAGAAAUCGAAUCAGGAAAAUAAUGGAAAAUCUAAAAGAAAAAUAAAUAUGGAUCGAAAAAACCUUAGAAAAUUUAGAAAAAAGUACAUGUGAUAGUUUAUAUAAUUUAAAAAACUCACUACGAUAAGAACAACACAAGAUAAUAAAUAACAUUGAAAAUCUAGAAUUAGAUAUACAUUACAGUACAGAUAGGAUAAAAUAUUAUACAGAAAUUUGUAACUCUGCAAUUACUACAGGAUAAAAUAAUAAACCAAACAAAUUAAUGAAUGUAUCUUACGAAAAAAGUAAAUCAUUAAAAAGAGAUUGAAACAAAAUUUAAGAAAUAUCCACACACAAAGAAAAAUAGAUUCACUAGGUACCUAAUAAAUCUAUUUCAUACGUCAGAUAUCACAGUGUCAUGCAUAUUUAAUAACUUUGCAGAACUUCUGUAAUGUAGAAUACUAACACAAGUAUAACCAUAACACAAAUUUUAAAUCCAAGGUUGAAUUAUGUGUUUUAGUUUGGGAGCCUAGGAGUAAAUAGAAAAGUUGAUGCCAUGUGACAAGGAGGUAAUGGGUUCAAGUCUUGGAAACAACCUUCAACAGAAAUGCAAUCUAAGGCUACGUAUAAUACACCCUUGUAGUGGGCCCCUUCCCCAGAACCUGCGCAUUACGGGAGCUUUAGUGCACUGUUCUUCCAUUUUAAAGUCCAUAUACAAAGGCAAAUAUUGAAAAGUUAUUUUUGAUCUCUUAUUUGGAAAGACCUUUUUCCUUUCAAAGUGAAAUAAAAACUGGAAUUUGGGGUUUGAUGUAUGCAUACUAGAAAUGUUUCUAUAUUAUGUGCUGCUUGUUACUCUAUUGCUAGUUAUCCACUGCCAAGUGUCAUCCUUAAACUCCUUACAUUUUUGGCUAUGUGAUGUAAUAAAGUUGUUUCUCAAGAAGACUGGAAAUUAAUUUCUUACAGCUUCCUAUAUGGUAACAUCCUUUUGGUGGAUGAUCAUCAAGCCAAUAUAUAUGCAUCAAUAAUGUUUUUUCAGGCAGUCUGGAAAUAAUUUGUUUACACCUUCCUACUUGGUGUUUUUUUCUAUAUGAAGUUCUCAUUCUUAAUAAUAUAUCUCAUAUUGGGUGCAUCCUUUGGUUCAUCAGCAAAAAGAACUGAACUGAAGGCUCUAGAAUUUUCCCUCUCCAUCUAUGACACUGUUGAUAUUUACAGUUUUACAGUUGAUCUGGUCUAUAAAGAAUGGUAAGAUAAAGCUAAAACAACUUAACACAGAUAUUCUUUGUUCAAUCUAUUUCUAGAAACAUUUUCAUCACAUCUUCCUUUCCUGCAUACAUUAUCAGAAAGUGUUUGUGUCAUCACAUGAGCAGGUAUUUUUUAGAGUCUCUACAAGGUCAUAUACCUUUUCAAGGAAGGGCAUUCAAUAAAAUGAUAAAAUAUCUAGGGGUUAGUUAAACUUAUUUCUCUAAAGAUGCUAAUCUAUUUCUUUUUCCCCAAAUGAUGAGUAGGGAUGGACAUGAUAUGGUAUAAAAUGAAUUACCAUAUCGAAUCCAAUUUGUGAUUUUGGUAUUAUGAUAUUUGGUAUAGUAUAUGGUAUACAUUUUAUUUUUUUCGGUAUAUGGUAUAGUAUUGGAUAUUUAUAAAUGACAUGGUGAAAUACCGAAUACCAUAUAGAGGUAUAUAUAUAAUAUUAACAAAUAUUCAACUUAGUAUUAGUAUAAAAAUGUUAUGACAUUGGAAAUUUUGCUUCUAUAUCUUAUUUUCUUCUUUGCAUUUAAAGCCCCAACGGAACUUAGAGCUAUUUUUCUUUUGAUAACAGCAUUGUACUUUGAGAAUUUCUACGUUCCAAUAUUAUUAGUUUCUUAAAAUUUGGACAUGGAUUAAAUUGUAAUCUUUGAUUGUAUGUGCACGAAUUAGAUAUGCGUAGGUCCUGCAUAACCCUUUCUUGUUUGUGACAUAAUGGUGUAAGAUUUACAUAUGAUUAUUCAAAGAAUAAAGAGGAGUUAUUGUCAUUUUUACUAUAUUAUGGCACUAAUCCCAAUUAUAGGGCAUUAUCUUUGCUAAAGUGUGGUUGUAGAUAAUCAUUUAAAGAAAAUGCCGAAAAGGAAAACCGACAAAGCAUAUGUAUUGGACAAGAAAAAGUAUCUUGCAAGACUGAGUGUAGAUAAGGUGGGAAAAGUUCUUCUAAAAUGGUAAUCAUUCUACCCCAAUAAAUUUUAUUUAUUGAUGUUACUAUUUUUACCAGUAUAUGAAACCAGUUGUAUAGAAGAAAGGUAGAGACAUUACGUGUCAAGAUUACAAGUUUUUUUUAGUUUAAAAUGAAAUUCCUUGCUCUGGAUGAAAUGGUAGUGAUGCUAGAUGCAAACUGUAGACUCAAGAAAAAGAUGAUGUAAUCCAGCAGUAAUUAACUUAUUAUAGUGGAAUGACAUCAUUGGAAGUGUCGUAAACGGUGUAUAUUAGUUACUAGAAUACAUAAAUAGAAUGGACAUGGAGAAUGUCUAGACCAAAAUUAUUAUCAAUGGGGAACCACAAAAAUUGUGAAUAAAAUACAGUCAAAUGUCAUUAAGAGAAACUGAACUAACCUGAAAUAAAUUACUUUUGUAUUUCGAUGAAUAUUUUAUUACUUGGCCUUUUGCAGUGUCUAUCCAUUAUUAGCUUAGAAAUUAUCUUAUGUCUCUUAUGUCACUGGAAAAUAACUUUCUAAUUGAUGACUGAUUUGUAAAAUAGUUUAAUACGAAACAUUCUUUUUAGUCCUUCUGCUUUUGCUUUAAUGUGGUGAAGGGAAAUUGGAGUAGCAGUUUUGGAUGUCUUGUAAGGGUUGUGGCCUAUUUGUCUGCUAUCGGGCAAAAGAUCUGUAGGCUGCCUCUUUCAUAUACGUAGUUGAUGAGGCACUUAGUACUAUUGCGGCCGAGACAAAUACACAGCUAUUAUAUCUUUGCGAGUUUGUUACUUUGUUAUCCUCGAUGUAUUUGCUAAUAUGUAACUUGGUGCAAGAGGCGUAAAGUCCAAAUGGCACCCUUGAUCUUAGUUCUUCCAUUGAAGAUGGUUUGGUGGAAAACAAAGUGGCCAAUAACCUUCACACUGUUGGCUGCGCAUCAAGAUCUAUCAUGAUAAUUGCUUAUCUAUUUGCUUUUGAAUGACACAUACAAGAGAGUAUUGCAUCAAUGGCUCAAUAGUAUGUCCGGAGCAUUAUUUUAUCAUUUAAGAGAGUUGCAUUAGCACUUUCACCCUCUCACUUGGGUUCUCAUGGAGGUUUUCGUCCACUAUUUGGGACUCUUGAAGCACAUACCUUAGCUCUCUGGAUACUAUGUGAGGGAAAACUAAUCAUUUGGCUUUGCUUUUGAGUUUACAUUACUAGUUUGUUUCAUAUUUUGGUUUAUUAUAAAUGAAAGAUUUUGUUUUGUGAUGCAUUUAUAUAUAAUUGUAUAUUAUAAUUUAUAAUAUAUAUGUAAAUACUAAUUUACAGUAGGGGUGAAUAUUUUAUCUAAACCAUCAAUUGGUAUUUGAAGUAGUUGCAAUAAACAGGUGAGAAAACUGUUGCAUUAUCUGAUGAAUCAUUGCAAUAGCUAGAAAAAAAUGUUGCAACAAACCAAAAAAAUCAUUUCACUGGGUAUCCAAAAUAGUUGCAAUAAGUCAUGAAAAAUCAUUACAAAAUACAAAUAAGUGUUGCAAUAGAAUUUUGAAAUAGUUGUAAUAGGCUAAUAAAAUUAUUGCAAUAGGGUUAAUGCAAUGCUUUAUUGUCGUUGCAAUAGGAUCUAUUGCAAUGAGUGACUAUCAUUGCUAUAGCAAUGUUCAUCCAUCCCAAAAUGAGGUGAACAAAACUGUUGCUAUAGGUAGGUCUAUGGCAAUGGUUGGCAUAACCAUCGCAUAAUCGUUGCUAUAUAUACAUGCCUAUGCUCACAUAUGGGACCUCAUCCAAAUUGUUGUGGUAGCUCUAUGAAAAUGGUUUUUAUGUCUAUAGCAAUGGUUUUUGAUCUAUUGCCAUAGGGGUAAUUUCUAGUAGUGCUAGAAUCUUGGUGUCUUUAGUCCUUUCUUUAGAUUUCUUACUUCGUUUGGCUAACACGUAUUGGGGCCUUUUAGUAGAGGGAGCUAAAACCAUAUAGUCUGUGAUUGCCUUUAGGAUGGAGCGAGCUACACAGUUCAGGUUAAAGGUUUAAACUAUCAUGUUCAAGACCCUUUAUCCUAUCAUGACAUCCUAUAUAUGUAUAUGUGAAUAUUGUCUAUGUCGUUUUGAUUGGUUUUUGGCAUUGGUACAUUUUAUCACUUUUUCUAAGUUACAUGUCAGUGCUUAUAUAAAUCACCUAGGUGAUUUGUACUUGAAAAAUUUCCUUGGUUUUGGACUUACUGAAGGGUACAAAUCGUACCCUUGAACAGGAGUUCGAGGCUGUCUUAAGGGUUCACUCGUACCCUAGGCAGUAUAGUUGACUUAGAUACUUCCCAAGAUAUGACUCACUAGGGUACAAAUUUAAUUGGAGCAUACGAGUAGUGCAAGGCAAGUCGUAUGGUGCACGAUUAUCUUGGUCUUGUGGAAUCCGUCCAUUAGCAGUGCAAGACAAAUCGUAAAUGGUUUAGGAUGACAAUGUUACAUAGACCAGGUAAAGAUUUUAAAGGCAUGCUAAACUUGGUUCCCUUCCUCGGCAUGGAUAUAUAUAUAUAUAUAUAUAUAUAAGUUUGUAUGCAUUAUGAAUAAUUUUACUUAAUUUGAUAAAUUUUAUAAUUUAAUCCUUAUCUUGAGUGCAUGCUAGUGUUCACCUACUAACCCAUCUUUGGAUAGCUGCAUACCAUGUUAUGUAGGGACCAACCAUACUAAUUCUCCUGCUUAGUGAUUAGAUUUAGGGACAAUCGAUGUUGGAUUGAAGUGGUGAGCUUCCAUAGUUCGGAAGGCAUCUACUUCAUGUCAUGGUGUACUUUGCAUACUUCUUCUCUUUCAUAAACUUUGGUUUAAGCUAUGGUCUGGGGCAUGUCCCGACUAGGUACUCUUUGCUUUGUCUAGAGGCUUUGUAUAGAGAAUUGUUGACUUAUGUAUCGUAUGGGUUAUUUUUGUAUAUAUAUACAUACAUACAUACAUUGGCUUAUUAUCAUGUUAUUGGUUUAUAGUUUCCGCAUUAGUUAGGUUGGUUAUUGGGUGAUUGGACUUGGUCGGGUUGGUCUUGGAUAUAGACUUAUCCAAACGUCACCACGUGGUCGGAUAUGCUAUCUUUUUAUAUGUUCAAACUUCAACAGACUAAAGGUAUGCAUUUUGAUGUUGGGUUGGGUAACGGGGGCGAAUCCAAUCCCUGGUUAGGUUUGGGAUUGGCCAUUACGACAAGACCCUAGUUUGGGUCGUGUCAAGUUGGUAUCAGAGCUUUAGUUUUUGGUGUCAUGGGGUGUCAACAAAGUCGUGUCUCAUAGAAUCUUACUUAUAGGUGUGUCAUGCACCAUACUUAUAAUUGGAAGGCUAUGAUGAAUUUAGCAUUUUUAUUUUUUUGGUUAUUCAACUUUCGGGCUAUGGAGUCUAAAGUCUUGAACUCUUCUUUGAAUCUUCCUUGGUUCACUCUUCGAAUCAGGACUUCUCAAUAAUGCAAAGGUUCUUGGAAUCUGACCUGUCCCACUGGUGCCACCUAAUGAGGCACAAGUCUGAUUUAGGGUUAUAACUUUUGGAUUUCCUCGUGGAGUCCCAUCGAUCUCCACUAACCUUGUUUCAGAAGGUGGUGCUCAUUCUCGGUUACCUCAAGGAGUGGUUACCAAUUCUGUGUUUCAUUGUUCUAUUAAUUUGUUGACCCAAAGAGUGACAACUCUAUUAUGUCAAUCCUUACAGGGAAGAAUGAGGUAAGGUUAGAGAUAGGAAAGGUAAGGGGAUCUCGAUUUCUUGGACCAAAGGGGAAACCAAUAUUAUAGUGCUAAAUGGUUCAAAGGGAAGAGUUGGGUGGGUCUUAACUCUUGUUCUAUGGCUUGUGCUCCCUACACAAAUCACUUAAGAGGCAAUUUUUUUCUAAUUAGAAAUGCUUAUAGGUCAUAAGGUGCCUAAUCUCUAGCUAAUGAGGCCCAAUUCGCAUCAUCUUAUUCUUUUUAUAAAUUUUGUGCUCGAUCGCACUGUGGUUGUUCUAAGAAAGGGAGGAAUCGGUGUCUUGGUUGUGGUUAGUUGGGUCAUAUGCAUCGAUAAUGUCCCAUGAGGGUUGCCACUUGGGUAAAUAGGACAUUGGUUGCUACUUCUCUAGAUCUUGCACCCAGGGGUUCUACUUAUGUCUCCGACAUUGGUUGGGAUCAUCUCAGUGACCUUAUUGUCCCUCAAGAAUCCGAGGCAUCUUGUGAUGCCGGCACUGGUAUAUUGAAAAACUCCUUUCUAAGGUAUGUGUUGUGUCUGUUGGCAAUAAAUGGGUGUUGUUGAAUUUGUUUUACUCGGAUAUGGUGGGUUUUGAUGUCAUUCGGAGAAUUGAUGGGUUAUACUCGUGCUAUCCAUCAUUAGAUUGCUGGAUCUAUAAAGGUUAUCUUUAAGCUUCAUGGUAAGUCUAUUGUGAAGUGGAAGGAUGGUUUCAUUCCCUAAGAAUUGAGGGAAAUGUUGUAUUCUAUCUUAGAGCUCAGAGAUUGGUCUGCAAAUGGGUAUCUCAAUUAUUGGUCAGUCCUGGUUAAAUAUUCUAACCCAAAAGUUCUUUCUUUGCAUUCGAUUUUUGUGAUGCACGAACUUCUUAGUGUACUUUUUGAUGACCCUCAUGGUGUCUGUUUAAUGGGUACUUUGGUUUGGGAUUGGUCUUGUUUCAGACAGUUUCCCAAUUUCUAUUUUUUUUAUAGAAUGGUUUUGGUUGGGUUAAAUGAGCUUUAGGAGAACUUAAGGGGUGUUUUAGAUAAAGGUCCCAUCUGUUCUAGCAUUUCUCCAUGAGGUGCUUUAAUGUUUUCAUAAAGAAAAUGGUUUCUCGAGAAAUAGAUAGGUUAUCGGAGGGUGACUAAGGAGUUUAGGGUGUCAUUCUUGUAGGGUGGACCUUGUAUGUAUAUUCCAUUUUAUAUGGGGUACUUUAAUUAUAGUAAAUAGUGGUUGGUAGAUCCUAGGCUUGAACCUAGAUAUUUGAUCAUGGUAUAGAGAGUAUGUUAGCUCGUGAUAGCAAUGCAAAAAUUACAAUGGUAAAUUUAUAGGUUCGAUGAGGUUAAUGAUUGAGGAAUACGACAAUGGUAAAGUUGUGUCUUAUAGGUCGGGGAUUCAGGUUGAAUGGAUGGAUAUGGGUUGGGGGUUUAAUCAUCAGAUAGGUUGGAUCAUAGGGCCUGCACGUGUCUUUGUCCUUAUACUUGUACUUUAUUUUUGGCAUGAAAUUGAUUAUUAAAUUCACGGUUUUGAUAAUGGGUUUUGGCACAAUGGAGAGACUUAACAUGAUUACUCAUUUGAAUUGAUUUUUCUAUGGAUUAUGAUGCAUUAUUCAUGUUUUAUAAAUGUUUACGAACAUUGUGUGAGGCAUGGGAAUGGUAAAUAGAUUUUGGGGUACUAUGGAUUCCCCAGUUACUUGGUUCUUGUCUUGGAAAUUUUAUGCCCUCCAAACUAAUUGUGAAAUUGCCAUUGAAUAUACUUUUUUCAUAUGGUUUGACUAUUCUUAAGUCCUUUCAUUGCAUAAAUAAUUAAAGGAGCAUGAAUUGGUUUUUGAGGGGUUCAAAUGAUUUUGAAAGUCCUUGGUGGCCAUGGUUUGAUUUUACAUGAUUUUGGUUUAAUUGGAAACCUUGAAGUCAAUUUGGUGUAAUAGUUUUUGCAUGUCUGUUCUGAGCUCUAAGUUACAAUAGCAUGAAUAGGAUUUUUGGUAUAGGAGAACCAAGCGUCCUUGGCGUAUGUCGUUGGUGGUACCUAUUGGAGUGGAGUAUGAUGCUUUUAGGGGUAAUGGGUGAAGGUUAAUUGUUAGUCUAAAAUUUUACUUUAGCAGUGGACUUCAAGGAAAGGUCGGGUUGCAUAUUCUGGUGAUACUUUUCUCUCUCGAUUAAGAGGGUACUCUAGUAGUGUUGCAUGCAUUCUUAUAGUACUUAUUCCUAAAGUUUCUGUUUGGUAUUCUCUGUGUUCCCUAAAUAUGAGUUUUGACUUAUAUUACAUUACUCAUGGUAUAUGUGGUUGUGUUUUUUUUGGUGUCCAGUCUUAAUGACUCAUUUUCUAUAUGGUUUGGUCGAGAUGAUUCUACAUUAUAGUCUAGGUGAUUGUUGUGAAGUACUUCGUGCCUGUGGUGCCGUAUCUUGUUUUGGGGGUCUCUGUCUUGCCUUGGUGGCCUAGAUUAUUCUCAUAAUUUGGAUUCCAUAAAUGAUGGUAGAGGCUUCGAAAGCAUAGUUGUGUUGUGGAAUAGGGAAUAUAAAAGUCCCUAAGUGAGAAAGAGUCAAAGGUGACUACCAAAGUUAAGGUUUUGGAAGGUAAAGGUAAGAUUGAUGUCAUGGGAAAUGGUCAGGAAAAGAAUGGGUGGUGAAAACCUUGUGGAGGUUGUAAAAAGGUGCUAGAUCUUUUGAUGGAUAGAUCAUACCAAGGGAAUAUAAGUCAUAGGCUUGAAUGUUAUGAUUGGUAGACAUACCAAUAGUUGUGUUGGACACUUAGGAUAUGUUAUGAGGAAUAGUUUUAUAGUUUGUUUUCAUGGCAUAGUAGUGUAUUGUUUUAGGUGCUUAAUUAUAAGUUGGGGGGGGGGAGGUUCAAUAUAGUGGUUGGAUAAGGUUUGUCCAUGUCCUUUACUUAUGGUUUCCAUAUAAUGGUGGUGGAAGAAGAGUAGUGUUUUGAGAUAGAUGUAAGGAGUAAAUCUUGGUGGCCUAAGUUAACUCUUACGCAUUUUAGGUAGGCGUGAAUGUGGAGUCCAUGGUGUAUAGAUAGACUCAAGCUUUCGUUGUGGUGUAUCUUGGUAUAUUCUAAAAUGAAUGUGGCUUUCCCUUGCAUUAGUCCAUUCAGCUAGUACUCUAUGAGUUUGCAUUGGCGUAAGGUGUGGAUGGUCCUUAGUUGGUUGAUUUCUUUAGGUAGUAGUGUUAUCUCAGGUUCUUUGUUCUUUAGGGGAGGUUCCGAUGAGGAUCUUGGGUUGGUAAGCUCGUUAUUUGUGAACAAGUAAGGUAUGGAUUUAAAAAAGGUUCCAUGGUGGAACUAAAAUCUCGAGAAAGCUAUUUGGGAGGCAGAAGUGGACAUGGAGUUCAAGGAUCCGCGUUGGUUCCUUGUUCUAGAAAUUCGUGCGUACAUUGUUUUUUAUUAAACACAUCUUGUUUUCUAACUUAGUUAAAGGUGUGGAAUGGUUCCUUUUGCGUAUUUGUUUUCUAACUUAGUUGGUGAUCGGAAUGAAGUUGUUGGGGUGUAAAUUGUGCUUGGGGUGUAUGAUGAGAGCUGAUUUUUCCACUCAUUCUCACUAAAUAUUUGUGCACAUUACCUUUCUUUAAAUAAAUGAAUGAGACAUAUCAGUUAUAAAAUGCGUUAAUAUCCACUAUUUGUAGGCAUAUAGUUAAGGAGAUCAAAUAAUAUGAAAUGGGGCUGAAAAUGAUAAAAAGGGAGCAAAGAAGAAUGCAGUUGAAGACUUGGACUACAUAAGCCUCAGUUGCCUCAACUGCGGUCCUCAAUCCAUGAUUGCGAUCAGUAAAGACCGUCAACACAAUGCAGUCGCAGACAGUUAUGCCCUAUCGCGGUUCAACGGGAAUAUGCCCACGGGUAGAUUUGUAAAAGUACUUAGAAGAAUUUCAAACAAUAUAUAAGCAAGAAACCCUUUCUUCUUUGGGUAUUGCUUACCUCAUAAGAUUUUUGAAUUGAAAACUUGAAACUCUAAUUGGGCAAGUGUGCAAUUAAUUUUGGAGCCUUGAUUUCUUAGCAUUUUUUUGUUAAGAAUGAAUGCUUUGGAUCAUCCUUAUGGUAUAGCUCUCUUUACUUUCUUCAUUAGUAGCUAAGUAAUUUAGUCUUGGGAUUAUAUUGAACUAGAGUGUAAUUUGUGUGUUGGUAUUGUUGUGGUUGAAUGAUUGUUAUUUUUUGAGUAAGGAUUUCACCAUUGCUUGAGUUUAUGAGUUGGAAUUUGAUGGGUGAAAGCCCCAAAUCUCUAAAUGGGUUUGGUAGGUUAAAACCCCAAACUCUAGAAACCCUUCAUCAUCCUCGAAAGAGGGAUGAAGGUAAAUAUGAGGUAACCUAUAACAUGCUUGAAAGAGGGUUAUAGGGGGAUAAGGUGAUGGUGGACAAUUAAGCAUAUGGUUUGGUCCCUUUUGCAAUCUUAGAAAUAAGUAAACGAGUCUAAAUGGUUGUCUUAGAAAUGUCUUUAGACUAUAUUUUUAGUUGAUGGUGCCCUGACCUUAGAUAUAUCUUAGAAAAUACCACAAAACCUUGUAAUUUAUUAGUGAAAUCAUAUAUCUUAAGUAACGGGUAUUGUCAUGACUUGAGACUACCCUCUAGUCAAAAUAUGGUGCUUAGAGUCACAAGUGAACACAAUCUAACCCAUGGACUGUAAUGACACUAAGAAUAUUGUAUAAAUAAGAAUAACUGAGUGUAAGCUAAAAUUUAUAUAAUAUAAAAAAGUCUAAAAAAAAUAUUAAUACUGAAUACCAUGUAAAUUCUAUAGACAAAACCAUAAAGUUUAAAAUACUAGUCUGCCUGUCUAAAAGCCUCUACUAAGAUUAGAUGCUGGGACAAGCCCCUAACUAACUAUGACUGUCUAAAACAUAAAAUAAUAAUGAAAAUGAACUACCAAAAAACUAGUCCUUGAAUGAUAAGGACUCACAAAACUAUGUUGCUAAGAUGAUGUGGGAUCGUACUAACCGCGAGAUGGAUGUUGUACGUCUAAACUUAUAUUAUAAAAUAGUAUAGCAAAAAAGAAGGUAUGCAUCUAGUACUUUAAAUAUAUUGAGAAUGUGAGGUAUGCAACUACUUUAUAUGAAAUAAAUAUGUUGAAUAUGAUGUGAUAAACUAAACAUAAAACUGAGGCAUGUAAAUUAAUUCAAUGAGAAAGUGUAUAUGUAACUAAACAAUAAUAUACUCCCUUUGUCCUUUUUUAUGUGGCAUCUUUUGUCUUGGGAUGGUGUUUAAGAAAAAAGAACUUUUAAGACUUGUGGUCCAAAAUAAUUCUUGAAUAUUUGCUUAGUUGUGCAUCAUUUCAUUAAGGGUCGAAAGGGAAUUUUAAAGGUAACGUUUUCCCAUUAUAGUAAGGAGACAUUCUUUUUGGGAAUGGCAUAAAAAGAAAUGUAUGCCACACAAAAUAGGAUAAAGGGAGUACUAAAUAAACAAAAUAUAGGUUCAUACAGUGUCUAAGUUUGCACUGUGGGAGCUGUUGCUAACCAACAUACUACAUUUAAGCUAAACAGAGUCCAACCUUCAACCCCAUCGUGAUUUAUACCUGGCCAAGUGUACGAACACUAACUCAUAUGAAUCUACUAAAUGGAUAUCUAGAAGGACCAAGGUGUCAAGACUGGUCUGAUGUGUGACCCUUUUGAACCUUUAGUGCUGUCAUAGUUUUGAGACUUAAGGACUUCUACUAAAGGUCUCAUCCCAACUAAUAAGUGAACCUUCAUCCCCACAUUUUCUUGGUGCUUAAUACUCCUCCCAAUUGAAUUAUACUAAAUAAAUAACAAGCUUAUACUACUGAAAUUGGGGGAUUAGAUAGUAGAAACUUUAUUUAAAAGCAUCCUAAAAAUGUGAAACUAACAAACUUAACCUUCAAUAAUCGAUGCAUAAAAACCUAAGUCAUUGAGUGUUCAUAACCUACCAUCUUUACAGAAUGCAACAAUGUAUGAUAGUUUCUAUAAUUUGAAUGAAAUGUAAAAUUACAUUACACAAGUCAAUAGUUAUGAGUUUACUGUAUACACUGAGGUUUCACUAGUAACAUAAGCAAGGAAUACCAAAUUUCAUAGGAAACAUGUAUUCAUGGAUUCUUCAUGGUAAGGAACUAUAGUACAAAGGACCUCGUAGUUUUCUUAAAUCCCUAAGCUCCAAGGCUUGAAUUAAACUGAGAAAUUGAGUCUACUUAGGGACUCAAUGUGUGAAAAGAAUGCACUAAUGAAAUCCCACAUACCCAACAAUGAAGAUCUUGGACAUGAAACUUGAAAAUUGAUAAACCCUAGUUUUAGCUUUAGGGAAAAAAUCACAUAUUCUCUCUGAACAUUCUAAGUGUCACUUUGUUUUGGAGUUAAUGAGAGAAUUGGGUAAUUUAAACUUAUUAAUCUGUCUUAAGAUAGUAAAACAACAUAGUUUAGGUGAUUAAACAAAGGGAAAAAAUUAUUUUCCCCUAAUAAUAUAUAACUAAAAAAUAUGAGUAACAUGAUGGACGUACCUUUCAAUGAUCAUUGAAUCUACCAACAAUUGAUGGUUGGCUCAUUGGUUUAGAGAUUAUUUUUGAUAGUUCUCUGGACUCCAUUAUGCAAGCCAAGUAAUGAAUCAUUUAAUCCUACAAUGAUUGUUCCUUGUUUGGUCACUGGAUGUCCAUGCUGAACCAACCUUGAAACCACAAUCCCUACCAAUGAUCUUUUAUUAUAUCAACGGUCGUUGGUUUGUGUAACUGCUAGGGGUAUUUAUCAAUCCCCAGGACUUUAGGUAUUUUUCAUAUAGACAAACACCUACAAUGAAUACGUGAUAGCAUGACCUGUAAGCUAAUACAUGGCUUAUUGAUAACUGUCAUGACUGAUACUAAAACUGAUAACAUGGACAACUGUAUCUGACAGUCCUGUAUAUACUGAAAUUUGAAGAACGCCCUGAGUUCUUUUACUGAGACUGAUACUAAAAUUGUGGGAAGUAGUGUUUAACCGACAUGCCCCAUGUAUCCCAUUAUGGCUAAGCUGGGGUUCAAUCUCUGCCCCGACUGGAGGGGUAUCAAUACCGUGCAACGGGUAAGGACAUCCUGUGAGUGACCCUUAUCUGGCGGGUACUCAAUGAGAACAGUGGGAACCCUAAAUUGAUGGGUUAAGCCACCUCAUCAACCCUAAUCUAACAGGUUAAGAUGUCUUAACCUACGCUAGCUACGUAGUUUUGGAACAUAAAGAUUGCUACUAAGAAUCAUACCCUGAACUGGCGGGUGAGUUCCCAUCCUUGGGUUUACUCGGUGCUAACCUCUACUCCCAUAUGGAGGGACUGGACAUGAAUAACUGACUGUGCAUGACUUAAUCUUACUGGAUUCCGUUGACUAACGAAAUGUUAUUGAUAUCUGACAACUGACUCAUAUCAUGAGGUUUUCCUGAGUCACAUGACUGACUGAAGUCUAUGGAAUCAUAGCUUGAGUUCGGAUAUCCUGAAACAUGACAUAGAUUUAGGCACACAGCUAUAGUUUUCAGUUACAAGUACCCCCAGGACUCGAUGAAAGGAAACUGACACACAUGACUGACUUGAUCAUAAGAGUAGAGUCCAUAAUUUAUAAUAUCAUAAGUAGGGAUAUCAUACUAAGCAUGGUUAUCAACAAUGUAUUGCAUGGAAAGGAUUUCAUAUCACAUAGAAGUACUUGCACAAUCGUAAUAUCAUGUUCAUUGCAUAAUCAUAUUGGCAACACAUACCAAUAGCAAGGAAGUUCAUGUGGAUUGAAUGGUUAUCAUACAUCUUGUUCAUAAGUAGGAUUUGCAAGUAAACAUAGCAUAAUCUCAUAAGAAUAGUUCAUGAGUAUUCCAACAACAUUUACAAGGCACAUUAACAACAUAGAAGUCAUUGGAACAUAAGGGCAUAUCAUGAAUCCUUCACUUAGUCACAAUUUAGCUAUAUUGCAUGAUUUCUAGUUUCUUAGGCAUUUUAUCAAACACCUUACAUGAACAUCUUAAGCAUAGGUGAAAUCACCAAAUUAUACAUCAUGAACAACCAAACUUACAUGUUUCCAGCUCUUAUGAUAUCAUGAAUUUAUAAAAACAUAUAAAGAUUCCCUCUUAGGAAUCACCCAAUAUCAACAACAUGAUCAUUAACAACCAACAAUAUAGAAAUCAUACUUUAUAAUGAAAAAGAGGAAAAACAAAUAAGCAUCAACAUGGGUAUGAUCAUAGCACCACAAUCAACCAAGCUUUUGUAUUUUAAAGAUUGAUUCUUGAACUCCAUGGAAGAAAGGAAUCCGUGGAUGAACAUUACGCAUACCUUAGAAGGAAGAUCCUUGAUGAUUGACGGAGGAAUUUCCUUGAAAUCGGAUCUUCAAGCUUAAUUAUGUAACCCUAGUUGUUUUUCUCCUUUAGUGCUCUUGGAUGAUGAGCUUUGAGAUGAAAAUAGGGUUGCAGUAUGUUUAAAAGUUAUAUAUUUCGUAGGGUUAAGUCUAGGGACGUGUAAGGAGUAUUUAAAGACUUAAUUACCUUUAAAAUAACUCAAAACGGAGUGCUUUUGACACCUAGAAUUCACUUAGGCGGCGCCCAAGUGAUCGCCUAUGCUUGGGUUGGGCGGCGCCUAAACAAUCGCCUAUGCUUACUGUCUCUCACGAAAAUGUGCAUAACUUUUUGCUCGGUAUUGGAUUAAGGCGAAAUUGGUAUCGUUGGAAAGCUAAUUCGAUUUUUUUUAAUUUGGUGGGUCUAAAUUAGCCAAAAUACAAUAUUAACAUCUAGUUAUACUCAUUGAAAUAUGACCCUUGUAAAAUGGAACACUAAAACUUGAUGGAUUCAAAAACUCUUAGCUUGUAUUACCUUAAGUGACUCAUAUGAACAUGCUUAAUGCAUCAUAAGCUAUCCUAUCACUAGAAUAUUCAUUGUAANNNNNNNNNNNNNNNNNNNNNAGGAUAGGAGAUUUCAUAUGUAGGAAUACUUAUUCACUUCCAAGCUUAGAAACAUUCGAGAUAUUACAAUAUCUCCCUUUUGGGAACAUUCGUCCUCGAAUGAGAAUUUACUGAGAAGGGAUACAAGACAAUAGAACCUGAACUGAACAUGAAGAACUGAAACUUGAUCUCAUGACUGACAUACUAAAAUACUGAACUCGUGCAUAUAUGAUGUACGGACAAUUGACACAUGAAUGCAUGACUGAGUAUGAAAUGGUUAAUAGAUACCAAGUUUAUACUGGAAACAUGAAUGUGAAACUGAAUAAUAUUAAGGAGAAAUGUUACCUUGAGCUUAAUGUGAAUUGGUGAGGAAGAGGUCAGGAUACUUGGUAUGCAUAUCUGCUUCUGCUUCCCAAGUAGCUCCCUCAUGAGACUGAUUUCGCCAAACAACCUUGACUAGAGGGACUUCUUUGUUCCUUAAUCUACGAGUCUGAUAAUCUAAGAUUUUGACUGGAAUCUCUUCAUAAGAGAGGCUUUUUUGAAUGUCGAUGCUUUGUAUAGGGAAAACAACUACUGUGUCACCUAUGCACUGUUUUAGCAAAGAGACAUGGAAGACUGGAUAGACUGAGGCUAGAUCUGAAGGCAACUUAAGCUCAUAAGCUACCUUGCCGAAGCGACGAAGAAUUCUGAAGGGACCGACAUACCGGGGACUGAGUUUCCCUUUCUUGCCGAAACUCUUCGCUCCCUUCAUGGGAGAGAUCUUAAGAUAGAGAUAGUCAUUGACCUCAAACUCGAGAUCCUUUCUACGAACAUCUGCAUAGGACUUCUGUCGGCUUUGAGCAGCCCAGAGUCUCUUUUUGAUCAACCAAACUUUCUCUAAGGUGUCGAAUACUAAGUCAGGACCUAUGAUUGAGGCCUCAUUAACUUCAAACCAACCAAGCGGAGAUCUACAUCUCCUACCAUAGAGAGCUUUGAAUGGAGCCAUCUGAAUACUAGAAUGAUAGCUAUUGUUGUAUGCAAACUCAAUCAAAGGCAAGUGGUCAUCACAACUUUCCUUGAAGUCAAUUGCACACACCCUUAGAAUAUCUUCAAGAUUCUGAAUGGUCCUCCCUGCUUGACCAUUUGUCUGAGGAUGAAAUGCUGUGCUGAGAUAGACUUGGGUACCGAGACCCUUUUGGAAUGCUUUCCAAAAGUGAGAAGUGAACUAGGUACCUCUGUCUGAGAUGAUAGAUAGUAGAACACCAUGUAAUCUGACUAACUCCCUGAUAUAGAGUUUGGCAUAAUCCUCGGCGGAAUAAGAAGUACGAACAGAAAGGAAAUGAGCUGACUUGGUCAUUCUAUCUAGAAUGACCCAGACUGAAUCAUGUUGAUGACAAGUUCUAGACAAACCCAUCAUGAAGUCAAUGUUAACUUCUUCCUACUUCCAAGUAGGAAUGGUGAACUCUUGCAUGGAACCACUAGGUUUCUAAUGCUCUAUCUUAACCUGCUGACCCAUAAACUCUGCAACAUCUCUCUUCAUCCCACUCCACCAAUAGAUCUCCUGCAUGUCGCGGUACAUCUUAGUGGCCCCUGGAUGAAUAGAGUAUCGCGCACCAUGCUUUUCUGCAAGUAUUUGCUGCAUCAAUUUAUCUAUACCUGGAAAACAUAGACGACCCUGACAAUGAAGAACACCAUCUCCCCCUUGGGAGAAAACCUCGACUUUGUGAUUCUGAACUGACUCUUUGAGCUUGACAAGGCUAGGAUCCUUUUCUUGUUUCUCUUUCACCUCGGAAACUAGAGAUGACUCUGAACUACUAUGAACACAUACACCACCCUCUGAAGAAUCGACUAAGCGAACUCCUAGUCUGGCAAGAUGAUGGAUCUCCUAAGCCAUCUUUUUUUUACCAUCCUCAACGUGAGAAAUACUACCUAUGGAGAGUCGACUGAGAGCGUCGGCCAUAAUAUUGGCCUUGCCCGAUUGAUAAAGAACACUCAUGUCGUAAUCCUUCAAGAGCUCUAACCACCUUCUCUAGCGAAGAUUGAGAUAUUUCUGGGAAAAGACAUACUGGAGGCUUGUAUAGUCUGUGAAGACAUCUACAUAAACUCCAUAGAGAUAAUGCCUCCAAAUCGUCAAAGCAAAAACUACCGCUGCUAACUCAAGAUCAUGAGUAGGAUAAUUCUUCUUAUGUGGCUUUAACUAUCUGGAGGCGUAGACUAUGACCUUACCAUGCUGCAUGAGGACACAACCUAAACCCAGUCUGGAUGCAUCACAANNNNNNNNNNNNNNNNNNNNNNNNNNNNNNNNNNNNNNNNNNNNNNNNNNNNNNNNNNNNNNNNNNNNNNNNNNNNNNNNNNNNNNNNNNNNNNNNNNNNNNNNNNNNNNNNNNNNNNNNNNNNNNNNNNNNNNNNNNNNNNNNNNNNNNNNNNNNNNNNNNNNNNNNNNNNNNNNNNNNNNNNNNNNNNNNNNNNNNNNNNNNNNNNNNNNNNNNNNNNNNNNNNNNNNNNNNNNNNNNNNNNNNNNNNNNNNNNNNNNNNNNNNNNNNNNNNNNNNNNNNNNNNNNNNNNNNNNNNNNNNNNNNNNNNNNNNNNNNNNNNNNNNNNNNNNUAGAACUAGAGCGGAGGUGAGUCGAGUCUUCAACUCUUGAAAGUUCUUCUCGUAUGAAUCUGACCACUGAAACUUAAUCUUCUUCUGAGUCAAUCUGGACAUGGGAGAUGCAAUAGAAGAAAAUCCCUCGACAAACCAUCGGUAAUAGCCAGCCAAACCCAAGCAACUCUUAAUAUCUGAUGGAGAUACAUGUCUGGGCUAGUUUUUUACUGCCUCAGUUUUUUGAGGAUCUACUCUAAUGCCAUCACCGAAAACAAUAUGGCCAAGAAAUGCUAUGGAUCUUAGCCAAAAUUUGCACUUGCUAAACUUAGAGAAUAAUUGAUGAUCCCUGAGAGUCUGAAGAAUAAUAUUGAGAUAGUCUGCAUGAUCACGCUCUGUGCGAGAAUAGACCAGAAUAUCAUCUAUAAAGACUAUGACAAACAUGUCUAAGUACUGCUUGAACACUCGGUUCAUCAAGUCCAUAAAAGCUGCAGGGGAAUUGGUAAGACCAAAUGACAUGACUAAAAAUUCUAAGUGACCAUAUUGAGUACGAAAAGCUAUCUUCGGAAUGUCACAUUCUCUAACUCUAAGCUGAUGAUAGCCUGAUCUAAGGUCUAUCUUGGAGAAGUAACUGGCACCCUGAAGUUGGUCGAAUAGAUCUUCAAUCCUAGGAAGAGGAUAUAUGUUCUUGACCGUGACCUUGUUGAGUUGAUGAUAAUCAAUACACAGCCUGAGAGAACCAUCUUUCUUGUGCACGAAUAAUACUGGCGCACCCCAUUGUGAAACGCUGGGUCUGAUGAAUCCUUUAUCUAAGAGAUCCUUCAAUUGAUCUUUCAGUUCCUUGAGUUCUGCUGGUGCCAUUCUGUAUGGCAGAGUAGAAAUAGGUUGAGUAUUUGAAAGAAGGUCUAUGCCGAAGUCUAUUUCUCUUUUGGGAAUAAUACCUGGAAGAUCUUCGAGAAAGACAACUGAGUAUUCAUUAACAACAGGGACUGUUUUGAGGCUGGGAUAUUCAGAACUAGAAUCUUUAACAUUAAUGAGAUGAUACACACACCCUUUAGAAAUCAUUUUCCUUGCCCGAAGGUAGGAAACAAGUUGACCCCUAAAUGCUGAAAUGCUACCCUUCCACUCUAGGAUGGGCUCAUUUGGGAACUGAAACUGAACUAUCUUAUUUCUGCAGUCGACUGUGGCAUAGUAGGAAUGAAGCCAAUCCAUGCCGAGAAUGAUAUCAAAAUCAGUCAUCUCUAACUCCACUAAAUUUGCUGAUGUGGAUUUCUGAGAUAUCAUAACCGGGUAGUUCCUGUAUACUCGCCGGGCUAUGAUGGUUUUACCCACUAGGGUAGAGACUGAGAAGGGCUUUGCUAGGACUUUGGGAUUGAUUCCAAAAUCGCCUGCUAUGUAUGAAGUAACAAAAGACAAAGAUGCACCUGGGUCUAGCAAAGCAUAAACAGGAACAUGGAAAAUAUGUAACAUACCAGUAACGACAUCAGGAGAAUUUUCCUGAUCCUGUCGGGACUGAAGAGCAUAGAGUCUAUUUGGGCGUUGCCCACUGGUAGCACUGGAAAUGGUACCCUGCUGGUUCGGGCUACUGGACUGAGCUGUAGAAUAAUUUUGCUGACCCUGAAGACUUGACUGCAGACACUCUCUAAUCUUGUGGCUUGGCUUGCCACAACCAAAAUAGACAUCACACCAGCUCUGCAAUUGCCCUUGUGGUUCUUACCACAAGUCAGACAAAGGGGAUUCAUUCGGGCACUGCUAACACUACCCUGAGAUUUAGAGCCUGGCGCUUUGUUUCUAUUGCCAUCUCUGAACUUCGGCACUGGAGCGCUGGCAAAGGAAGGAGCUGGAACAGCUGACUUGGAGCUAAACUAUGAAUGGUUUCCUCCAUCUGACUUGGGGUGAGGAAAGUUGAAAUUACCUGACCUUGCUCUCUUGUUCUGCCUCUCCCUAGUCUUAAGCUUCUGCUCUUCUACUUGCAGGGAAUAGGUCAUGAGUCUAGCUAAGGUCAUAUCACCGAUCAGCAUCGUAGACCUACACUUAUUUACCAUGCUAUCGUUGACCCCUGACACAAACUUGCUCAUCUUAGCUCUAUUAUCUAGAACCACAUGAGGAGCAUACCUAGCUAGCUGAGUAAAUCUAAGAGAAUACUCUCUAACCAUCAUAUUCCCUUGCCUGAGGUUGAUGAACUCAAGAACUUUGGCUUCCCUCAGCUCUUGGGGAAAGAAUCUGUCUUAGAAGGCCAUGAAAAAUUCCUCCCACUCGAUAGGGACUGUAUCAUCUAACCUCUUAAACUUCCACUGUUUGUACCAAUCAUGAGCAACAUCCUGUAACUGGUAGGUAGCUAACUCAGAAUUCUCAAUAUAAGUAACACCCAUGAUGUCAAUGACCUUCUGGACUUGGUCAACGAACUCUUGAGGGUCCUCAUCAGACUUAGACCCAUGGUAAGAUAGAGGGUUCAUUCGGGCAAAGUCCCAAACCCUAGCUGCUUUAGGAGUGGCCACUGGAUUGGUUGGAAUGACUGGUGGCCGUUCAUUCUGUGCAGCCAUAGACUGAGCAAGUGUGGUAAAUACGACUCUAAAUCUGCAUGAGAAAUAUGUUCGCCCAAAGGAUCUUCGGGCUGAGGAGCUGGAUGGUUUUUUCUUUUUCGGGCCAUGGUCUGGAAUAAGAGAAGAAUGGAUUAGACUGAGAGUUUAACUUGUGAUUAUGCUCACUAGCAUGACAUGAAUAAUGAAGAAAGGGGACUGUUCCUAAAAUAUCUUAUAGCCUCCCACACAUAAAUGUGGUACGCAAUACACCCAUGUACAAGACUCUACUAGAUGCGGCUUUCAGACUUCCUAGGACUCUAUUUAACCUUAGGCUAUGAUACCAAGUUUGUAACACCCCGAUUUGUUGAACUGAAAUGCUACACGGUGGUCAUGACCCCGAGGGAGCAUAAGCUAACCCAUGAAUGAUAUCUGUGCCUGUAUACUGCAAAUCAUUAUAUAAUAAUGUGGAAAACAUAGAACUGUAAGGCCAUAAGGUUCAACUGAAUAAAACUAUGUGGGUGAAAAUACCCAAAACAAAUCAAUCUGAAUGUAAAUCUGAAUAUAAAUCUGAAAGCCUCUAAACUAUCUGAAUAAGGAGUUGAUGGAACAUGUCUCCAACUAACUCCAUAAAACUGAACUAAAGAUAUAAAUAAAUGUAUCAAAUUAUAUUAUCCUCGAAUCAAUGAGGACUCACUGUGUCUGUACGACUGGAAUCUAUCACUACUGCUAGACUGGAGCUCGUGUCUCGGAACCUAUGGUGUAACAUGAAAAGAAAGCACCAUAGCGUAAAUGCGUUAGUACAACUGAAGUACUGAGUAUACGAGGAAGGUAGCUGAAAAUAAAGGUUUUCAUGCAUGAACAACACUGACUGACUAAUAUGAACGUGGGAGUGCAAACACAUACAUAGAAACUGGGACCAUGAAUGCGUAAUAGCUUGACCUGUAAGCUAAUACAUGGUUUACUGAUAACUGUCAUGACUAAUACUGAAACUGAUAACAUGGACGACUGUAUCUGACAGUCCUGUAUAUACUGAAAUCUGAAGAAUAACCUAAGUUUUUUUACUGAGAUUGAUACUAAAACUGUGGGAAGUAGGGUUUAACCGACAUGCCCUAUGUAUCCCGUUAUGGCUAAGCUGGGGUCCAAUCUCUGCCCCAACUAGAGGGGUAUUAAUACCGUGCCACGGGUAAGGACAGCCUAUGAGUGACCCUUAUCUGGCGGGUACUCAAUGAGAAUGGUGGGAACCUUAAACUAAUGGGUUAAGACACCUCAUCAAUCCUAAUCUAACGGGUUAAGAUGUCUCAACCUACGCUGGCUACGUAGUUCUGGAGCAUAAGGAUUACUACUAAGAAUCACACCCUGAAUUGACAGGUGAGUUCCCAUCCUUGGGUUCACUCGAUGCUAACCUCUACUCCCAUCUGGAGGGACUGGACAUGAAUAACUGACUGUGCAUGACUUAAUCUUACUUGAUCUGUUGACUGGCGAAAUGUUACUGAUAUCUGACAACUGACUAAGAUCAUGAGGUUUUCUUGAGUCACAUGACUGACUGAAGUCUAUGGAAUCAUAGCUUGAGUUCGGAUAUCGUGAAACAUGACACACAUAACUGACUUUUUCAUAAGAGUAGAGUCCAUAACUUAUAAUAUCAUAAGUAGGGAUCUCAUACUAAGCAUGGUUAUCAAUAAUGUAUUGCAGGGAAAGGAUUUCAUAUCACAUGGAAGUACUUUCACAAUCUUAAUAUCAUGUUUAUUGCAUAAUCAUAUUGGCAGCACAUACCAAUAGCAUGGAAGUUCAUGUGGAUUGCAUGGUUAUCAUACAUCUUGGUCAUAAGUAGGAUUUACAAGUAAACAUAGCAUAAUCUCAUAAGAAUAGUUCAUGAGUAUUCCAACAACAUUUACAAGGCACAUUAAUAACACAGAAGUCAUUCGAAUGUAAGGGCAUAUCAUAAAUCCUUCACUUAGUCACAAUUUAGCUAUAUUGCAUGAUUUCUAGUUUCUUAGGUAUUUUAUCAAACACCUUACAUGCACAUCUUAAGCAUAGGUGAAAUCACCAAAUUAUACAUCAUGAACAACCAAACUUACAUGUUUCCAAAUCAUAUGAUAUCAUGAAUUCAUAAAAACAUAUAAAGAUUCCAACUUGGGAAUCACCCAAUAUCAACAACAUGAUCAUCAACACCCAAUAAUAUUGCAAUCAUACUUUAUAAUGAAAAAGAGGAAAAACAAACAAGCAUAAACAUGGGUAUGAUCAUAUCACCAAAAUCAACCAAGCUUUUGUAUUUUAAAGAUUGAUUCUUGAACUCCACGAAUGAAAGGAAUUUGUGGAUGAACACUAUGCAUACCUUAGAAGGAAGAUUCUUGAUGAUUGACAGAGGAAUUUCCUUGAAAUCAGAUCUUCAAGCUUAAUUAUGCAGCCCUAGUUGUUUUUUCUCCUUUAGUGCUCUUGGAUGAUGAGCUUUGAGAUGAAAAUAGGGUUGCAGUAUGUUUAGAAGCUAUAUAUUUCGUAGGGUUAAGUUUAGGGACGUGUAAGGAGUAUUUAAAGACUUAAUUACCUUUAAAAUAACUCAAAACGGAGUGUUUUUGACACCUAGUUCACUUAGGCGGCGCCCAAGUGAUCGCCUAUUCUUGGGUUGGGCGGCGCCUAACCAAUCGCCUAUGCUUGGGUUGGGCGGGGCCUAACCAAUCGCCUAUGCUUACUGUCUCUCAUGAAAAUGGGCAUAACUUUUCGUUCGGGUAUUGGAUUAAGGCAAAAUUGGUAUCGUUGGAAAACUAAUUCGAUUUUCUAUAAUUUGGUGGGUCUAAAUCAGAUAAAAUACCAUAUUAACAUCAAGUUAUACUCGUUCAAAGAUGUCCCUUGCAAAAUCAAACACUAAAACUUGAUGGAUUAAAAAACUCUUAGCUUGUGUUGCCUUAAGUGACUCAUAUGAACAUGCUUAAUGCAUCAUAAGCUAUAAUACCACUAGGAUAUUCAUUGUAAGUUAUGUACUCAAGUAUGAAUCACAGGAUAGGAGAUUUCAUACGUAGGAAUACUUAUUCACUUCCUAGCUUAGAAACAUGCCGGGUAUUACAGCUUUACAUUUCAGUUACAUGAACACAGCUCGUAUUCAUGCACUUUCCAUAGAAUCAUGUACAAUUCUAGUACCAAUUAUAAGGAGUUCUAGUUCACUCAGUAUUACGAAUCAUGUCCCAUGAAUGUAGGAUUUCCAAGCUCAGGUCAUGCAGCUCAUGAAUACAUAUCAUGCCUUACAGUAUGCACAAUUCCCAUGACUCAUGCUAUGCUCCUAAUGAUUAGUCAAAGUUUUGACUAUGUCAUGCAUAUCCUCAGUUUAGAUUUCUUGAUAAAUUCAUGAUGUUCAUAUCCUAUUCCUUAAGACUCAGUUAAGUGACGACUUUGGUAUAAUAUUUAUUCAUGUUUUAGGUCCUCGAUUUAUGUCAGUCUAUAUUAUGUAGCUAUCAGAACUCAGUACUCAGCUUCCUUAAAAAUCUUUAUUAUAGUCUUAGUUAUCAUCUCAAUUACAGUCAUAAUCUCAGUUCAGUAAUUAGAUUAGUAACUUAGUUCAGUUUUAGGUUUGUUUGACCAUAUCAUACAAUUAUCAGUUAUUCAGUUAUCAGUAUUUUAGUACCUCAGUUUAUAGACUAUUUUUGAAUCAUGGUAUAUGCUUGGUCUUGAAUUCUUAGAUAAUAUAGUUUUCCCGAAUUCAUGCUCAGUUAUCUUAUGUUACCCAGUUAGUCCUUACCUCAUAUACAUAAUACUCUACAGUUUCAAUCCAGUUAUUCAUACUAUGUACAAUUCAGUCUAACAUGCCAAGUAUUUAGCUACCAGUCAUUGAAUAAUCAAAUAAGUUAGUAUAUUUAUAUGCCUUUGUGCUCAACACCCGUGUGAAUUAUUUCAGUAGUUUCAGGUGAUGUGUGGUUCUAAGGCCGAGAGUAUAGUUGAGAGAAUAUUGAAGGGAUAUAUAUAAGCUUGAAAAUUUAUAGUUGCAGUGCAUUAGGGCUUAGUCUCUUUAUCUUAGAUGAUGUUCCAUAGGUGUUGACUCGCAUUACAAAAUUUUAGCUAGGAUGUGGCUUCUCAUUCUGAUGUCUUAUACAGACCACGCCAAGAUUUCCUUACUCCCUAAAGACUAUGGAACUCUAUAGAAAAAGUUUCAAUGAAAGGCUCCAGUCAAAUAUAUGUUUUUAGCAUGAGCGGGAUAAAUUUAUCUAGAAAGGCAUCCUAAAACCCUUGCAAAACAUGAUGUACUGAGGACUCAUAAAACAAUCAAAGAACCAUGAUGUACUAUGCAUAAUAUUUAAACAUGGCGUUAAUAUUAAUUUGAAUUUUUUGGGGUAUUACAAUAUCUCCCCCUUGGGAACAUUCAUCCUCGAAUAAGACUAACUAAGUUGAGGAUACUGAUAGACUGAACUCAUUUACUGAACAUGCACAACUGAAAUAUGAUUACAUGACUAACAUUACUAACAUACUGAAAAAUAUAGUUCUGUUCCUAGAGCCAUGUCAUGUGCCACGAUAAAUCUCAGUCAAGCUAUAUUCUGUAGAACUCAAAUGGUUAUGUGACUCAGGAAACAUCAGAAAUCUUAUGAUCUCAGUUAACUCUCAGAUGAUAGUACUACUCUGUCAGUCAACAGAUGUCAGUUAUUCAGUCCAUAUACAGCCAGUUGAAUCAUGUUCAUUACCUUCAAAUAGGAGUAGAAUUUAGCACCGAGUGAACCCAAGGAUGGGAACUCACCGCCAGUUUAGGGUGUGAUUCUUAGAAGUCAUUCUUGUGUUCCAGAACUACAUAGCCAACGUAGGUUGAGACAUCUUAACCUGUCAGAUUAGGAUUGAUGAGGUGGCUUAACCUAUCAGUUUAGGGUCCCACAGUUCUCAAUUUGAGUACCUGCCAAAUAAGGGUUACUCACAACUUUCCUUACUAGUGGCACGGUACUGACACCCCUCCAGUCGGGGCAGAGAUUGGAACCCAGCUUAGCUGUAAUGGUAUACAUGGGGCAUGUCAAUUAAAUAACUACCUCCCAUAGUUUUAGUAUCAGUCUCAGUGAAGGAACUUAGACAGUUCUUUAGAUAUCAGUAUGCUAGGACUAUUAGAUACAGACAAAUUCAGUUAUAGGAUGGGACUCAGAGAGUUCUACCAGAUUCAGGACUGUCAAACACAGUCUCUCAGGUUAUCAGAACUACAAUUCCAGUCAUGUAUUAGCGUAUAGAUCUAGCUACCACAUACUCACGAUCUCAGUUACUAUGUAUGUAUAUUUGUACUUUUACGUUUAUAUCAGUCAGUUAGUUAGCAUUAUUCAUGCAUGUAUACCCUUUUAUUUAGCCUACCUCACUCGUAUACUUAGUACUCCAGUUGUACUGAUGCAUUUGAACUAUGGUGCUUUCUUUUCAUGUUACACCAUAGGUUCAAAGCCACGAGUUCCAGGCCAGUAGUAGCUUUCUAGUCGCAGUGUUGCAGUGAGUCCUCAUCCAUCCGAGGAUAAUAUGAUUUGAGUUAUUCAUUGAUUACUUCAGUUCAGUUUUACGGAGUUAGUUGGAGACAUGUUCCUUCAAGUUCUUAUUUAUAAAGUACUUAGAGGUUUUCAGAUUUAGUUAGAUUUAGCUAUUAGAUUCAGUAUUCAGUUUUAUAUUCAGUUGUUUUGGGUAUUCAUUACCCUAUGGAUGUUACUAUAUCUCUUCAGCUGAACCUUAUUCCCUAUAUGUUUGGGUUUUCCAUGUAUUAUAUGUAUAUUAUGCAGUGUGCAAGUACAGAUAUCAUUCAUGGGUUAGCUUGUGGUCCCUCGGGGUCAUGAACACCGUGUAGCAUUCUGAUUCAGAAAAUUGGGGCGUUACAAAUACUUUGAGGAAUUUAGGAAUGUUAUCCCUUUUUUGCAUUCUAUGUCAAGCUAUAGAGUCUAGUGCUAUGAAACUUCUAAAGCUCCUACUUUACUCAUAUUUUAGAUCAUGCCUCCUAAAAGAUCUUGCAGUCGUAGAAACUCCGUUGGACCCUUUGUCCUACCUAAGGAGAAUCUAGAAGGGACUCUCUUUAUUUAUAAAUUGUUGACCCAGUCUAGGGUCACUGCUCCUGAUUGUACUGCCAUAUGUUGAGUUCCACUAAUUCGUACUAGUCCUUCUCGAGUUCUCUAGUGCGAUGAUACUUAUGAUCGGACACCUCAGGGAGACAUCACUAAUAUACAAUUUCUAUAGUUUUUUAUUAUACUUGCUUAGUUGGAGGCAUCCUAGUGUCAUAGUCUCAUUAUGUUGGUUCUACUACACAUUUAUCUGAGGUCACUUAGGUUAUCCAGUUCAUGAGGUUAAAUGCCCCAACCUUUAUAGGCUAUAUUAUUGAGACAGAUCCUAAAAGAUUCAUUGAUAAGAUGGAGAUGAUUUUUAGGGAUAUGCAUGCUAUUGAUGUAGAGUGCAUGGAGUUUAUUGCUUAUCAGUUUAAAGAUGUAGUAUUCUAGUGGUAUGAGUUGUAGGAACAGUUGAGAGAAAAUUAUGCAAAGCUAUCGGUACGGAAUGAGUUCUAAAGUGCCUUUUUCCAUCAUUUUUUUCUUUCAAGAAUUAAGGGAAGGUGAAGCUGAAGAGUUUGUGAAUUUAAAGCAGGGAAAGAUUAGUGUGAAGGAGUACAUAUUGAAAUUUUAACAUUUGUCUUAUUAUUCUUUAAUGUUGGUUUCUAGCAUGAGAUAUAAGGUAAGGAAGUCUACUUUGGGCUUGUCCGUGACUUUGUAUUAGAGUGUAAUAUUGUGAUGUUGAACAAUGAUAUGGAAAUCUCUAGGCUAGUGGUGUAUAUGUAGUUAGUAGAGGAUGAAAAGAAGAAGCAGGUGUAGAGAGAGAGAGAGAUAACAUAAGAUAUUGAAAUAUUCAAAAACAAAUUUCGGUCAGGAGAACACAAGAAGAGCUGGUAGACAGUGGACUAAGAAGAAGAAUUGGGGGAAUUUGUACUCGACCAUCAUUAUUCCUUAUCCUAAGUUGUCUGGUGAUUUUUGUUUUUAGGCGAGCAAUGGUCUUAAGGAAUAGGGUUCCCAGUCUCAUGCUAGUGGAGCUCUAUCAGCCCCAUCUUAUCCUGCUUGCAGAUUUUGUGGACAACUUCACCAUUGUUGUUAUGAGCAGGGGAGAAACCAACGCUUUAAUUGAGAUCAUCUUGGCAUAUGCAAUGAAAAGAUUUUCUUGAUAAGGGAUUUAUUCAUGCUAGUGUGUGUUUGUAAGGUGCUCUCAUACUUUUGGUGUGAUAGAAAGAUAUGUCUCUUUAGGUAUGUAUAGAUAACUGUUAGUUGAGUAAGGCUGUAGUGAAGAAUAAGUUCCCCCUUCCUAGGAUUAAUAAUUUUUUAUACAAGCUAUAGGGUGCUAGGUAUUUCUCUUAGAUUGAUCUUCAUUCGGAAUAUCAUCAAUUGAAAAUUCAGGAGGUUGAUAUUCGCAAGACUAUUUUUCAAUUCUAGUAUGGCCAUUACAAGUUUUUGGUUAUGUUAUUUUGAUUGAAUAAUACUUCGGUCGUGUUAAUGGAUCUUAUAAAUUAGAUGUUAAGGCAGUUUCUGGACUUGUUUGUUAUAGUCUUUAUUAAUGACAUCUUUUUGUAUUCUAUGAAUGAAGAGGAUCAUGAUGAUUACCAUUGAAUUAUUUUGCUGAAUCUUAAGGACUAGAUAUUGUAUGCUUAGGUUUCUAAGUAUAAAUUUUGGAUAAGUAUAGUGACCUUUAUUUGACAAGUUAUUUGUGGUAAGGGGAUCAAGGUGGAUCCACAAAAGGUUGUGGAAGUUAUGAAAUGGCCUAGAUCAACUACUCCAACAAACAUUAGGAUCUUUCUUAGCUUAGCUAUUUAUGAUAGGAGGUUCGUGGAGAGUUUUUCUUCUAUUGCUUCUCCGUUGACGAAGUUGAUUCAGAAAAAUAUUUAGUUUUUAUGUUUCAAUACUUGUGAGAGUAGUUUUUAGAAGUUGACGGAUAUGUUGACUUCUGCACCUAUUUUUACCCUGCAUGAGGGUAUACAUGGAUUUGUGGUGUAUUGUGAUGCAUCCCAUAUAGGACUGGGUUGUGCUUUCAUGCAACAUGGUAAGGUUGUGGCUUAUGAUCCUAGAAAACUUAAGGUUCAUAAAAGAAAUUAUCUGACUCAUAAUCUAGAGUUGGCAAUUAUGGUUUUUGCAUAAAGAUUUGGUGCCUUUAUUUGUAUAGAGUGCAUGUGGAUAUUUAUUCAGAUCCUAAGAGCUUGCAGUAUGUGUUUACUCAGAAGGAGUUGAAUCUCUGGUAAAGGAAGUGGCUUGAAUUGCUUAUGGAUAAUAGCAUGAGUCUUCACUACCAUCCAAGUAAAGUUAAUGUUGUCAUUGAGAUCUAACAAGGUUGUCUAUGGGGGAGCUUAUCAUACGUUGAUGAGGAGGAAAAAGGAUUGGUGAGGGAUAUUCACAGGUUGUCUAACUUGGGAGUUUGUCAUUUGGACUCAGAGGAUGGAGGAUUAAUUACUCAAGAAGUGGUUAAGUCAACUCUUGGUGUUAAGUUGAAAGAGAAGAAGGAUUUGGAUCCCAUACCUAUGCAUAUUAUGGAUGAUAUGGGUCAGAAAAAAGUUCUGGCUUUCGAGAUUAAGGGAGAUGGCUUCUUAUGAGGAUCUCUAUGGUAGAAGGUGCAGGUCUUUUAUUGGGUGUUUUAAGGUUGGUGAGUCUAGGUUUUUUUUGUCUUAACAUGGUUCAACAUGACAUGGAAAAUGUGAAGGUGAUUAGAGAAAGACUUAAGACUGCUUAAAGUCGCCAAAAGUAAUAUGCAUAUGUGAAGCGGAGGGAGUUGGAGUUUGAGGUUAGUGAUUGGGUGUUCUUAAAAGUUUCUCCAAUGAAAGGAGUUAUAAGGUUUGAGAAGAAAGGGAAGCUCAGUCCCCGUUACAUUGGCCCAUAUCAGGUUGUAAGGAGAAUUGGGAAUGUAUCUUAGGAGUUUGAUUUGCCGAUGAGUUUAACUUCUAUUCAUUCUGCUCUCCAUGUGUCUAUACUAAAAAAGUAUGUGGGUGAUCCUUCUUUGAUUGUUCCUAUGGAGUAUGUUGGUAUUUCGGAUUCCUUGUUUUAAAAGGAGGUCCUGGUUGACAUAUUCGAUAGGCAAGUUUGUAGAUUGACGACAAAGGAUAUAGCUUCGGUAAAAGUGCUUUGGAGGAAUCAAAAGGUGGAAGAAGAUACUUAGGAAGAUUAGGAAGAUGUGAAGGCAAAGUAUCCAUUCUUGUUCUGAACCUUGGAUGAAAAUGCUUGAGGUAUGAGUUUCAUUUUUCCUCCUAUUGCAUUUUGAAAUUCGUCAUUGGAUUCUAGUUCCAUUCCUUCUUGUUUUUGUGCCAUAGGUUCCCUAUCUUCUGAUUCAGGUACGAAUGAUCUUGAGGGGUGAGGUAAUUUAAUACCCUAAGUUUUGGACCCUAAAAUUUCUAGAGUGUGGACAACAUUGUCAUGACUACGACUCAGGUGAUCAGUUGUUAUCACUUGUCACGGGUCGUAUAGUAGGACUUAUGGUCUCACCAGUGAGGUUGUUGAUGCAUCACCUUGGUCACAAUUCAUGACAUCAGACAAUGACUCGUGAAGAGAGGCUCGAGGUCAGAACAGUGGAGGUUGGGAUUUUUGAUGCUCAGGUAUCGCGUCCAGGUAAAACUCAUGAUCAGUCAUCAUGAGUAGUUACCUAAGUUAGGAUGACUAGGCUAAAUUUUUCCUGCACGUCUCAAUUAAGGUUAUUUUGGUCUUUUCCUUCAUUUACACUUUACCCACGACUUAAAAACAUACUAAGGACCUCUUUUCCAUUAGUUAUGAAAUCAAAUAAAUUACUCUUUCCUCUAUAAAUUCCAAGUCAAGAGAAAACUAGGGUUUACAAGUAGUUCAAACUCCAAGCUUCAAACUACGAGUUUUCCUUCAGUUUCUUUGGUAUUCAGGUAUAUCUCUUAUCCCUAACUUGUAUUUUAUAUUGUGGCAUAUGUUUAAUCAUCGUUUCAUGACCCAAUUUCUUGGAUCAUGAUGACGCCUAGUAUAACCUACCAGUAGGCAAGCAAAACCCGUAGUUUGAAAUGGCUAGUAAUGGGACUACCUAAAGAGAUAAGGAAAGAAUGCCAAAUAUCUAAAAUAUAUGAUCAAUAACACAGUAUAAUCCCAAAACCUAAUGGUAUCGUAUAAGAGCUUCUACAUAAACAAGAUUUCAAAGUAAAGUACAAAUGGAUAUACUGAUACAACUUAUCUCCGAAUACAACAUAAAGACUAGUCUAAUACAUAGGUGAGAGAUAAAUAAUAUUCCAAAAGUAAGGAGCUCAUCUAAGUCUCUGAACAAUUGUUGUUCUGCACGACACACACAUCAAUAGCUAUAACCCAUACUAUAAUAUGCAGGCUGUAGACGUGUAGUAUAUGUUCCAAACAUAUGGUACUGAGUAGGCAAUUAAUGAUUGAGCUCCAAAGAUAAAGCAGAAAUACAUAACAUAUAAACAAAAUGGAAAACUACACCAAAAUAUCCAGCGACCAUAUAAAACAACCAAUGAGAUAGUAAGGAUAACCUAUCCUAUUCAUGCCUAGGAGACUUAACAUAUUAAGGCUAAGGAAGUAAUAAGAAUUCACUAUCUUAUUCUAAUCAUACUUAGGAAUAUCAUCACUAUAUCGUAUAUCAUUGGCCAAUAUUCAAGUUCGAGUAUAUAUAUACGUAUAUAUAUAUAUACAUAUAUAUAUAAGUAUACAAGGCAAAGGAACGAGUAUAUAAUCCGAGUAAAUGAAGGAAAAGAGGGAUAUACAGCAAUACCAUAGCUAUAUAUGGCUAAGUAUGCAUAAAUAUAUAUAAGUAUGUUCACAAAGUCUACUCAAAGGAUAGCUUAAGUCAUCAGACUAGCUAUUUAAGAUCUCAUAAUCAUAGAAAAAGAUAGUGCUAUUAUACCUGUGCUCUAAUCCAUAUAUCACGUCAUCAGACGGUCAUGCAUGGUAAUAUAAUCGUAAGAUAAAGAGGUUAGAAUCAAACCUCAAGUUUCAAUACCGAAUCAAUGACCAAUCUAUCAUAAAAUAGCCAUAACAAUAAUAAUGACAAUGAUAAUAAUAAUGUCAAUAACAACGCAAGUAACCGACUUGUCCAGACAACCAAAUACCUAACUGAUCCUAUCACUUUCCCCCACCACCCCAGGAUCAGAAGGUUCAAUCAAUAUAUCACACACCAUAAGGCAUAGUCAUCACCUAUACCUAUGCAAUACUCCCAUACUAGUUGAUAGAUAUAGGUACAUAUUAGUGAUACGUGAUGCGCAUGCAAGAAUCAAUACAUCCAAAUCCACAAUUUCAUAAUAUCAUGAUCAUAACCAUCAUCAUCAUAAUCAUCCUCCAGGAUUUCUGGGUAUAUAUAUAUAUAUAAUUAUCAUACAUCGUGCUACUCGAACUCAAAUCGAUAGAUAUACAUAUAGGCACAUCAGUGUAAUAAUUUUCCGACCUUGUCGAGUAUCAAUAUCAUUAUCACAACAUCUUUUGGCCUUGUCGGGUAUUAAUAUCAUUAUCAUAACAUCCUUCAGCCUUAUUGGGUAUCAAUAUCAUCAUCACAAAAUCCUUCAGCCUUUUCGAGUAUCAAUGUCAUCAUUACAAUAUCCUUUGGCCUUGCCGAAUACAUAAGCAUAUAUCAUAAUCAUCAAUACAUAUAUAUGUAAUAGGUGCAUGGACCCAAGUCGUGACUAAAAGAGUGUAAGUACGUAAAUUCAUUGCCCAGAGUGAUCAUCAAGAUAAAAUACUGAUAAAAGUGUAGAAAGAGUUGAAAUAUCUCACGAUCGAAGUAAAUAGUAGUGUCAAAUCAUAGAUCGAAAUCUGCUACAAGCAAUUCCUUAAACAUUAUUAUUAAUCUCUUUUAUUUAUAAGGUAACAAUUAAGUAAAGCAAUUAUUAUUAUAAAGAAAUCUAUUUUUAAGAUGAAAAGUGGGCUUUAACCCUUGAAUAGGAAGAAUAAUCAUAAGAUCAUAUUUUAACUAGAAUCACACUAUAUAUUAAUAUUACUAUCAUGAAUGUACCGAAUAUAUGUGUGCCAUCACUAGUAUUCAAAAAAUGGAAUCAUAAGCAUCAUAACGCACCUUCCUUCAUCCCAUACGAGAGAGAUGUGUGUAUAUAUAUAUAUAUAUAUAUAUAUAUAUAUAUAUAUUUAAUAAACUACAACUGCAUCCCAUACCAUGAUAAACACUUUCCAUAUGUCUAAUUGAGAUCAUAACACGACCCUUGGCCCAAUAAUGUAUCCAGAAUAAUUAUAGCAUUGUAAUCACGGCCUUCGACCCAUAUAUGUAUCCUAAACAUAUGUCAAUAAUCAUAUUUAUACAUCAUCUCAUACUUAUAAGCCAUAGCAUGUUUAUGAGGCAUUACAUCUCUACAAGCCAUAAGGAAUAUUUAUACUCAUCUCACAUAUAAGAGGCAUCUCACAUCUAUGAGGAAUAAUAUUAAUAAGCAUCUCACAUCUAGGAAGCAUAAUAAUAAUAAGUGUCUCACAUCUAUUGGACAUGUAUUGUGAUUAUGAGAAAUAUCAUCUCUAUAGGCCAAUUCUCAUAUCUAAGAGGAAUAAUAUCUCUAAAUGUCCAAUAUCACUUCUAAAAGGAAGUAACUUCUCUAAAGGCCCAAUAUCACUUCAGAGAGGAAAUAACAUCUCUGAAGGCCCAAUAUCAAUGCCAUAAGCCAUUAAUCAUAAUCCAGAUCACAAUUUACUAAGACACGAAGUAAACUUAUUCUAAAUGCUCAAUAGUCUCAAUAAUGCCUAACAUCUGCAUCUAAGUCUACAAGGCUAACACAAGUCAUAGCCUAAGGUGGGACUGAAGAACCCAUUUCUAAUCCUCAAAUUCCAUAUUUAGGCAAUUUACACCCCAAAGUAGGCUAUGGUAUCUAGUUAAACUUUUAGAUGUCAAGUGAGCCAUAACAAACUUAAGAUAGGAACUUCGUCUAGAAACAUGGGCAUUUAUAAGUAAACUCUACUUAAAUUACAAUUUUAAGAUUAUAGUAAUAGCCCAAAUAUGGUUAAAUAUACUACACAUAGUUACAAUGCUAAGACCACAUACGAAACCUAGCAUUAUAUUGUAUCCAUGCUACUAAUUAGUUCAAUAUAGGGAUAAGGUAAUUAGAUUCAAAAAGGGCAUUAAGCAUUUCAACUUACUAGUCAAAACCUUCAUCUAAUACCCAAACUUAAAUAUUCAAUACUAAGUCAUUUGACCCAUAAUCAAACUUAAUAUUCACAUUCACACGCAAUAUGAAAAACACGUAUUAUCUACGAAGAAGAGUCGAUAGAAGCCUACCUUAAAGUCAAAUGGCAAAUCCUUACAUGAUUUACCAAAUGUUCAACUUCACUUCAGAUUCUCAAAAUACCAUCACAAUAUCAAAAUCAUAAUAUACUCAUCAAUACGAUAAUAACGAUACCAUAUUGCACCAUUAUGCUUUGAGUUAAAAAAUGACACCAAAUACCCCAAAUGGGUCCCACUUAUGAAAAUCACAUUUCUGAGGUCAACCCAACAUUGAUACAUGAUCAAGGAAUCAUAACCCACAAGAAAUGGGUGAAUAAAAAACUAAUUUGGGCCUAAAAUCAAGCCCUCAUUCUAUUUGGGGUUUUGGGUCAAGAACUAAGAAAUUUAUUAAGAAAGUGAUGGAAUCUUACCUUAAUUCAAAUGAUAAUCGUAAUAAUGAAGUUUCAAGUGCCCAAGUCACCCCAAAGUCUCAAUUUGAAGGUAUCAUACCCUUUUAGGGUUUUUAGCACUCAAGGUUGAGUGAAAAAUGGCCAAAACAUGGCCUAAAAAGCCCUUUUAUACCCACUAGGUAUAGAGGUGUGCUAUCACAGUCUAGGGAUUGCAAUCGUAAUAAAGAAAUGGCUACGACAUUCUUCCAAUUUCACUAGGGCGACCAUGGUCGCUUUUGUAGGAUUGCACAAGCUUCAGCACCAGCAAGCAUGGAAAGUUUUAAAAGUUUCCAACAAUGCCUCGAGAUUCAUUUAGAAUUUGAUAUACGCAAAUAAAUUAUGUAACCACACUAAUUUAGAUAUUCUAGACGUAAUGGCCAAGUCACAUUUUGCAUUCGUAGUCAUAUUAAAUGAAUGUGGGUCUGGCACCCAAACUUCUAAUUUUUAAACUUUCCGACCAGUACGUAAAAAUGAGCUCAGGGUCAUUGGGACAGAAACAAAUUGUCUACCCAUCCUAAAAUCAAUAUUCUGAAGUAACUAGCAUAGUCAGAAUUCGCGCAAAGAUCAUUUUACUAAAGUUUUUGCCUGGUGGCCAUUUAUCACCAAUGAAGACUUCAAAAUAGGGAAUUGGCUCUAAAAGCUUAAUGAACUGCCUGGUAUCCUAAUUGUCAGCCCCAGCAAGUCAUAAAUGAUAUAGGGAAGCUAUGGGAAAGCUCUAAUCAUUGAAUAUAUGUAGAAAUAUGAAAAAUAACCAAGAGGGUCAUUACAAUAUCCACUAGCAAAAGACUUUCAUCCCCAAAAGUCAACGAAUAGAAAAACCUCAAAAGCUUGUAAGGACAAGGUACUGGCCCAUAUAUUCUCUAUGCAUAAUUACUAGAUAACCUCAACGAGGAGAGAACACUUUUGAGAGAUUUUUCCGUCGGUAUCCCCUUUUAACCAUCUUUCUUACUUCACUUCCAAUUAGUCAAAACUUAAUCUGAACCAUCAACUAGCCUUUCACUGAACCAAAAAAGGUUGAUGCAUGCAAAUCUAAACAACGAUAAACUGAUACCAUCUCAAUAUCUGAACAAACCAACAACGGCUCAUCCUGGCCAAACAAACCCAAGGCAUAAGUCCUACAAUCAACCAAAAAUCCAAAUAUAACCGUCUUUUACCAAUCCACACUUGCUAUGUACUCCAAAUCGAGAGGAAAAUUACUCGAGUUCUGCUUAUACAAUAUCAUUAUGAGAACUCAAAGAACAAAAGCUAGUCCAUUGAAAGUCCAUAUGACAAACUUGAGAAUAAGCUCAUAAGGCGCUAUGUAAGAACACACAUGUAGAUAAUCAAGGAAUACAAUAUAUGUCAAUACUCUUACUAGUCUAGAUGGUAAUCAAAGCUAGAAUCCAAAAGAUUAAUGCACAACCACUCAUCACAUAACAAUCUUCUCUAGGAUGCCCUAUCAAUGGAGAAUGAAACCAUAUUGAAUCUAACUUAAGCAUGCUACUCCCACUGUGUAUAUUAUCCAAAAUUCUCAAAGUAAACUGAAGGCUCAAGGUUAAAAUUGAAGGAACCAAUACCAGGUCCAUGGGAUAUUAUUUGAGCAUUUAUCAAUAAUAAUCCAAUCAAAGUCAAUAAUUUGAACAGGCAACCAUAAAUUAGACUCAUCUAGCCUAUAUAUGAAAUUCGAACUAAGAUAAUUCAAAAAUUAAGGUUGCACUCAAGCUUUACAAUUCUAAGUAGAAAUCUCAACACCAAUGAUGAAAACAUAGGAAAUCCACUUUAUAUAUGCUAGAGGGAAUGAACUAUCAAUACUUAAGAACUUAUACAGGCCACAAAUCACACUAGUGAUGGUAAAACUCUAGCAACUCUGAGAAAUGCACUCAAGCCAAAAACUAACCAAUCUAACACUCCAUCGUGGCAAAGAAUAGCCAUAGGCUCAUAUCAUCUAGGAAAAAUACUACACCAAACCUUGUUAGGUCAAAUAACUCUAAAAUAAGGAUUUCCUUAAUCCACACAAGUAAGACAAUCAUUACUCGAUCCAUUCACAAAUCCAUAAUCAAAGAAGAAAAUAACAAUCUCAAAACCAAGGUCAAUAUUAAGAUCACCACCAGAAAAUCAAACGACUCAAGAAAAAGAAUUUCUAAUUUUCUAUUAGGAGGCGAUCACAGGAAAGCCCACCUAGCUCUAUCACCCUAAAUCCACAGAAGACAAGAAUCACAUCACUAUGAGAACAGAGCAUCCAAUAUCUAUAACAAUGACAAGGGAAAUUAUCACCAUGAGAUGAAUCCAACAAGUCUAAGAGAUGACUCAGGAUAUCUCAAUGUCAAAAUCAAACCCACUAUCGGGCAAUGAAAUAGCCAUAAGCAAAGAAACGAUCCAAAACUAGUCAAUCUAAAAAAUGGUCUAUAUAUAAAAAGAAAGAGUCAAAGUUAAAACCUUGGAAACCCAUGGGUCAAGUCUAAGAGUCUCAAACUUAAGAACGAGGAAUAUAACAAAAUUGCCAACUCUAGAACCAUACAAAACCACAGAAGAUCAACUUACCUUCAUUAUCACUAUACAUUCCCGAAAUAAUCUAACACAGCUAAAUAAGAGAGAAAUCAAUCAACCUCCUCUCUCUAUGGGAAAGAAAUUAUCAAAUAGGGAUAUAUCUACUCAAGCCACCAAAUAAGAGUCUCAAAUAAAUGAAAUUCUAAAUAGAUAAUGCUAGACUAUAAAGAUACCCAAUGAGGAUAAAUUACAUCAAGUAAUAAUAUCAAAUAAUAUUAAUAUCCUCAAGUAGUGGUAGAAAUAGUAACAAUAAUAUAAAUAUAAAUAUAAUGAAUAGGCAGUACAAAAAUGAACAUCACUAUCAUGUACUACUGAAGGUCCACAAUAAGUCCAAUGUGCCAAGAUAAAUGGGACUUGAACCCAAAAGCUACACCCAUACUCAGCUAAUGUUAAUAUAGAUCUACUAAAAUACCCUAGAUUUGGACCCUUAGAAAGUUUACUAAGUUGAGCAUUUUGGACAUCAUACAACUUGAUCAAAUUAGUUGUAUGAUGUGAUAUGGUUUUGGGUCCCUCCGCUCAUAUGAAGAUUAGUGUGGAUUAGUUGUAUUCUAUCCAACGUACAAUUAAGCAUCUUUCUAGUCGUAUGUUAGGGUACGAGUAGUAUGCUACCUAAUCAUAUGAUAUCCUAUGUCUGGCCUAGAGAAUUCUAUUUAGCGUACUGUUAGAGGUACUAAUCAUAAGAUUGGGUACAAUUUGGUCUAGGGAAUCAUACAUUAGAAAAUAUUGGAGUCCAACUUUAUUCCUAGGUACAAGUGGUGUGUACCAUUCUUAUGUUUGUGUACGAGAAAAGAAGGGGUUGUACCCUCCUGUGCACAUUUUAAAACUUUUUAGCUGAGGAUAUUUUAGACACUUUCCAUCCUAAAACCCUUAAGUCCCCACGUAUUAAAACAUAUUGUGUCCUCUCAUAACAUACUUUGAAAUAUAAAAACACUUCAAAAUCCUCUCUAAAAUCUCUCAAGAAAAUUGGGGCUAGGGUUUUACAAAGGUGUUCAUCUAGAGGCUCAAGAGUGAAGUUUCUUUCGUGAAUCUUCAUGAAUAAGGCAUGCGACUCUUACCUCAUUGUUAGUUCAUAAAUAUCAUAUAUUUUAGAGAUUUUUUAUGAUUUAUAAAUGGUGGUUUUGAAAAUCAAUGUUGAGGGUUUUGUUGCAUAUGAUUGAGUAUUGUUUACUCAUGGCUUAACUUAUGUUUAUACAUAUUUUUGGUGAUGGUUUCCAUAUAUAGGUUCUUGGUAAUUGUGGUUUAACAAAUGGGUCAUGGGUAACCCUAAACUUGAAUGUUUUUACUUUGGUUUUGGUUUUGGUAAUGGUAUGCCCUCAAAGUGUUUGUGAAAAUGCCUAAUAGAAUAAAUUUGUUAAAUGCUAAUGGUCUUUUAAACUAAGAAAUUAGCCUAAUGAAGAUAUAUGGUUGGUAAAUGGUAUUUUAAAGGCCUUGUUGGCCAUGUAAUUAUUUAAAAGAUAACCUUGGUGGUUUAGUUGUCUAUAAAGAGAUUAAAUCCCUAAAUAUUAAAUGGAUUGAUGUCUUUACUAGACAAUGGGUUUGCCUCGCUAAACUUUGAAUUGAAUAAGUGUCUUUGUUAGAUAAUAGGUUUAUAUCCUAAAGUCAAAUGAAUGAUUGGUUGAUUAAUAAUGGUAAUGUUAUAUUGUACGCUUGCAAGAGGUGUUGGUAUGAUGAUAUUAACAAAGUGCCUUUGGUAAGUAAUUGGCUUAAUGCUUGUGUAUGUUAAAUGAUGGUUUAAAUUAGGCUUUAAAAGUGGGAUGUGUAGUUGGGCCAUGAAAAUGGAGUCUGAAGGACUAACAUUGGAAACUGCACUAGUAGGUGCGGGAGUAUUUGUAAUUGGGUGGUUUGGGUCCACCAAAUGAAUAUGUGAAUAGAAGGUUCAAGUACCUCCAAUAUAUGUAUUAGUUUUUAAGUCACCUUGAUUAUGCCAGGAGAUUCGAGUCCCCCAUAUAAGCUUAUACAGUUUUGGAUAUUCUAUGGUUCGUGCAGCUAUAUGCACUGAGGCCCUUCCACCCAGGGGAGAGCUAUUCACUUAUAGCCCAUGGAUGCCAUGCUUUAGGAUGGCUAUGCUACAACAUCCCAGGUUUUAAUGAUUUCAAAGUUCAUGCUAAUCUUGUUCCCUGCCUCUGCAUGGUAUAUAUGUAUAUGUAUAUAUUACAUUGGUUGAUUGGAUUUGACCUAGUGGCAUUAUUUUAUCCUUACCCUAGAGUUACAAGCUAGCACUCCAACCACUAAUCAUCUUCGAUGCUGUAUCCCUACGUGAUGCAAUUAUUGGUGAUAUUCUUACACCUCCUAUUCAAUGAUUGGACUUGGGAACAAAUUGUGUUGACUUAAAGAGGUGAGCUCCUAUACUUUGAAAGGCUCUAUUUCUUUAUUUCAGUUUUAUUAUGUCUUUAUUGAUUUAGACUUGGACAUUGGUUUUAGCUAUGGUUUGGUUCAUGUCUCGAUAAGGUAUUCUUAGAUAUCUUUUAGAGGAUUUAUAUAGACAAAUAGUGGACUUGGUUAGGUUACGGUAUAGAUAUGGACUUUGUUGUUAUUUUUAUUUUGUUAUGGUUGUUAGUUGGGCAUUGGACAGAUAGACUUGUUUGGGUUGGUCAUGGUCUUAGACCUAUCCUAAAGUCUUUGUGUUGUUAAUCACAUUAUCUUUUUAUAUGUUCAGAAAUCAUCCGACUCAGGGUAUAUGCUGGUUGGUUGGAUUGGGUAAUAGGAUGAUCUCCAGCCUUAGUUGGGCUUGAGAUGCCCAUUAUGACAAGGCCCUAGUUCAGGUCAUUUCAUCUAGCCCAUACACUACUAAAAGAAAUAAGCCAUGGAGAUAGUCAUAUAAUCAUGAUUCAAUAAUAAGGAACAUAAUAAUCCAUAUGAACUUAUGAAAGAAUAUAAUCAUCAAUGGGUACAAAGAACCCAAUACACACAAUGAAAAGGUAAAUACAGGGAAAUAAAAGCACACCAAUUAUGAUGAUAUGCACUACCACAUGCCUGAUAGAUCUACGAGAUAACAAAUCUAAAUGGGUCCAAACUUUGACCAACCUACUGAAUUAUCAAAUGAGAUACUAAGCUCAAUACCUCUAACAGAAGGUGCCACAAUCAUCAUGAGGCUGAUCUAAAUGAGAUAAAAGUUUAGCAAUCCCAUAUCAGGGACACUCUCUAUGACAAUAGCCGAUAUGUCUUUAGUCUUAGAAACUCCUGUGCACGAAAAUGGCAAAAACAAACUGAGCCCAAAUGGCUAGCCAACUGAUGUUGAGAGCACUCUCUAUUUCGAAUGAUCAUCCUUUCCAUAGUCAUAGUUGUUUCAGGAAUUAUAGGUUGUUGGGGAAUACAUGCUAGCUCUUUCUGAUCAACUAAAUCAUAUUCGGGGCACUCUUUCAGCUACUGUAUAAUCACAACUCAUUCAAAACAAGAUCUUAGAAUAAUUUGAGAUACUACCCCUUAUAAUCUAGAAUAACUACCAUGGCAUGAAGACCCAUACCAAGAACUAAGCAAGGUUUGAUAAGAACUCUGCCAACUAUAAUCAGCAUGCUAAAUAUAAGGACCAUUCAUAGUACGAAAUACUGCUUAUGUAGAGAUGAUGCGCUACAAGUGAAGUUGACCUUUACCGAAAGGAUCCUUACUCCCGGAUAAAAUACCAAUAACAUAUUACCAAGGUCAUGACCUCUUGCCGCCACCUCCAUAAGUCUCAAUAUGUAGUCUCUCUAUGGCUCUCGAAUGAUUAACAACCUGAGAGAAGUAAGACCCAACUACUAUGAAUUACUCUAACACCAAACAAAGUGGCAAUGCCGAUCCUCUAACAAAUCUAUGCACUAUGUCUUGCUCUAAAGGAUAUAGAAUAGGAAAAUGCUAGGCUCAAUUAAUAAAUACUAUCUUAAACUCAAAAACUAGUAAAGAACCCUAAUUAACACCAGUAGACCUAACUCUAGUCUAAGAAAUACUCGAUGAAUCAAAUGUCAUCCAUGGCGGGGAGGGGUCUACAACAUGACUCGAAUCUUCGAUGUUGAACCUUAAAGAGCUGAAGUAGUCACAAGCUUUAUUGGAGAUUAAGCUGGUCUUAAAUCCUUUAGCAGACACUAAAUUUAUUCAAUAUCCAUCUCUAAAUUUCUAGUUCGAUACUGCACUGAAGCUAAAAAAAUAUGUCAAAGUUUAUCCAUGUCUAUAAACCAUCUCACACUGCCCAUUUAGGAAUGAAUAGAGUUAAGAAAUAUGAUUAACGCUCAUUUCAGUGCAGACACAUGAAAGUGAGUCAAUAAAUAAAUUUCCUAAGAUUGUCUUUGUAGCCUUCUAAAUAUAGGUUACGGACAUCUCCGCACCAAUCCGCAUGACUCUACUAAACACUUAGGUUUUAUAUUAACACACUGGUGAAACAUAGGCUCUGAUACUAAUUUGUCACAACCCAAUUUCUUGGAUCUUGAUGGCUCCUACUAUAACCCACCAGUAGGCAAGUCAAAUGCAUUAUUAGAAAUGGCUAGUAACGAACUACCCAAAGAUAUUAAGGAAAGAAUAUAUAAUAUAUGAAAUAUACAAUCAAUUACACAAUAUAAUCUUAAAACCUGGUGGUAUUAGUACAAGAGGUUCUACAUAAAUUAGAUUUCAAAGUGAAGUACAAAUGGAUAUACUAAUACAACUUAUCUCUGAAUGCAACAUAGAGACUAUGUAAUACAUAAUAGUGACAUAAGUAAAUACUCAAAGUAUCAGGAGCUCACUUUAUGGCUCCAAACUAUGGCUGCUCUGCAUGAUGUACACAUCAAUGGUGAUAACUCGCACUAUGAUAUGAAGGUCACAAAAGUGUAGUAUAAAUACCAAACACUUGGUACUCAAUAGGCAACUACCAAUUGAGCUCCAAAGAUAAAGCAGAUAUAUAAUAUUUAAAUAGAAUGAAAAACUAUAUCCAAAUAUCCAGCAACCGUAUAAGAGAUUCAAUGAGACAAUAAGUAUAACCUAUCCUAUUCAUGUCAUAGAGACUUACCAUAUUAAGGCUAAGGAAAUAAUAAGAAUUCACUAUCUUAUUCGAAUCAUAAUUAGGAAUCUUAACACCAUAUCACCUAUCACUUGCUAAUAUACAAAUAAGAGCUAAGGAUAUAUAUAUAUAAGAGUACAUAGCAAAGGUCUACUUGAAUACAACCUAAGUCAUCAGACUAGCCAUUUAAGGACUUAGAAUCAUAGUUGAAGCUAGUAUUAGAAUACUCAGGGUUCUAAUCAAUAUAUCACAUCAUCAGCUGGUCAUGCAAAAUAAUAUAAUCAUAAUAUAAAGAGGUCAGAAUCAUACCUCAAGCUUCAAUUCCAAAUCAAUCAUAAGCUAUCCUGAACAAUUAUAAUAAUAAUGUCAAUAAAAAUGUGAGUAACUGACUACUCCAGAUAACUAAAUACCUAACUGAUCCAAUCACGUGACCCAACUAUUCAAGGCUUAGAAGGUUUAAUCAAUAUACAACAUUCCUCAAGGCAUAGUCAUCACUCAUACCAAUGUAACCCUCCUACAUGAGCUGAUAGAUAUAGGUGCAUACUGGUGAUAGGCAAUGCACAUUAUAGAAUGGAUGCAUCCAAAAUCCAUAAUUUUAUAAUAUCAUCAUCAUAACCAUCACUAUCAUCAUAAUCUUCCUUCAACUUUGUCGAGUAUAUAUACAUAAUUUCCAUACAUAGGGAUAUCCAAAUUCAAAUUGGUAGAUGUAUACAUAGACAUAUAAAUAUAAUUAUCCUCCGACAUUGUCUGGUAUCAAUAUCAUCAACAUAGCAUCCUUCAGCCUUUUCGGGUAUCAAUAUGAUUACCACAUCAUCCUCUGGCAUUAUCGGGUAUUAAUAUCAUUAUUACAACAUCCUCUGACCUUACUGGCUAUCAUCACAAUCAUCAAUCUAAACAUAUAUAUAUAUAAUAGGUGCACGAACCCAAGCCAUGGCUAAAAGAGUGUUAGUCCAUAAAUCCAUUGCCCACAGUGAUCUUUGGGACUAAAUUAUGAUAAAAGUGUAAAAAAGGUUGGAAUAUCUCAUGACUGGAAUAAUUAGUAGUGUCAAAUCAUAGACCAGAAUCUAUAAUCUUCAAACAUCAUUAUUAAUGUCUUUUGUAUAUAAGGUAUCCAUUAAGUCAGGCAUUUAUUAUUAGAAAGAAAUCUUUAUUUUAGAUAAAAAGUGGGAUUUAACCCUUAAUUAGGAAGAAUAGUCAUAAGAUCAUAUUUUAACUAGAAUCACAUCAUUUAUGGAUAUAAUGAUCAUAAAUGUAUCAAAUCUAUGCAUGCCAGUAUUCAAUCAAUGGAAUCAUAAGUGUCAUGUCGCAUCUUUCUCCAUCUCAUAGUAGAGAUGUGUGUGUGUGUAUAUCUAUAUUUAUAAAUAUAUCUUGCAACACAUCUCUUACAAUAAUAAACACUUCCCGAAUGUCCAAUUGAUGUCAUAAUAUGACCCUUGGCCUAAUAAUGUGUCGUAAUAAUUAUAGCAUCAUAAAUAGAGCCUUUGUCUUACAUACGUAUUUAGAAUACAUAUCAAUAAUCAUAUCUAUACGUUAUCUCAUAUUAUAAGCCAUAGCAUAUUUAUGAGGCAUGACCUCUCUACAAGCCAUAUGGCAUAUUUAUACUCAUCUCAUAUAUAGAAGGCAUUUCACUUCUAGAAGGCAUAAUUCAAUAAGAAUCUCACAUCUAGGAGGCAUAAUAAUAAUAAUAAGCAUCUCAAAUCUAUUAUCAUGUAUCAUGACCAUGAAGAAUAUCAUCUCUAUAGGUGAAUUAUCAUAUCUAAGAGGAAUGACAUCUCCAAAGGCCUAAUAUCACUUCAAAUAGGAAAUAACAUCUCUAAAGGCCCAAUAACAUGGCAAUAAGCUGUUAAUCAUAAUCUGGGGAAAGUCAUCAAAAUUUACUUAGCCAUGAAGAAAACUUAUUCUAAAGGCUCAAUAGUCUCAAUUAUGCCUACUAUCCGCAACUAUGUCCACAAGGCUAACACAAGUCUUAUCCUAAGAUGAGACACAAGAACCCACUUCUAAUUUUUAAUUUCCCAUAUUUAGAGAAUUUACACCCCAAACUAGGCUAAGGUAUCUAGUUCAACUUCUAGAUGUUAAAUAAGCCAUAACCAAUCCUAUGAUAGGAACUUCAUCUAUAAAAAUGAGAAUUUAAGUCUGCUCCACCUAAAUUACAGUUUUAAGAUCACAACAAUAGACCAAAUAAAGUAAAAUAAACUAACCAUACUCCCAAUGCUAAAACCACAUCUCAAACCUAGCAUUAUAUCUUAUACAUUCUAAGAAUUAGUUCAAUUUAAGAAGAAGGCUAUAGGAAUCAAUCCCAAAAAUAGAAUUAUAUCAUAUCCAUCUUCACUUAACAAUUCCAAAAUUCCAUCUAUCUUUUACAAUCGUAAUCUACUCAUCAAUACGAGAAUAACAAUACGCAUAUUGCACCAUUAUGCUUUAGGAUAAAAAAUGGCACUAAAAUAACCAAGUGGGUCCCAUUUAUGGAAAUUACAGUUUUGAGAUCAACCCAACAUUAAUACAUGAUCAAGGAAUCAUAGUCCUCAAGAAAUGGGUGAAAACCAAGCUAAUUUGGGGCUACAAUCAAGCCUUUAAGUUAUUUGGGGUUUUGGGUCAAGAACUAAUGAGUUUAGUAAGAAAGUGAUGAUAUCUUUCCUUAAUUUAGAUCAUAAUUGCAAUAAAAGAUAUUAAUCAAACUCCCAAGUCACUCCAAAGACUAAAUUUGAAGUAAUCACACUCUUUUAGCAUUUUAAUUCUCAAGGUUGAGUCAAAAAUGCCCAAAACAUGGCCUAAAGAGCCCCUCUAUACCCAUACUAGGUACAGAGGUAUUGCUAUCACAGACCAAGGAUUGUAAUUGCAAUGGGGCAAUCUCCAUGGACUUUCUACAUUUUUAAUUAGGUGACCAUGGUGGCUUUUGUGCAAUCACACAAGCAUCAGCACCAGCAAACUUGGAAAAUUUUCCAAGUAUCUAACAAUACAUCAAGAUUUAUUAGAAUCCAAUACACACAAAUGAAUUAUGUAACCACACUAAAUUUGAUGUUUUGGAUAUGAUGAAAAAGUUAGAUUUUCCAUCCGUCUACCAAUAUUGGUCCCACAAGCAAACUUCCAAUUUUCUAACUUUUCAACCAAUAGGUCAAAAUGAGUUUGGGUGUAUUGGGACCCAAACUAAAUGUCUACUCGUCCUAAAAUAAUAUUUUAGAGCUACUGGUAUAGUUAAAAUUUGCAUUGGAUAUUGUUUUACUAAAGUUUUCAUCCGAUGUCUAUUUGGAACAAGUGAAGACUUCAAAAUAGGGAAUUGGCUCUAAGAACUUAAUGAACUACUCGAUAACUAAAUUAUCAGUUCCAGAAAGCCAUAAAUAACUUAGGGCAGCUAAGAGAAAGCUCUAAUAAGUGUAUAUAAGUGGAAAUGUGAAAAAUAACUUAGAGGGUCAUUACAAUUGUUUAUGUGAUUGUAAUGGUUGGGUUUAAUUUGGGUUAAGGGUUAUGAUUAUUGCUUGAAUUCAAUUUCCAUAGUUUAAAUGCAUUAUUUCUGCUUUAGUUGAUGAUUUUUUGGGACUAAAUGGGUGCAUUGGUGUUGUAAUUUGAAUUGGGUCAUGGGUUUUCCCUAAUUCUGGAUAUUUGGAAUUAGAAUUAGUAUUAACCUUAAUCCACUUGCAGAUUUUGCUUUUAAACAAGGUUAAUUGCAUAAUGUAACUUGUCCUUUAAAAUAGUCGUAGUGCAUUAAAGAACAAAUGGAUAAAAUGGACUUGAAUGUCCUUGGUGGCUAUGGUUUGGAAUUUUAAAUGGAAAUUAGGAGUCAAUUUGGUAAUUUUAAUUCGAUUGCAUAAUUAUAUCACCUUGCAAGCAUAAUUGGUAUGACGAUACCAUGUGGUAAAUGCCUAGUAAUGACUACUUGGUUUCAGGGAUGGAAUUAUGUGCUUAAUGUUUUAAUAUGUGCUUAAUGGGGAUUGUGUAGCUCACCAUGAUGGUGUAAUCUCGAGGGGACUACUAUGGAAAUCCUAUUUGUUGGUGUGGGGGAGGGGGCUUUAUGACAUGUGAUUCAUGCACACAAUUAAUAUAUAUAUAUAUAUAUAUAUAUAUAUAUAUAUAUAUAUAUUGAGAUGGCUCUCUCCUUUUUUUCUCUAGNNNNNNNNNNNNNNNNGGGUUUAUAUCAUAUGUGAUAUACACACACUUUUUAUAUAUAUAUAUAUAUAUAUAUAUAUAUAUAUAUAUAUAUAUAUAUUGGAAUGGCUAUCGCCUUGGUUUCUGUAGCUCUUCCUCAAAUUUACUUGAUUUAUACGGCUAACAUGCACUUGGGCUCUUUUGGAAGAGGGAGUCAAACCCAUAUAGAGCAUGGGUUCCCUUACGAUUGAUUGAGAUACUCAGUUCAGGUUACUUACUUUUAAACAUGCAUGUUAAUAAAUCCUCUUCCCAAUCCCGUCAUCCUAUAUAUGUAUACAACUAUUGUGUAUAUGAUUUUGGAAUAGUUUUAGUUUUGGAGUGCUUUUGGCAUUAGCAUUAAUUUAUUCCUUUUUUAAGUUACAUAUCGGUGUUUAUCCCACUGACCAUCCUAGGACUCUGCAUCAUUUCAUGUUGUAGGUUUAGAAGACUUUUCUAUUGCCCAUAUAUAGUGUUAGGUGGUGUGGUUAUCCGUUGAGUUGUUGUGAAGUAGUGAACCUCCAUCUUCGAGAAAGCUUUUCCAUUUUCUUAGGUUCUGUUCAUAUUUUGGGAAUUGAAUAGUUCAAUUAUCAUGGUCGAGGUGAUGCUCUUACCUAAUUUGGUAUUCUAGUUGUAGAGGCUUUGUGGACAAGUGUGGGGUUGUUGGUCAUUGUAUUUGACUUAUAUUCUCUCUCUUAGUAUCAUACACAUACCUUUCAUUAUUUUAGUUUUCUUCCACUUGAAAUUUAUUAUUAUUAUGCUCUUAAGGUUAGGCUAAGGGGAUGGUGUUCGGUCCAUGGGGGGCUUGAGAUACCCAUUAUAACUAGGCCCUAGUUUGGGUCAUGACACUACUACUCUAAAAAAAUUAUUUCAUCAUUUAUUGAAUUUCAUUUAACCCAUUUUGAGGUGGGUUCAUAAUUGAAAUCAAUGUAUAAGAAUACUUUAGAUAAAAUGUUUAAUUAGAAUUGCCCUUCCUCCAUAGGAUAAAAACAUUCCUUUCCAUCCCUAUAUUUUCGAGUUAAUUCUAUGGACCUCCUGAUUGUAGUUGCUUUUCUAUUUCCUUUUGUAGAAAAUUCCUUCCUUAGUAUUUAGUUUCUACUGCAACUAAAAUAACAUACCUUUCUUAAGUAUUACUACUCAAAUAUAUAGAACUUGAUUCAUUGAUGAUACUCUAUCAAUACUCUAACCUGAUGUUCUUUCAAACUUUUGGAAAGUCUCAGCUACCAAUUCUCAAAGUUCCUGCCUCUGCCUUGCAUAAAAUUAUCAUAUAAUCUACUAAGGCAAGAUGAUUUAUUAUUGGACUUCCUCUUGGCAUACCAAACUUUUUAAACUCCUAUUUUCUUAGUAAUGGAUUUAGUGCUCAAGAUAGAACCUCCGCUACUAUAAUAAACAAUGUUGGAGAUAAAGGAUCCUCUUGUUAAGUCCUUGGAGCAAUUAAAAAGUCCUUUAGGAUGACCAUUUAGUAAUAAUGAAUACUAGUUGUUACUUAUCAGCCUAUACACCAAACUUACUAUUCUAUCACUUAAGCCAAUUUUCCUCGGAGCUUGAAAUAGGAAAAAACUAUUCUACUCUGCCAUAGGCUUUCAUCAUGUCUAGCUUGAUUACCUAAUUAGGAGACUUACCCCUCUUCCUAAUUUUUACUAUUAUCUUCUAUACCAAAAAUAUAUUCUCAACAAUACCUCUUCCCUAUACAAAUCCAAAAUUUUCACUAGAAAUGAUCCUUAGAGGUACAACCUUUAUUAUCCCAUGUAUAAUCCUGGAGAAUAUUUUAUUGAUAAAGAUGCUUAGAUAUAUAGGUCUUAGGCCUAAAUAAUAACCUUGUUAGGGUGUAGUACCAGAUUAGUAUGAUUUACAAAUUUAGGAAUUUUUUCUCCACAAAAAAAAUAUUGUUCCAUAUUAUAAAUGUCAUCUCCCACUAUCUCCCAUGUAUCUUGUUAAAAUGCUCUAUUUAUUCAAUCUAGCCCACUUAGACUAUUUCUAUUUAAUCCCAUGAUUAUUUCAAGACUUUUUCUUUGGUUUACAUUCUUUUCAUCUCAUCAUUCUGUUCACUCCCAGUAAUAAUAGGUAUCACCUCUUUAUAUCAAAAUUAGUAAUUCCUAAUUGUCUCUUGAAUUGGUCUUUGUAAAACUGCAAUGUUGUAUUUGUAAUAUCCUCUUGUUAUUCCAUCCAUUCUCCUUCUAUAUUGUAAAUUAUAUUUAGGCUCAAUCAAUUUCUUCUAACUCUAACUACAGUAUGGAAAACAUGGUAUUCCUUGCUUUACCUUAAACCAUUCCAUUCCUAUAUUUUGUUACCAAAAUUCUUCCUCUCUAUGUAAAUAUAUGUUUAAUUUAACUUGGGCUAUAUGUAGUCUUUCUCUAUUUGAACCUGAGGUAUUCUCUUAAAUUGAGUCUCCUUUAUUUUAAUCACCUUCUCUAAAGUAAAAAUUUCCUAAAAUAUAUUACCAAAAGUUGCUUGACUCCACUGUCAAAUAACCUUUAUUAGUUUCUUUAUUUUGAAAUGGUAUACAAAAAAUAGAUUUCCUUCAAAAUCAUCAUGCCAGUUGUAUUUAACAAUCUCCAUAAAUGACUCUUCUUUUAGCCAAAAAUUUAAAAACGUAAAGUAUUUUAUCACUUCUUUUGUCUCAUUAUUCAAAGUGAUAAGAAUUAGGGCAUGAUCAGAUCCAAUCCUCAAGAGAUAUUCCACUUCUACAAUAGGGAAUUUCGCUGGAAUCAAUUGAUUACACAUAAAUCUAUCCAACCUUUUGAAUAUGCUCGCCUUAUCUAUUCUUCUAUUCCACCAUGUAAAUUUACUACCCUUAAAUCUCAUAUUGAUAAGGCUGAAAACAUUAACACAGUGAUUAAAGUCCCUGAACUCAUCUUCAGUCAUAGGUAAUCCCCAUAGUGUUUCCUUUUUAGUAGUGAUAACAUUAAAAUCUCCGCUAACUAGCCAGGUUUUCUGAAAGUCAUUACAGACAUCACUCAAAGAUUCGCAUAACUGCAAUCAUUUUCCUUGAGAAUAUUUAGUAUAGACCAAGGUUACUACAAUGUACACUUCUAGAAUUUGGUUUAUCACCCUAAGAGUAAGGUAUUGUUCCUUAUCUCUUAAUAUUUCUACCUCCAUCAAUCCAUCUUAGAAGGCCCAAAUCUUUCUAUUUACAUUUACGAAACCAUGUUUGAACCCCUAUUUUAUUUUAUAUACUUCUAGCUCUUGUCUACCUUGAAAAAGUUCCAUCAAUCCUACAAAGUAAAAUUUAUAUCUUCUAUUCAAAUUAACAAGUCUAGUAAAUUCUUUGUGAGUAUUCACAGACCUUAUAUUCCAAAGUAGAGCAUUCAUUAAGACUUAUUAGUUUGAAAUGCAGUACUCCUUAUUUGUAUGGAAUUGGCUUGACCAAUCAAAUGUCAUGUUCCGCUUUUUUACUUUCUUUUUGAAUGGAUAUCCUUUAAUUUGUAUAUAUGAUUGGGUGAUACACCACCCCAAUAGCCAACUUUUUUUAUGUUAUUGUCCAUAUCAGUAUUGUCUUGGGCAUCAUUUGAAUUCAGUCCCUUAUUAUCUUAUAAUUUUGGUUGUACAUCUAAUGGUAACACUUCAUUUUUAUCUACCUUUGAUACUGUUAUUGCACCUUCUUCCUCUACACCUUUUGAUUGUUCUAAAUUUUUUGGUUGUUCAUGCUUUAUCAACUCUCUAUUUUUCACUAUUGGACUUCUUAUUUAGAUGCUCAUAUUGAUCAAAUUUCUUUUGACUAUUUUUGUGAUUUUCUUCCACUUAUUUCACCUACUUCUUGAUCUCCACCACUUUUUUUUCCUUUAUCCUUUGUUUUAUCAUCUCUUUUGUGACCUUUAACUUUAUUUGUAUGUGUUUUCUUUCCUUUUUGCUUUAUUUUUCAAAACUUUGAGUCACCCAACCUUUUUUGCAUUCCUUCACUAUAUUUUUUGGCUGGCUCUCAUCUUGCCUUACUUUAUCUACUUCAUUAAGUGCAAAAAAAGGAAUUUCAGCUUUAUAGUCUAUUUUUCCUUAGAUAUUCCCAUACCUAUCCUUUUUGUAUUUGUUUCUUCUCAUUGUCAUCCAUUCUUAUUUGUAAUGGUUAUUUCCAAUCAUUUUCCACCUUAUACUUCAGCCCUUUAAGUAAUUACAUUCCCUAACAUUACUUUCUCUAUAUUUUCUUCCUUAACCCCUUCCUCGUGUUCCAUUUCAAGUAAUUUUGGGUGUAUAGUCCAACAGUUCUCUUAAUCUUGGCCUUGUAAAAAGCAUUUCCUAUAGUAUUUUUGCAUAUAGUCGUAUCGUAUCGUAAUCCACUUGGACUUAAUUUCUCAUGUAAUAUAGUCCUUCUCAUUAAUUUUGACUCUUUCUAGCUAUUUUGUAAUCAGAUCUACUUUUAUCUUUACUUUAGCACAGCUGGGUCGAAUCUGAUUCCUCAUUGCCAUAUCUACUAUAAGUGGCUUCCCUACAAUGCAAUAGAAAAAAUUGCAUUCUUUGCACAAAAUUUUAGUGGUAGGUUUGGCAAAAAAAUCCAUGCAACUACUGUUGUCAUUUCUACCUCAGGUUCAAACCAUGGAUCCCACUUGGAAGUUCUCAUCUUCCAAUAUAUCUCCUUGGUCUUUAAAUAAAAAUUUGUGGUCGAUAACAUAUGCACAUAAUCCUCUAAAAAAGUGAGUCGCACCAAAAUAUGUCUUGAAUCCUAUAUACCUAUUGUGCAUGCAUUUUUAAUUCCUCACUGACUCGGUAGGAAUCUCCUGAAAUCAUUAAUAUUUGAAUUACCAAAUGAAAACUUUCAUACUAAAUCAUAUUGAAAAUUUUCUUUUAUAUUAAACGUAUUAAUCCCUGAUUUUUUCCAUGUUAUGGAUGGUUCUCCUUGUAAUAGAUCAUAGGUUUAGGUGGAACUAUAGGCAAUGGUUUGGAGUUAGGUUUGACAAUGUUCAAGUAUUGCAUAUUCCUUGGAGGCACUACUGUACUCUAAUUAUAAAUAUAUGGUUCAUUCUUGGAUGGUAGGAGAGGAAAUUCCUCUGAUGGGGGUGUUCUUACCGAUGGUAUUAUUCAUAAUGCUAGUUGUCGGCAAUCUGAUUAAGGUUCUAGUCCAUUUGCUUAAUGUUAUACACCUUCUUAGCUUAGUGCUCAUAUGUUAUGUGUUCAUUGUUUAUUAUCUUGAUAUGUGUUACAGUCCACUUUCCCGUGUACUAAAAUCUUUAUAAUUCAUGUUUCCACUUGUUACAUGUCAUAUAGUUUAUUUUCUCACAUGACACCUAUAUUUUACAUGCUCCUAUAUUAUAGGUUGUUACAACUUACUUGUAUCUCAAUCAUAUGACCUAAUAGCUCAAAUGUCUAUGUGUAGUAUGCCUCAUAUAUACACUUGUUCAUGUACUAUCUGCAUUUCCUUAUUCUUUAUUAUUCAUAUACUAGGUGGUCUCUACGCUUGCUUGUCUAUGUGUCAUAGACUGCAUGCCACUUAUUUGUUCAUAUCUUAUAUGCCCUUCUAGCUUAUUGGCUUAAAUAUAAAAAUAUUGGGAUAAAUUUCCACCUUAUCAUGAUGAAAUAAGGAUUUUUGCAGAAAAGGUUGGGCACCUAGCAAAUUUUAGCAUGACCCUUACCCAUAGAAAGAUGGAUAUGUAAAGUGAAAUAUUUAGAUAUAUCCUCCAUCAGAGUAUUGUGAAGGAGUUAGGGUACUAAAAAGAUAUUUGGAAAUAUGAGGACCCUACUAAUUCUAAGAAUUUGUUUAUUCCUGGAAAAUGUAAGAAGUUCCUAUAUUAUUCCUCUUUCUUAAAUGACUAUAAGUCCUAUAUGAAUCUAUUCACAAGUACAUAGGUUUGUAGCUCAUUAGUAAACUUGUUUCUUGCUCACGUGUCAUAUGUUCAAAGGUAUAGUGCAUAGUUGUUAUUCCCAAGUUCCAAGUGUUUCACCUCAGGCUAAUGUAUAAGAAAUGGAGAUAAAGGUAUGUCAUGCUAUAGCGAAAUUGUUUCAUUUGAUUAUAUGCACACAAGAGGAGCCUUACUAAUAAUUUGAUUAUUUCAUGUGCUACACUUAUUGAAACACCAUAUGAGGCAUGUUUAUAUGUGUUUUUGGUCAAUUGGGAUAUUUUGGAUUGUCCUAUUUACAAAGGGAACUUUAGCAAAAUUUUGGAGUGUAUCAAAAGUUGAGCUUGUUUUGAGCAACCCCUAUAAUUCAAGGACUUUUGAGCAACCCCUAUAAUUCAAGGACAAAUGAUCCAAAGGAAGGAUGAUGUAACACCUGGUACCUUCCAAAACAUAUUCUACUAAGGGAAUUCGACAAAAAUAUUUGAACUCAAGAUGGUAAAAGGUGUUAUUUGAUGUUAAAACACCUUCUACUCUACUUUUACUAGUUCUAUUUAUAUUGAAACUUGAGGUAGCCUCGUUGUAUAGGUAAGAUACAACUUACUUAAGAAAUUUAAGGUUUAAAAUAUAUUUAAAGGAUACUAUAAUAUCCCAUACAUUUCAUCAUGUGUUUGGCUAAGUUAACCUUGACGGAAGGGUUUAAGCUUGAGAUAGUAAUAUGGCAUUCUACUUUAUUGUUUAAAGUUGCCAAGUAUUCAUAAGUCUUGAGUUAAAGCAACAGGGUUAAGGUUUUAAAAAAUACAACAAAAUAACUAAACCGCUUUCUUGACUUAAAUUUAACUAGUAGGUCUCAAGUAGGUAUAUCACCUAUAUUUGACUUAUAGACUAUUCUAAAGAACAAAGUAGGUGCAUCAUCUACUAAAACUCUUUGAUAAACUUAAAGGGCCAAGUAGGAUCACAAACUACUUGAAUUAAUUAUGGCCGGAAUUGAUUAGAAGAAAAGGUGAAGAAUGGGCAACAAAACCACAAUAAUUUUAAGUCGACCAAUUUAAUCCAACUUGACUGAUAUGUACACUUACCUAAAUAAUUAUAAAUAAUUAUAUGCAUAUCAACCAUUAUGUAUACUCAAAAAACAACAACAACAACAAAAGACAUAUUUACACCAACCAAGUCAAUCAUGUUCUAAAGGCUCCACUUAGGCAUGAAAUUCUGUAAUAACCCGAUCGUUUCUUAAGCCUAAAUUCGUCUUUUAAGUGAAUAUAGAUGACUUCCAAUGUAAUUGUUGUUUAUAUCAUGUUGUAUUUCCCUAAAUUACACUUUAUAUCAUGUGGAAAAUUGUAUAAGAUUUCCAUCGACAUAAGAUUUACCUGAAUCGGACACCCGAUUAAGGAGUUAGAGCCAUUUUGUAAUACCCCGAGACUCUAACCAAUAGAAGAAGCCAUGAAUCAAGAUCAUGAGAAAUAAAUUAUAGUUCUUUUAUUUUUUUUAAAUCAAGGGUGAUGUGUAUUAAUUUCUCAAAGAUGUCCUAGCGAGUAGGUGAAUCAAAAAAUUCCUUACCGAUUGAAUUCUUGGGAAAGAUUUUUCCAUAUCCAAAUUCAAAUCAUCAUUUUUCUCGUUAUACUACGAAUCAUUGAGCCCAUGACCUACCAAAAGAUAGAUAAUUUAAUUAUCUUUUCAAUGAUACCAAUUUCAUUAAAAUCCAAUAUCGGAGCAAUGAGUAAUACCUAUUUUACUCCCGCAUGUCAGCCUGGAAACUCCAUGACGACCUUUUGUGACAACUUGUCACAAGCCUGAUGGCUUGUCACAAAGUGUCGUCACCUUAAGGCAAAAAGUCACAAAAUCCAACCUUUUGUGACAACAUUUGGUGACGACUUGUCACAAAAUGUUGUCAACCUUAAGCCGAAAAUCAUAUAAUUCACCCUUUUUGUGACGAUAAUACGUGACGGCCUAUCACGGGCCUGGCGACUUAUAACGAAUGUCGUUAGCUAUUUUUUUUCCACCAAUUAAGGGACAUUUUUUCAAGGUCAUUUUGGUCAUUUCCGCCCAUUUUGGUCAUAUAUAUAUAUAUAUAUCCAAGUAGAGAAGAGAAGUUUAUUUUCUCUCAUUUCUCUUCCAAGAAAGAUUUAGAACUAGGGUUUCUUUCAAAAUCCUAAAUCAAAUCUUCUGCAAGAAAAUUAAAAAAUAUUUCCAAGAUUUCAGUAAGUUUUGCAAAAAUCAAGUUCUCCAAGUCAAAGGCAUCAAGAACUUAGUUCAAAAGUGUGAAGAAGAGUUUCGAAUCAAGCUUGCUCAUCUUAAAAUCAUAAUCCAAGUUGGGAGAUUUGAACAAGAACACUUCUUUCAUUCUUGUGCGCAAAGAUUUAAUUUUUGCUAUUGAAAUUCAUGAUUUUGCAAAGUGGGUUUACACCCAAAUUACUUUAUUAAUGAUUUAUGAUAUUUGAGCUAUUCAAGAUUGAUACACAUGAAUAUUUCAUCAUUUUAUUUCUUAAAUUGAGAACUUAUGCCAUGAGUUGAAUAUUGUUAUUAUGAGUUGAUGAUUUCCGAAUGAUUCGAGAUAAGAGUUAUUAUUUAAGCUUUUCUAUGAGAAGUUUGAUUAUUGAAUAUAGAUAUUGAUAUUUGUUCUUGAGAGUAAAGAAUGAGUUCUAUGAUGUUUUCUUGAAGUUUUUGAUACAUGAUUAUUUUACAAUUUCCAAAUUAUGACUUGAUAUUCAAUAUUGUGAAUUUCAUAUUUCUACCAUGAGUUGGUAUUUCAAGUGCUUUCAAGAGAUAUGUCAUGAUUUAAGAUUUCUUAUGACAAAUUAGAUUAUUGAGUAUAUUGAUUCAUGAGAUUGAGUUGUUACAAUGAGUCUUGAUAUUUCCUCAAAGUCAAUGAUGUUGCCAUGAUUUAAUGAAUUGAUACAUUUUGAUAUUGAGAAAGAUUGAUUUGAGUUGAGUUGAGUUAGGAAUCCACAAAUUGAUUAGGAUUUGAUAAAUGAGAAAGAUAUUUGAUUUGGUCUUCAUGGAAGACCAUUGUGAUGUUUGUGGUAGAUUUUCUAACGUGUUCUGAGCUUGUUUCUAGGAUUAAUAUUUAGCACCGAGUGGGAAAUAUGGUAUUUUCCCCAAAACUAUGUGCUACCAUAGGAUUGAUAUUGAUAAUUAUGGGCCGGAGGUCGAGUAUGAGAUUGUGAUCACUAAAUUUAGGUUGUACUCCCUGACAAGAGUACGAUGCUCCCGUCAAUGUGGUGUUCUCUCCUUAGGAGGGAAAAAUGUUGGACUCCAUGUAGCUUACAUGGUUUAUGUCGGUUAUAAGAAUCUCCCAAGUCCAUAAGAGUUCAAGUUUCAUGAGUUACCGAGACACUCUAAGUCAUGAGUUAAAGAGUUUGAGUUGAGUAUAAUGAUUUAUGAGAUAUAUAAUGCUUGCUUUACUAUUGAUGAUUUACAAGGAAUAUAUUUCAGUUAAUUCAAGCAAAGAAAGUCGUUAUCAUCAUCAUGCAUGAUUUUCAUAAUCAUUUAUGAUAUUAUUUAUAAUGUUGCAUUGUACUCCCACAUAUUCAGUACAUUUCUUAAAGUACUGACCCCCAUAUAUUUCUAUGUGCUAUAGUUUCUUAUAAUGUAGGUACCAGUUGUAGUGCAGAUACCACAUUCAGUCAGUCCUCCGCUCCCAGUCAGCAAGUGAUGAGUCCUUUUGAUUUGAGGGCUUGAGUUAGAUAUAGUUCAAAAAGUACCAUAAUUUUUUCCUUAUUUAGUCGUAUUGAGUUGGGGUACUUAGGAUUCAUGACACUACUACAUAGAUUCAAUGCUAUUAGAGGAUUCAUAGACAGGCAGUAGAAUUUGAUGUAUUCAUUUCCCAUUUUGUACAUAUAAACAGAGUUGUAAUUUUUUAAAUUUAGUUGGUAUUAGACAAAGUUAUCUUUUGUAUUAUUAUUUUCUUUUGAUAUGUGUAUAUUGUCCAGUUGCUCAUGAGUUAUGCCAGUAGAAGGGUUAGCUUGGGGUCACUUGUGCCCCUAAGCACCGUGUGAUGACUCGGGACCCAAUCUUGGAGCGUUACAAACUUGGUAUCAGAGCACUGAGUUCAAGUGACCUAAGGUGUCUAUGAAGCCGUUUCUAGUAGAGUCUUGCGGAAUAGUACGGAGACGUCUGUACUUUUCUUUGAGAGGCUACAAGACAUUUAUAAAAGGUCUUUAUUCUUUCAUGUCUUAGAUCAUGCUAUAGAAAUGUUCUUUGAGAAACUUAUGUAGAUUCUCAUCUUCCUCUAUCAAGGCAUCCUCGCCUUAUUUUCGAGGUAUUAGAGACAAUCAAGAUUAACUCUUUGCAGAUAGUACUUUGUUAAGCAGUCUCCAUAGAUAGUUAUGAAUUUUUAAAUGAGCUAAAAAGUAUCCUAUUGGUGUCUUAUCAUGCCUUGGUUAUGAAUCGUGCAAUAAGCCUAAGUCAGUUAUGCUUCCAGAUUCCUUCUCACAAUCUAUACUGAUAAUCUAUACUUCUUUAUCUAUGUGCUAUUCUUGAGGUAACAUGACCUGUAACUUUUAAUUUCAUUCCCUGACAAUGCCCUUAGACUUGCAAGUGAGAA
rnacentral:lncRNA from 1 species